rnacentral:lncRNA from 1 species
AGUAUAAGUCACCACCACCUCCUUCCCCAAUUUACAAGUCACCAUCACCACCUUCUCCAGUAUACAAAUUACCUCCACCACCUCCUCCAGUUUACAAAUCUCCACCACCAUCAAUUUAUAAAUACAAGUCUCCUCCACUACCUCCUCCAGUGUACAAGUCAUCACCACCACCUGCUUACAAGUCUCCACCUCUUCCAGUUUACAGUUCCCCACCACCACCAAUCUACAAGUCUCCACCUCCACCCUACCAUUACUACUACAAUUCUCCUCCUCCUCCUCCUCGUCACUACUAAGCAAUUGUAUGCAAGUUUUUGAGGUAAUAACGCUUAACCAAUAAACUAACUUUCGCAUGAUAAAACUUAUCUCUAUCAAGACAAACUGCCAUGUGUAUCAUGCCAAAUACGUACACCUAGAUCCAUGAAAAUGAAUGGUAGAAAAUUUUCUUAAGAACUAAGGAACAGCAUUAGUAUUCCCUCUGCUUCCAAAAACUUGUGUAUUAAAUAGAUUAAUGAAUUGUUUAACAUGCUCAUUUACUUGAAAAUACACAAUACCCAUAACCUACUGAAUUUUUUGCAGGAAAAGGGAAAGACAAUCUGUGUUUGAGAGCUUCAUGAAGAUGUUGAAGAAUAAGAAUAAAAGCCCAAUGCGAGGAUGUUUCAAGUUUUUCUAUGUUUCCACUUUAAUUUGUAAAUUGAAUUUUGUGACUCAAUUAAUUCCCUGUUUGUGGGGUACGUGUUGUUUUACGUACCAUGCCGUACAGGUUUGUAAGGAUUUCUAUCCUAUUGGCAAAAGUCGGUUCCAUACAAUUAAUCAAUUCAUUUCACUUCUAUUGGCUCUACUAUUUAUGCAUGUUACGACAUUUUUUCUCUCUUUCCCUUAUAUUUUGCCUUUAAUAUUAUUGAAUCAAUAUUAAUAAUGGGCCUUUUUCUUAAAAUUAUACUAUUAUACAUAGGUUGUUUGGUCUAACGCUAAAUUCAUGUUUGUCUUUCUUUUAUUCCCUUUACAUCUCAAAGUAUACUAUAGUUUGUAAUCAUUGUGGUGAUGAUAUUGCCAGCUGGUACUUAUAGUUUAAGGCAGAGACAUGAUAUUAACAACUAUCUCAUUGAAACAUAAAGAAAAAUCAUGACAAGUGUGAGUCUUGGUUAAUGCACAAUUUGUUAGUGGAAUUUAUAUUUAUAAAACUCAAAAAAAAAUUUUGACAAUGCUAUUACUAAUUAAUUAAGGACUUUAUUGCUAUAAUUUAUCGCUUACUAGUUUAAACUAUAAAUGAUCUCAAUACUUUUCUCCAUGAUGUCGAUUUCUUUAGAUUACGAAAGGGAAAAAUUAGUGACAUAUCCCUUACUGAUUACAACAUCAGCAAAAAUUAGUUAUAAAUUUUUCCGGUGGUUUUAAAUCCCUCGGGCACUAAGAUUUUUUGCACAUCGAGUGAAUUGAGGAACAUAGGCAAUUCGUUCUGCAUACCAAGUCCUUGUUUAAGAUGCAAGUACUAAAAUGCAUCCACUUCAUUAAUUUGGGAAAUUGCCAUAGUUUUUUUUAAGCAUUUUGAUUUUUUACAUGAUUCAAAAUUUUCUUAUUGGAUACAAUCACUUUGUAUCAAGAACAUUUUCAAUCAUCCUUUUUAUCUUCUCAAUAAGAAAAUAAAAAUUUAUUCAUGCUUUUCUAACAUAUCCAAUCAUUGAUCUGAAAAAUAAAGAAUUUAAAAAAAAAGACAUUUUCAAUCAUUGCUUACAGGGCAACUUCCCCAUGUGAACCUCUUCAAACAAAGCCAAUAAUAUGAAGGAACAUCUAAAUACACUUUUGCCCUAAAGGCUGGUUGCCUUGGGGUCAAAAUUUAACCUUCGGGAGUAUAAUUACCCUGCCAAAUUUAUUAUUUUUUAUGGGUAUAUAGUUCCAAUUUUUCCUCCUGUUAAGCUUAUAAAUAUAUUAUCACCCAGAAAAUAAAGGAAUCUUGAAUACUAACAUGUCCAUUUACUUGAGUUGUCAUCAAUUUGGCUACUUCGAUUCCAUGAGGGCAAUCCAAUUCACACUUGCUAGAGAAAAUGGUGAUAAAGGCACAAAGAAAAUUAUAUGUAAUAUUGAUUGGUAGUAACCACCUUGUAUUGAUCCCACUAUUGUGGAUACUCGUGCUCUUAUGAAAAAAAAUUAUAAAAAAUUAGCAAAAUUUAAAAGAACAAAGUAAAUUUAUUCGUACAAAUCAGUCAAAGAAGUAGCAUUUUAAAGACCAUGAUGAAAUUAAUACUUUCAAGGUCUCUAUUAGGAAGACUUCCUUUGUUGGUGAAACUACACUAGGUACGGUUACAUGCAGAUGUUUACUGUUUUGGUACCUAAUUUCCUUGCCUUGAGUUGGGUGCAGAUGUUUAUAUUACAAAUAGAUGGUAUCAUAAAUUUGUUGUAUUAACGUCUGUUCUUUUUUUUCUUCCUUAAGUUUUUUUCUUUAUUCUCGUGACUUCAAAAAUACGAACUCAAGAAAUUAACUGCUUCGACAUUAAGGUAUAACUUCACAACUAGAGCCAAUAGAAAUCGUCAAAUGAUUUUUUGACAUCCAAAUUAAGCAAUAAAUUUUGUUUUCAUUUCACGGGAGAUUUUAUAGUUUCUUUUGGGUAUCAUACCUACAAGUGAUAAUUGUCAUUGGAUAGUGAAAGAAGUGUUAAUGAUUGUAAGAUUAAAUAUUGAAAAUUUAAACUAUUUAUCUUUAUUGAGAGAUACAACUUAAAGAAUCGUAUCCAAAAGAGACUAUAGAAUUUUCUCUGUUUUUCAUCAUCUGUAGACAUAAACUUUCUACGGUUGAUGUACUAUAAGGAAAUUUUGCCUAUACAAUGUGAUACCAUUUUUUCAAAAAGACAAGAUGGCAAAUUGCCCCCUUGAACGGAAAAAAUCAUGAUCUUUCCUCAAACUAGUCUACUUGUCAAUUCUUUGAAAAAGAAUACACUGCCCCGCAGAAUUCUAGAAAGUUAGGCAAAACUAGACAAGUUGACAGCUAUAAUCAUACCCAAGAUCAGGAACAAGCAGUUACACAUUUCAAAAUUCGCUGCUGCAACAACUAAUUUGAUGACUUACAACACUAAAUGGUCAAACUUUGAAUGGCAAUGAAUCUUUUGUUGUACAUCAUGAUGUAAUUUUCAUGUUACAUAAUAGAUUGAUAUCUAUGUUCUUUAAAUUAUCAUAAUAAUUAAAUUUAACUGAUAAAAAGAACACAUAUCAAUACACAAAAGUGUGUAACGUGAAUGUUAUAUUAGUGUAUUGCAGAAGACCUAUAGUCUCUUCACAUCUCUUCCUGCAUCUUUUAUGUUUUAUUACCUCCAAAAGCCUUUACAGGGUCUUUACCCUAAAAAUCAAUUCACCGACUCGCAUUUGAUGUCAGAAAUUCUUAAGACGAAUUCUACUUUACUCAAAGAUUGACUGUUAAUAAUGAGACAACGACCAUUUUGUAUUAUUACACCGUCCUUCUUGAUAGGCAAAAGAAAUAGAGAGGAAAGCGGGUCCGUAUAUGGUCUUUUAUUCAUAGAUAAUACAACAUUACGCCAUCGAGCAUUCACACAAUAUUUCAAAGUCAUUGCAUGCCUAAAGCCCCGCUUGAUAAUCCAAUUUCAUACUUAAAUUUAAUGGAUUCAAAUUUUAACACAUUCAAAUUGUUUGAUAACAAAAAAUUGAACGUCUAAAUUAAUUAAGUAACACUAAAUUUUUUAGACAAAACUUGCUCCCAAAAUUAAGUGAUAAGCUAUAUCACUUAUCACUGAAUGUGAUAUGCAUUCAAAUGUAUUAUAUUUAAUACUUAAUAAUUUAAUAAUUUAAUGGAUUCAAAAUUCAGAUUUUAGAUUUCAGUUUUAUCAAACAUACCCUAAGUUGCAAAAUAAUACCAAAACUUGUUAUUAUAUAGCUUGAGAUUCAAAAAUUUAGAGCAUAAUUCUCAACCUAACACAAUUGAAUAAUGAAUAUUCACGAUUGUCAAAUCUAUCAAAGUACAAUUUGAGGACAACCCAUUCCAACGCGUACACAAUUUCUCACUUUUCUAAAGUUGUUGAGAGCUGUUAAAAGAGAUUUACCAUGUUUACAUCUUCCAAGUCUUGGGAGUAAAAAAUGAAGCCACCGAGUGCUAUAAAAAGGGGGCUAGAGGCUGCCUAGAAGCAUAUCAGCCUAAAACAAGAAUUUGUAGUAACAAUGGGGAGCAAAGCAAAAGCAACGGGGUCUAGGCUGACUCCUCUUCUUACCACUGUUUUAGUGGUAUUUGUCGCCCUUGGCUUGCCCUUGGAAACUGCAGCUGAUUAUUACAAGUAUUCAUCUCCUCCUCCUCCUCCUUACCACUAUUCUUCACCACCACCUCCAGUGUAUUCACCUCCACCAACCCCUGCUUAUAAGUUACCCCCACCAUCUCCUCCAGUUUACAAGUCCUCACCACCACCUUACCACUACUCACCACCUCCGGUGUAUUUACCUCCACCAUCUCCAGUUUACAAGUCACCACCACUACCCCCUCCGGUAUACAACUCCCCGCCUCCACCAGUGUACAAAUACAAGUCCCCACCACCACCUCCUCCAGUUUACAAAUCUCCACCGCCACCAGUUUACAAAUACAAGUCACUCCCACCACCUCCUCCGGUAUACAAGUCUCCUCCGCCACCUGUUUACGAGUACAAGUCUCCUCCACCACCUCCUCCAGUGUACAAGUCCCCACCACCUCCAGUUUACAAGUACAACUCACCUCCACCUCCUCCCCCAGUUUACCUGUCUCCACCUCCACCCUAUCAUCACUACUACGGUUCUCCUUCUCCUCACCACUACUAAGCAAGUGCAUAAGUUUUGAGGUAAUAAUACCUAUCCAAAACUUUAUCAACACAAACUGCCAUGUAUAUCAUGCUAAGGACGUACACUUGAUCCAUGAAAAUGACUAGUAGAAGAUUUUUUUUAAGAACCAAAGAAAUACAUUAUUUUUUCGGUCUGUUUUCAAGAAUUUGAGCAGUAUACAGAUUAAAGAGUGUUUUUUUUUUUGUAAACUUGCUUGUCAACUUAAAAAUGCACAUAGCUGAAAGCCAACUGAAUAUUUGCAGGCAAAGGAGAAGGCAAUCGGUGUUUGAGACCUUCAAGAAGAUGUAGAAGAAUAAGAAUAAAAGCCCAAUGCGAGGAUGAUUCCAAGUUUCUACGUUACCAUUUCUACAUCUAAAUUGACUUUAGCUCCUGAGUUCCAUGUUUAUGGGGUUUGUACCGUUUUACGUACCAUGCAGUACAUGCUUGCAAGGUUUUCUGUCCUGUUGGCAAACUGCAGGUCCAUAUAAUAAAUGAAUACUAUUUACAUUACGACACUUUUCUCUUUUUCUCUUAUAUUUUGUCUUUAAUAUUGUUGAUCAUUUUUUUUUUAUCAAAAGCAUCAAAUGCUUAGGUAAUUUGGUCUAAUGCUAAUUGUUUUACUUUUAUUUUUCACCUACACCCCUUUUCAACUCAAAGGAUGCUAUAGUUUGUGAUAAUUGUUUAAGACCGAAGCAUGAUACUAAUAAAUAUCUCAUUGAAAGUCAAGGAAACUAACAUUAGGAAAAGUUUAAAUCUUGAUUUGAUGAAACUAUUUAUUCGUGGAAUUUAGAGAUACAAAACUCAAAUUGUGACGGUGUUGUUGCUAAAUUAUUAAGGACAUUAUCACCAUUAUUUUUCCCUGAUCACUAGUUUCAACUGCAAUGAUCUCAAUCUUUUUGUGACUAAUUCUUUCCUUAAUAAUUUAUAAAGACAAAACUCACAAAGAAUAUGUGACUAAUUCUUUCCUUUCGUCUUCUAAAGAAAAUGCCAACUGUUAGUUUAUCAAGGGGAAAAAGGAUCGACAUCAGUUAUUAUUGAAACUAGUAAGGAAUAAAUAAUGGUGAUAAUGUCCUUAAUAAUUUAACAACAGCACCAUCAGAAUUUGACUUUGAGCUUCGGUCUUAAACAAUGAUCACAAACUACAGCAUCCUUUGAGUUGAAAAAGGAAGUAGGUGAAAAGAAAAGUAAAAAAUACAAUUAGCAUUCCCUCAAAUUGUAGAAAGUUAGGUAGCAUUAUAGACAAGUUGAUAGCGGCAAUUUUACAUUUCAAACUUCACCUAUUCAAUAACUAAUUCGAUGGCUUGCUACAUGGUCAAUCUUUGGACCCCUUCCUGCCUCCAGAUAUCCCUUUCCUCAAUCAGGGGCUUCUACAAUUACCAGUUUCAAUUGUAUGGUAUAGUGUAAAUAUCAACAAAUUAGAUGUAGAUGCUAACAUAAUAAAUGUGAAUGCUAAGACAGCAACAUACAAUCGAACCUGCAAUUGUAUGAACCCCAAUCUCGCUUCCUAGUCCACCAUCUUUCUCUAGGUAAUAAUCUCCCUUCUAAUUUAUUCACAAAAUGCACCUUUCAUCACCUCCAAUAGCGUCGACAUGAUCUUUACCCUAGAAGACUAUUCACCGACUCUCAAUUGACGUCAGAAAAUCUAAGAGUAAUUCUACUUUACCCUAAGAUUGAUAUCAACAAGACAAGGACAAUUUAGAAUUAUUACACGCCUCUUCUUAAUAGGAAAAAGAAAUAGAGAAGAAAGUCAGGCCAGGUCUAAUUUCUUUUCAAAGGCAAUACAACAUUACGAAAUCAAGCAUUCAUUCAUACAAAUAUUUCAUAGUCACCGGUUUGCUGAGUAGAAAAAUUUAGACAAAAACUUAAUAUUAUAUUGUUUAAGAGUUAACAAUUUAGAGCUUAAUCUCCUUGUACUUUGGAGUUAACAAUUUAGAGCUUAAUCUCCUUGUACUUUGGACUAAACUUGAACGUGAAAGGAAAUCCCAAAACCAUAUUGGGCAUGAAUUCACACUUAAUAUACCCAAUAAAAGAUGGCGACUGGUGAAAGGCAGUGGAGACUGGUGGAGAGAUUUGAGGAAUAGAAGCAGACGGAAAAGCAACAAAUUUUUGCCGAAAAACGGUCACUUUCAUGGUUAAUUUUGCUACUCUCCAAUUGUACUUGACCAAUUACAACAAUUUCAUGGAGUUUGAUACGUGAAAAGAAUUUUUUAUAAAUUUUAUUUUGAUCCAUAAUGUUAUCUUUACAUAUAUAAAACAUUUUACAAUUUUGAUUUUGGCGCAGCUAACUUUUGGUUAACAAAAAUGCUCAUGUUUAAAAAACCAGAAAUAAAACAAAACAAGAAACAAAAGAAAUAAGAGGGUAGCAUAGACAUUUUGGAUUUUUCCGUUAAUUUGGAUGAUUUCCACCCACGUUCUAAUUUAAUCCAAAACACAAAGGAAUUACGUAGAGGUUUUAAAUAAUCAGGGAGCUUCAUGAUCGAACCCCAAACCACGUGAUAGCAUACAAGAGUUCUAUUUCACUAUCGGUAGACAAAGACUUUCUAUGGUUGAUGUACCGUAGGAAAAAAUCUGCCUAUACAACGUGAUAGCAUUUUUUCAAAAACACAAGAUGGAAAAUUGCCCCCUUAAACGUGGAAAUUCAUGAUCUUUCCUCGAACAAAGAAUACUCACGCCUAUUCAAGAUGGAAAAUUGCCCCCUUAAACGUCUAUUUGUCAAUUCUUGAAAAAAGAAUACUCACGCCUAAAACACGGCCUCUUCAUCUGCAGAAUUCUAAAAAGUUACGUAAACUCUAUAAACAAGUUGAUAGGUACAAUCGUACCCAAGAUCAAGUACAGAUAGUUGUACAUUCACUGCUGCAAUAACUAAUCUGAUGACUUACAAACAUAUCAUGGUCAAUCGUUGAAUGGUAAUGAGUCUUUUGUUAUGCAUUAGUAUUAGUGUGUACACUCUAAUAGAUUGAUACUUAUACUCUUUAAAUUAUCAUAAUAAUACCCUUAAUUAACUUUAACUCUUAAAAAGAAUACGUGUUAAUACACGAGAGUGUGUAACCUGAAUUGUUACUUAUACAUUAGUGUGUAAUAGAUAGGGAUGGCAGUGAGGGCGAGUGCCCGCGGGGGGCUCUCGGGGCGGGGGCGGGGGAGAAUUUUUUCCCCCCGUUUAGAAACGGGGCAGGGGACGGGGGAGUAUACCCCCGCCCCAUCCCCCGCCCCGCCACCCGCAAAAAAAAUUAUAUAUAUAUAAUUAUAUAUAAUAUGUAAUUUAAUUAGUUAUAAACUUAUGAUAAUGAUAUUAUUAGUUAGAUGUAUUAUAUAAUGUAUAUUAGUGUAUGUAAUAUAAUUAAUAUUAUCAAUUAUACGAAUAAUUAGACAUGUCCACUAAUAGAGUUUAUUAAUUAGUUAUACUAAAUUUACUAAUACAUUUGUACUAAAUUUCUAAUUACACUUAAUAGAAUAACACUUUUUUCUAAAAAAAAAAGCACAAACACAAUAAUGAAUUAGUGAUUGUAUUUGUACCAAAAGUGAAAACUUAACUAUUUUAGUUGUAUUUAUUUCAUCAUGUUGGAUUGUAUUCAAAUAAUUUUUGUUUGAUUGUUUUUAUGAGUUUCAAUUGUAAAAUUAAAAUGAAUAAUAACUUGAUGAUGUGUUGAUAUUUUAGUACUUGAUUAUUUAUUGAUUUAACUAUAAUAAAAUUUUAUUUUAUUAAAAUUUAACUAUAAUAAAAUUUUAUUAACCAAACGAGUUAUUAAUCCCGCGGGGGCACCCACGGGGGAAGCGGGGCGGGGCGGGGGAGUGGGAGGCGGGGGACGGGGCGGGGGUGGGGGGAGUUGUAGGUAGCGGGGCGGGGGAUGGGGGAGGGGUCCCCCGCCCCAACCCCGCCAUCCCCCGCCCCGUUGCCAUCCCUAGUAAUAGACUGGCAAGCAUUGUGGUGGUCAUUGAGAACUUACUGGAGAAAUAGUCCUAUAAGCUGUUCAAUGAGCAAUCACAACUUGCUAAUUGGAUGACUAAUAUAGCUCUAGCUGUAAUGUUUUAAUUAAAUUACAUCACUAACGUUGGGAUGACUUUUUAACCAAAAAAAAAUGCCUUAGUUCAAGCUUUUCCCUUUAUUGUGCAUUUUUUAAAGCAUUUGAUAGGCACUGCAAAUCUGUCAUUUUGGACAUUUUAUUAUUGACUAACAAUGAAAGCCGUGACGUCUACCCAUAACCAACACAAGAUUAAAUUAAUAUUAGAAAAAAUAAUUGAGUAAUUGGAAAAAAAAAAAGAGACUCAUUUUCAUUGAAACCCACCGACAAACUAAACGUGUCCAUGGCUUUUGAAUAGUGCAUUCAACGUUUAAUUGUAUAGUCCAGUUCAUUGCAGAUUACAUGGAGUAAAGAUUGUGCUCUUUCCUUUUUCACCCCUUUUGGAAUCGAUACUGUGGAGAAUUGGGUUUUUCCCUUCUUUUUUUCUUUUCUUUCCUUCUGUGCUUUGCAAAACAUAGGUAAAAAUAUGAAAUCCGAAGCAUUCUUUAAUUGGGAUUAAGUAUUGUUGUUGAAAUUAAAAAGAAAAAAGAAAGAACAACAAAAUUCCCAAUCUGGGUUGAUUGUUGAGCUCUAGAUUGGUUGCAUCGUGCUUCCAUAGAAGCUCUCUUAGUGUGAUACACUGCUUUCAAUCAGUUUAACACGGGAAAAAAAAAAAAAGAGAUGAAAAGCAAAUUUGGUGGGGAUAAUUUCAGAAACCUCCCCUGAAGAUUUUGACUAUUCUACUGGUCUCCCUUCAGAUUUUAAAAAUUACACUAAUCUUCCUUGAAGUUAAUUAUCUUGUAACAUUUAAAUUCAAUCAAUAAUUUAAAAAAUGAUAUUAUGAGAGAGAAAAUAAUGAUUUUAUCAUUGCCCCCCAUCUUACUACAUUAUUUAAUUAAUUUAAUAGCAACCCACACAUUAAAGAAAAAUAUUAAAAUUUGUUGUUUAUCAUUAAAGAUCAAAUCGCUUAUAACAUCAAAUAAUAGUAUAUUAUUUAUAUUUUUCACUCAAUAUAAUAUCCAAAUUACUCUUUUCAAUUACAUACCCAUUGUUAGACAAUCAACAACAAAUAACCAAAAAAUUUGCAACCAAAAUAUUACAAAAAAAUAAACUUUAACAUAUAAAUAUUCUUAUCAACAUAUUAAAGUUAGUUACUGAAAUUUUUAUGCUGUUAAACUUCACUCUUUUUGGUUACAGAUUUUUUUGAUUAUUUGUUAUUAAUUAUGUUUGAUGAUGGAUUUAUAAUUGAAAAGAACAAUUUGAAACUUACAUUAAGUAAAAUAUAUAGAGUGAUAUACUAUUUUUUAUAACAUAUGUGAUUCAAUCCUUCUUGAUAGGAUUGGUAAUAGAGGUAGAGGGGGGAGCCGGCUGCAUCCGGUCUACUUUUCAUAGAUAGUACAAUAUUGCGAAAUCGAUCGCAUUCACGCAAUAUUAUUUCCAAGUCAUUGCAUGGCUAAGCUGCAAAAAAAGUACGAACACAUGUUAUUAUAUAGCUUACGAUUCAAAACUUUAGAGCAUAACCCUCCACCUAACACAAUUGAAUAAUGAACAUUCACGUUUGUCAAAUCUGUCAAAGCACAGUUUGAGGACAACCCAUUCCAACCUGCAAAAGAUUUUUUACUUUUCUAAAGUUGUUGAGAGCUGUAAAAAGACUUACCAUGCUUGCAUCCUCCGAGCCUUGGGAGUUAAAAAUGAAGGCACUGAGUGCUAUAAAAAGGGGAAUAGAGGCUGCCUAGAAGCAUAUCAGCCUAAAACAAGAAUUUGUAGUUAAGAUGGGAAGCAAAGCAAAAGCAAUGGGGUCUGGGCUGACUCCUCUUCUUGCCACUGUUUUAGUGGUGUUUGUUGCUCUUGGCUUGCCCUCACAAACUGCAGCUGAUGAUCACUACAAGUAUUCAUCUCCUCCUCCUCCUUACCACUAUCCCUCACCACCACCACCAGUGCAUAUACCUCCACCUCAUCCUGUUUACAAGUACAAAUCUCCACCACACCCCCAGUACAAGUAUAAGUCACCACCACCACCUCCUCAUCCGGUAUACAGUCUCCUCCGCCACCACACACCCAGUUUACAAGUACAAGUCACCACCACCACCUCCUCAUCCGGUACCACACCCAGUUUACAAGUAUAAGUCUCCUCCGCCACCAGUUUACAAAUACAAGUCUCCUCCACCACCACCUCCAGUGUACAAAUACAAGUCUCCACCACCACCAGUUUACCACUACAAGUCUCCACCACAGUUUACAAAUACAAGUCUCCACCACCACCCCCAGUUUACAAAUACAAGUCUCCACCACCACCAGUUUACCACUACAAGUCACCACCACCUCCUCCCCCAGUUUACAAAUACAAGUCUCCACCACCUCCUCACCACUACUAAGCAAUUGCUUCUGAGGUAAUAACACUUGUUCAAUAUACCCACUUCUGCAUGAUAAAGCAUAUCUCUAUCAACACAAACUGUCAUGUCUAUCAUGCUAAGUGCCUUCACUUCAUCCACCAAAAUGACUGCUAGAAAAUUUUUUUUAUGUUACCAAAGAAAGGCAUCAUUUUUUCCCUCUGUUAUCAAGAACUUGUACAGUAUAUAGAUUAAAGAGUAUUUUUUUAACUAGCUUAUCAACUGAGAAAUGCAUAUAGCUGAUAGCCAGCUGAAUAUUUGCAGGCAAAGGAGAAGGAAACCAGUGUUUGAGACCUUCUUGAAGAUGUAGAAGCAUAAGAAUUAAAGCCCAAUGUGAAGAUGAUGAUUUCAAGUUUUUCUACGUUACCAUUUCUUUAUCUAAAUUGGUUGUAGCGCCUUAGUUCCUUUGUUUAUGGGAUUUGUAUCGUUUUACGUACCAUGCAGUACAUGUCAUGUUUGUAAGGUUUUCUAUCCUGCCGGCAAACCGCAGGUUCCAUGUAAUAAAUCAAUACUAUUUAUAUUACGACACUUUUCUCUGUUUCUCUUAUAUUUUGUCGUCUUUAAUAUUCUUAAUCAUAUUUUUAACAAAAAUAUUCAAACACUUAGGCAAUCUGGUCUAAUGCUAAUUGUAUGUUUUACUUUUCUUUUUCACCUGCUCCCCUUUUCAACUCAAAAGGAUGCAAUAGUUUGUGAUCACUGUUUAAGACGGAAGCAUGAUACUAAUGAAUAUCUCAUUGAAACUCAAGGAAACUAACAUUGCGAAAAGUGUAAAUCUUGAUUUGAUGCAACUAUUUAUUCGUGGAAUCUAUAGUUACAAAACUCAAAUUCUGACUGCGCCAUUGAUAAAUUAUUAAUGACGCUAUCAUCAUUAUUUAUCCCUAACUAGUUUCGACUACAACUGAACCCAAUAUUUUCCCCAUGAUAAAAGUUUUUGACUAUUUUACUGGCCUCUCUUCAAAUUUUAAAAAUUACACUAAUCUUCAUUGAGAUUAAUUAUCUUGUAACAUUUAAGUCCAAUUAAUAAUUAAAAAAUGAUAUUAUGAGAGAGAAAAUAAUAUAAUUUUAUCAUUGCCCCCCAUCUUGCUAUAUUAUUUAAUUAAUUUAAUAGCAACCCACACAUUAAAGAAAAAUACUAAAAUUUGCUGCUUUUCAUUAAAGAUCAAAUUGCAUAUGCCAUAAAACAUAGUAUAUCAUUCUAUAUGUUUCACUUAAUGUAAGAUCCCAAUUGUUCUUUUCAAUUACAAACCCAUUGUCAAUAACAAAUAACCAAAAAAUUUGCAACCAAAAUAUUACAAAAAAAAACUUCAACAUCAUAAAUAUUCUUACCACCUCUAGUGCAUUCACCCUCAUAAAAUAAUUCAAGACCCUACUGUCAUAAAAUGACUGAUCAACUCCCGUAAACCUAAUUUGACAACAUUUAAAUGGAGAACUUUAGCUAAAAGAAUUAUGGUCAAGCUAAAGAAAAAACCAGUUAUUUUCCAACAUAUGCAAUCAUUGAUCAGGGAAAAAAAAAAGAGCAAAAAGACAUCUUCAAUCAUUUAAUAGCUUACAGGGCAAAUUAACCCCUAAGCGAAAACUGGUUGCUCUAGAAUCAAAAUUUUACUUUAGUUACCCAGGCAACUUUUUUGUUGCUUUUUUUUUUUUUUUCCUUUAGUUUUGCCCCCUCUGUCAAGCUUAUAAAAUUAUUAAGAUAAUAAAAGUGCCUUGAAUAGUAUUAAUAUAUCCAUUGACUUGAGCUGUCGUCAGUUUGCGAUUCCAUGAGGCCUUUUCAAAGUACUCAGAAAAUGGGGAGUCAUGAAAUCCAUUUGUUCUAUUCAUUGCUAAGAUGCUUUUCUCUAUAAAGAGACUUCCUAACGAAAAUACUUUGUAGAUUUCUUUACUCCAAGUGGUGCAUGGAAAAUUAAUAUUUUCAAUUAUCAAAUAAAAUUCCCUUUUUUCGGCGUAGAUUUCAUCCAUCCAGCUGUUAACACAUUCUAUAAAUCCGAAUUGACUAAUCUUUUCGUUUCCAUUUUCCAACUUGCGAAUACGGCAUAUAGUGUCUGCUAAACACUAUAUAUUCUCUGCCAAAUAUGAAUACAUAUCACUUUUCUGAGCAAGUGCAGAGUCAUUAUCAUUUUUAUUCCCACCUAACAAAUUAGGGAUAAAAAAGUUAAUAAUCUUUACAUGCUAUCAGGUCACAAGUUAAUAAUCUUUUAAAGAACAUGUUAAAUUAAUUUAUUGGUAUGAAUAGUAGUCAAAGAAGUAUGUUAAAGUUAGUAAUCUUUAAAAUAAUAUGUUAAAAUCAUUCGUACAAAUUAGUCAGAGAAGUAGCAUAAACACCGCGAUGCAAUUAAUACUUUCAAUCUCAAGGUCUCUAUUAUGGAAAUUUGCAUCGGUCAAUAUACACUUGGCAUAAUAUAAUCUCCCAACUCAUUUCUUUACAAAUGCACCUUUAAUCACCACCAAAAGGUGUGGACAUGAUCUUUACCCUAGAAAACUAUUCACCGACAGGCAAAUUGACGUCAGAAAUACUGAGGAAUUCUAGUUUCCUUCGGGUUCAUGCCAUGUUGUAUCCUUCAACUGUAACUCGAUUUCUAAGCUGUAAUUUGUGACAUAAUAGUCCUUAAACUAUGAAACCCUUCUUACUUAAUUACAAUGGUUAAUACAAUGCCCGUGACUAGACAAGUAUGAAGCAACCAUAACAGAAAAAAAAUCCAAAAUUAGAGAAAAGAAAGAAGUUUCGCGACCACCACCAGUUUACAAGUCACCUCCACCACCUCCUCCAGUUUACAAGUCACCUCCACCACCUUACCAUUAUUCCUCACCACCACCUCCAGUGCAUUCACCCCCACCACCACCAGUUUACAAGUCUCCGCCACCACCUUACCAUUAUUCCUCACCACCACCUCCUGUGCAUGCACCUCCACCACCAAUUUACAAGUCACCUCCUCCAGUUUACAAGUCUCCACCACCACCUUACGAUUAUUCCUCACCACCACCUCCAGUGCAUUCACCCCCACCACCACCAAUUUAUAAGUCUCCCCCACCGCCUCCCCCAGUAUAUAAGUCACCACCACCACCUCCUCCAGUAUACAAAUCACCUCCACCACCUCCUCCAGUUGACAAAUCUCCACCACCACCAAUUUAUAAAUACAAGUCUCCUCCACUACCUCCUCCAGUGUACAAGUCAUCACCACCACCUGCUUACAAGUCUCCACCUCCUCCAGUUUACAGUUCCCCACCACCACCAAUCUACAAGUCUCCACCUCCACCCUACCAUUACUACUACAAUUCUCCUCCUCCUCCUCGUCACUACUAAGCAAUUGUAUCCAAGUUUUUGAGGUAAUAACGCUUAACCAAUAAAUUAACUUUCGCAUGAUAAACCUUAUCUCUAUCAAGACAAACUGCCAUGUGUAUCAUGCCAAAUACGUACACCUAGAUCCAUGAAAAUGAAUGGUGAGGAGGGCCAUUUAGGCUCGGAGCGCCCUAGGCCUAGUUCCCCACCAUUUCCUGAAGUGCCGCCUCGGGUAUUAUCCUGGAAGGCGAUCGCGGCCCAUUUACCACCUCGGCUACAAUGUCAGGUCGUAACACCGAGGUGGACAUUGAAUGACAACUACGAAAAGGGGAGAUGUGAUCUCUGACACCUGAGCAAAGGCUGCUCUGACCCGCCGCCUGAAUCUGACAGAAUGUCCCAUCACGUCUCUUCAUGGAGACCGGUCAAGUCCACCUGAUCCACUGACUAUCUCAGAUCUUUUGGGACCCGUGCAAACAUCUCCUCUCUCCUAUCAGUCCCCUAUAAAUACACGAUACUUCUACUGAAAAAGGAGAUGACCAAUUUCUGGUAAAACACACUCCACUCAUUAUUUACUUCUCUAUAUCCGAACUGACUUAAGCUUCGGAGUUAUACCGGGGGAUCCAGCCCCUUUCUUAUCCAAGCAGGUGACUUCGUCCAAGAGAGUUGCCCAAGGUAAAGAUAUUCUUCCAAUUGAGGUGACUCACUCCUGCGGGUCGAAAAUCACCUCUUCAAUUGGCGCCGUCUGUGGGAACCGCAAAGAUAUUAGAAGAUGAAGCCUGCGCGUUCUAGAAGCAGAAAAGCUCUCACUAUCGAGGCUGGGCAAAGCAAUGCAGCUCAACAAGAAAAUAUUUCUGAAGGGCAGGAGUCCCCAAGGACUCAGCCCGCAAACGAAAAAGCCAUAACCCGUAUGGCCGAGUUUGUGACCGAGAACCCCAACAUCUUUGAAGAGUUGGGAAGAUACCUGAAGAGGCAAGGCAAACAAAAGGCCGAGUCCUCUAAAAGGAUGUCAGAUGGGUCUCUUGAGGACUCAUCUGAGGAGGAGUCGGAUGGAAGGCACUUAAGCCGAAGUGCCUCAAAGCGAGCAUUUUCUAAGGCCACUUCUAAGGUAGCCUCCCUGACCAAGGCGUUUUCCCGAGGGCUCUUGGGCCGACGACCCGAGGAAGAACCUCGGCCCUUGGGAAUACCCGGGGUGGACUGCAUGAGGGCUCCACCGUUCACGGAUGAUAUAAACGAGGAAAGGCUUCCUCCCAAUUUUAAGCUCCCCGCAGUACAAUCUUACGAUGGCCGAGGUGAUCCCGAGAAUCACAUCCAUACCUUCAUCUCGGCCUUCCAAAUAUACUGCAUCCCAGACCCUGUCAUAUGUCGGGCCUUUCCAGUAUUCCUCAGAGGAACUGCUCGAAAAUGGUUCUGAGCUCUAGAACCUAGGAGCAUUUCGACCCUGGGUGAAUUAGUGGAGAAGUUUCUCCACCGAUUUGUCUCCUCCCGACCUACGACUAGGACCUCGGCUUACCUGCUCACCGUGCAGCAGAACCCGGGAGAGUCACUCCGGUCGUACGUCCGGAGGUUCCAUGAGGAAAGCGUUCAGAUACCUGACCCCAAUGAGCAGGUAACCCUCGCUGCCUUUACCCAUGGACUCGUUGCCGGGGAGUUCAAUACGGGGAUCCAUAAAAAAUACCCCCGCACACUGCAUGAAUUGUGGUUGAAGGUUGAAAAGGGCAUACAGGCCGAAGACCUCCAUCGCAUGAAGAAAGAGGUCCAAGCCACCCGUCCAAGGGCUGAGCCCAGAAAGGGAAAAGACGCUGGCCGAACUGAAGUAGGGUCGGGAAGUGGCUUCCGAAGUCCUGGCCGAGACCGCCGCAGCGUGUUCGACAGGAUAUCCAAGGGGAAGUCACCUAUUCCCGAGUCCGAGUUGACUCCUUUAAAUACUACCCGAUCUCACGUGUUGUCCGUGAUGGAACAAAACAACCUCGGCAAGGGCCCGCCGAGGAUGUUUGGAAGCAGAGACAAGAGGAACUCGAACCUCUACUGCUUGUAUCAUCGUGACAUUGGUCACGAAACUGAGGAUUGCAACGAUCUCAAGAAGGAGAUCGAGAACCUCAUUAGACGGGGACACUUGAAACAGUUCAUCCGCAGAGGUGGAGGUCACCAACGUGACGAAAACCGGCAUGACAAAUGAGGUGACCAACGCCGAGAUGAGCGGCGGAGCUCCAGAAGCAGUUGCCGACCUCCUGAGGAUCCCAGGGAGACGAAAAGGCCUCCCCCAGACGGAUCUUCGGGACAUGGGCCAACCAUUGCCCGGGUCAUUAACACCAUUGCCGGAGGUCCGACGGGAGGGGACAGUCAGAACUCCCGGAAGAGAACCUAUAAGCAGGCUAACCCGGAUCAGGCCGAGUCGAGUUCUCGCCUGUCCGAGGUGAUCACCUACGGGCUCAGUGAUCCCAUCCCAGCUGCAUCCAGCAGUCAUGAAACCUUGGUGAUUGAAGUCCUCACCAAUAACUACAUUGUGAAAAGGUCUACAUAGACCCGGGAAGUUCAGUUGACGUCAUGUACCUCCGUACCUUUGAGAGCCUUAAAAUGGCUAAGGGGUGCAUGACCCCGCUGAGAACCCCUCUUGUAGGGUUCGGGGGACACGUGGUGCACCCCGAAGGGAUGGUGACUCUGACAGUGACCAUAGGGCAUCACUCUCGCUGUAGAACCGUCCCUGUCAAUUUUGUGGUGGUUAAGGCUGACUCCCCAUACAACCUACUUUUAGGUCGGCCUACGCUCAAUGCCUUGCGGGCGGUCUACUCCACCUACCACCUGAGCUUCAAGUUUCCUACCCCAGCAGGGGUGGCCGAGGUCAGCAGCGACGUCUGUGCUGUCCGGGAGUGCUACCUCGCCACCCUACAAGCAGCCUCCCCGUCUACCUCCGGUGCGAGGUCCGAGAAGAGGUCAAAUAUCCUCUCAAUAGAUAGCAUCGAUCCUCAGUGAGCUGAGAAGGUCCCGAGGCUGGAGACUGGGGAUGAGGUGGAAGAGAUUCCCCUGGACCCCACGAAACCUGAUCAGACAGUUCGCGUUGGUACCCGAUUGCCCGGUCCUAUCCGAAGAGGUAUGAUGGACCUCCUCAGGGAAUACCGGGACGUCUUUGCUUGGGCCGCCGAAGAGGUCCAAGGAGUCCCGCACCAUCUCAUGAUGCAUGACUGAACGUCGACCCCCAAGUCCGUCCGGUCAAACAGAAGAGAAGGCACAUCGGCCCUGAGCGCAGCCAAGCUGUUGGUGAGGAAGUGGACAAGCUUUUACCCGCUAAAAUAAUCCGAAAAGUCCAAUACCCGAUCUGGUUGUCUAACUCGGUCAUGGUCAAGAAGGAUACGGGGGCUUGGAGAAUGUGCGUCGAUUUUACCGACCUCAACAAAGCCUGCUCCAAGGAUUGCUACCCCUUGCCCAAAGUCGAUACUUUGGUAGACUCAGCAAUGGGCUACGAGAUCCUCUGUUUCUGGGAUGCAUUCAAAGGCUAUCACCAAAUUGGGAUGAGUCAAGAAAACCAGGAGAAAACGGCCUUCUACACCGACCGCGGCACGUACUGUUAUACUACCAUGCCAUUCGGGUUGAAGAAUGCCGGAGCCACUUAUCAACGCUUGGUCAACCAAGCAUUCAAGUCUCAAAUCGGCCGGAAUGUUGAGGCCUAUGUAGAUGACAUCCUCCUCAAAAGCCAGACGAACUCCACCUUCCUGGCCGACUUGAAGGAGGUCCUUGACAUCCUGCGGAAGGUGAAAAUGAUGCUGAACCCCAAGAAAUGUGUUUUUGGGGUCACCUCGGGGAAAUUUCUAGGUUACCUCGUCUCAAGGCGAGGUAUCGAAGCAAAUCCGGAUAAGGUGCGAGCCAUCCAGGAGAUGUCUCCACCCCGGUGCGUCCGCGAUGUCCAAAGGCUGACAGGGCGAUUAGCCGCCCUGAAUCGGUUCUUAUCGCAGUCGGCAGCUAAAGCACUGCCCUUUUUCAAAGUGUUGAAGAAAGCUGACCAUUUCUCCUGGACGGAAGAGUGUCAACAGGCGUUUGAGCAGUUGAAGGAUUACCUUCACUACCUUCCAACGCUCACCUCACCUCGUCCGGGGGACAAAUUAAUCUUAUACCUUUCUGCUGCGGCCGAAGCGGUGAGUGCCGUGCUGAUAAGGAAGGAAGGGGUCCAAAUGCCCGUCUACUACGUUAGCCGAGUCCUCCGAGGUCCAGAGACCAGGUACACACAAGCAGAGAAACUUGUGCUAGCCCUGAUCCACGCCGCCCGCAGACUCAAGCCCUACUUCCUAGCUCACCACGUCUGCUUGAGGACUGAUCAACCACUUCGGCAGAUUUUGACACGACCAGAGGUUUCGGGACGUCUUACCAAAUGGGCCAUUGAGCUGGGGGAGUACGACCUAACUUAUGAGCCUCGCACAGCGAUCAAGGCCCAGGCUCUCGCAGACUUCGUAGCCGAGCUCACCUUUGACGAGGUGCAAGGAUCCGUCCCGGCUGCCACAUCGGCCACAGUUGAUGUGGCCACCACUGGGCUCCAGCGGUGGAUCCUACACGUGGACGGUUCGUCAACAGUGAGGGUAGUGGAGCAGGCUUGCUCCUCGAAGACCCCCAAGGAGAAAUAUGCUAAUAUGCCUUAAGAUUUGACUUCGCUGCUUCAAACAAUGAAGCUGAAUACGAAGCCGUCAUUGCUGGACUGCAGCUAGCUCGCAAGCUCGGGGCCGCACACAUCUUGGUUUAUAGUGAUUCCCAACUCGUCGUGUGCCAGAUAUUAGGUGAGUACGAAGCCAGGGACGAGGUGAUGCAUCGUUACCUCUCCAAGGUCCUCCAGUUGGCGACUCACUUCGAGUCUUUUGAAAUUCAAAGAAUACCGCUAUCGAAAAACAGAAGGGCUGACGCCCUCUCCCGGCUUGCCUCAACCUCUUUCUCUGACCUGAACAAGACGGUUCUCGUUGAAGUUCUAGCCGAACCAGGAUAUGUAGCCGAGGUAGUAUACCCCGUCUACCCUGGGGACACCUGGAUGGGUCCCCUGACUCGAUUUUUCAGCCAGGGUGAGCUCCCCGAAGACCGAGCUGAGUCACGGAAGCUCCAACGAAAAGCAGCACGGUACAUUCUCCGACAAGGCCUUUUAUACAAAAGGUCUUACCUCGGCCCUUAGUUGCGAUGUAUCACGCCCGAGGAAGGCCAGAGAAUCCUCCAAGACAUACAUGAGGGGCUCUGUGGUGCUCACGUCGGCUACAGAAUGCUGGUAAAAAAGGCUUUGUUACUUGGGUAUUUUUGGCCCACUAUGAGGAUAGAUGCCCAGGUCAUGGUCCUUUGCUGCCCCUCCUGCCAGCAUCACGCUCCUGAGCACCACCAGCCGACCAAUUUAAUGAUCCCUAUCACCUCGUCAUGGCCAUUUGAGCAAUGGGGAACGGACAUAAUUGGCCCCUUUCCCAGAGCUCCAGGCAAUUAUACCUACGUGGUGGUAGCAGUGGACUACUUCACCAAAUGGGUCGAAGCUGAACCCCUAAAAAAUAUCACUGGUGCGGCAGUCCAGAAAUUCUUCUGGAAGAAUGUGGUUUGCCGCUUCGGCCUACCCCGGGUGAUCAUCUCGGAUAAUGGCCGACAGUUCGCCGAUAAUCCUUUCAAGGCCUGGUGUGAGAACCUCGGGGUCAAACAGCAUUUCACUUCGGUGGGACACCCCCAAGCCAACGGACAAGCCGAAAACUUCAAUCGCACGCUCCUCCAUGGCCUCAAGACCAGGCUCCACCAGGCUGGAUCGUUUUGGAUGGAAGAGCUCCCCAGUGUGCUGUGGUCCUACCGAACUACGCCGAGAUCAGCAACCCAGGAAACCCCGUUUUCCUUAACCUACGGGUCAGAAGCUGUUGUUCCAGCCGAAUUCAUCACCCCGAGUCCACGAAUGGCCGCAUAUGCUGCCGAAGUCAAUGAAGAAGAACGGCGAGUUGACCUCGACCUCGUCGAAGAGAAGCGUGAUAUGGCCGCGGCCAAAGUUGCUGUUUACAAAAAUAUCGUAGCUGGCUACUACAACGCUCGGGUUAAACAUUUGCGGUUCAGUCCGGGAGACCUGGUGCUCAGGAAGAACUCAGUCAGCCGGGCUGAACCUCAGGGUAAACUAACCCCCAAGUGGGAGGGACCAUACCGUGUUGUUGAGUCCAGCCAAAAUGGAUAUUGUAAAUUGGCAUACCGAGAUGGGUCUCUGAGUGCCCCGAACUUGGCAUGCUGAAAAUCUUAAGUUGUACUACCCUUGAGGGUAUGUGCUUUUAAUCUUGAGUUAUUUCACACUUAUUUUCAUUUCAUUAUAAGUGAAAAAUAAGGGGACAAAGUAGCAGUAAAGAGGAAAACCGAAUUUAAUUAAAAAGAAAGCAAGAAUAUGAACUCAAUUCCAUUGAAUUACAUAAAAGUAGAAAGCCGAGGUCACCUUUAAUUAGGAAGAAAGCAAGAAUAUAAACUCAAUUCCAUUGAAUUACAUAAAAGUAGAAAGCCGAGGUCACCUUUGACCUCGGCCUACAAUGACAAAAAAAAAAACAAGUGCCUCUAGGCACUCCCUACCCUGACAUCCUGGCCCCCCGUGGUCGCGCCACCCGUUUCGGCACCCUGUCCACCCUCAGCUCCUCCACCGGCCUGGUCGUCUUCAGUACCAUCUAGUUCAAACUCCUGGAGCCAUUUGUUGAAUUCGGCUCGGACUUCGGUUAGGUCUUUCUCAGUCCGGAUGCCCUCAGCCAUGCUGUCGCAUAGCUCCUUGGCAUCCUCGUUAUAGUGCGAAGUGCUCUGAAGGGACUCCAGUUGUUCAGAGGGAAGAAAGGAUGCCGCGUCAUUAAUAGCCGACGUGUACCCGAACAUGAAGCUUGGCCGGGUGAGCUCGCCGAGGUCACGGAUGAAGGACUCUGACGUCCGGAAGGCUUCCACAGCAGUGACCCCGGCCUUGUCCAUGGCCUCCCUGUUUGACUGUUCUUCUUGGGCCCUCCUUUUUUUCUCCUCAUCAAGAGCAGUCACCAGGGAAUUGUUCGCGACCUCGGCCCUUUUGUUAGCCGCCUUGGCCUUGUCACGCUCCAACUCGGUUGCCUUCAGUUUUUCUUCCAACUCGGCAAUUCUCUUCUGGAGCUCGGCAGGAGGCUCAUAGUUUUCCAUGAACUUUCCAUACCGUUGAAUCAUCUCGACAAAAAAAGCCGUGGUAGAGGCCCAUGACACCGAGGCGCUCUGCAUCAACUCCCCUGCGGAGAGCUUCCUAGCAUAAGUGCUAUCUCGUGGCAGCACUGAAUGCACCAAGAGCUCCUGAGCGACCAAAGGGUUCUUGCAGCGAUCGUUGAAAUUAAUCUCCCACUCUGGACACCAGUGUGAUCCGGGGUGUCUCUUGUCCUCCUCAGCUGCCUUGAAAGGCACAUGAUGGAGUUUGAACAAAGAUGACCCCGUGACGGGGUUCUCCGGAAAUAUGGUCACACCCUGACCCCGGGGGGGAGUGGCAAUCGUGACCCAGCGAGAAGGGAUUCCCACCGGAAUUGCCGAGGCUCGGGAACCUCCCGGAGUGGCCGAGGUGUGCGAGCCCUCGCCCACGAUCACCACGGCAGGCUCGCGGUCGCCCGACGCCGCGGUGGUUUUCUUAGCCGGCCUGGAAGAGGACCCUGCAGUGUCCUUGCGCUUUUUGGGAGCUCUUUUGACCACCUCGACAUCUCCCGAGGUUAUCAGGUCGAAAAUCUUCGUCACUGCAAAGUAGGAGACGAAGUCAGUUAGAAUUCAAGAGGGAUAAACUAAAAGGGAAGAAAUGGAAAAAUACAAAGUCUGUGAAGCCUAGUCGAGAGUAAGACAGGCUGGUCAGAGCUCGUCAAGGCUCAACUGAUCCCGCCUUCCACGAGCACCACUUCGGGAAAAUCCCAGCAGUUUAUCCUGAGGCCCGACCCCGUUAACUUCUGGAAGUUACGCUCUUCUAACUUCCCUGGAGAUAUCUCCUUGAUCGAGGUGGGAGGCCUCCACCAGAAUCCGCGAGGGAAGUCAUCGGCCGAGACGAAGAAGAAGUUUUGCUUCCACUCCUUUAUUGAGUUCGGAGCAUCAACCACCAACUUCGGAACUUUGUUUCCGAAGUAGAACCAUCCUUUUUCACUUCUGCUGUUCUUGAGUGAGUAACAGCGGCGAAAGAGGUUGACCUAAGGUUGUAUCUCCUGAUGUCGGCAAAGUAGCUGGAAGCCAACGAGAAUGCGAAUAGCGUUAGGGGUGAGUUGAGUGAUUCUCACCCCCCAGUACCUCAGGCAGUCCCGAAGAAACCUCGUCGUGGGCACUCUGAGUCCGGCCUCCAGCUGUUCCUGAUAGAUAGUCACCUUGCCCUUUGGUGGCAGUGCGGCUGACUGAUGCGGUUGGGGUAUGUAAAUACUAUAAUCCCUUCUCCAGGGAUACCUGCGGACCACCUCGGCUAUUGAGGCUUGUCCCAUACCACUACUGAAGAACGGCAUCUGGCCGUAGUCGAGAGUUGCCACGUUUGGAGGAGUGGAAGGUUCUUGUACUCCCUCGUCUCUAGGGAUCUCAAUCCCGAGGUCAUCGUUGUAUAGGACCUCGGGCUGGACCUCGAUCUCCUCGGGCUGCACCUCAACCGCCUCAGCUCGGCGUGAUGCCUCGGCACCUCCACCCUCAGCUUGGUGAGAUGCCUCAGCACCUCCGCCCUCGGACGCGGUCCUUUCCUGGGAGGGGUCAGGCCUCUCUGCCUCAGUGAGGUCAGGUCUCACUGUCUCUUUGUGCGUACGAGCUGUUCUAGCCAUUGUAUCAGAAGGGGAAGAAGUGAACUUACUUAGAAUCUGCGACUGGAAGAAGAUGCCGAAGUAGACGUGGUUUAGAAAGGUUGCCGAAGUGAAAAGAGAAAGAAACAGAGUUCUGGGGUGAUUCUUGAUUUUUGGUGAAGAGUAAAACGGUGAAAAAAGACCACUAUUUAUAGGCCACCAGGGUGAAACCCAAGAGACGGCACCCUCUCUCUUCAUUAAUGGGAGGACUGUUCGUCUGCCAACACAGCUGACAGCCGUCCCUUCAGUUAUCACUCAGUCCCAUCUAUGCGGUCAUGACGUGUCCGUGUUCCGUGUUUUAUACGCUUCUCAGCUUCGGGAAGUAACGACCACGGCGGAUGCCCAUCUCGCCCUUCUCAAAGCUUGGGGGGCUUAGUGAGGAGGGCCAUUUAGGCUCGGAGCGCCCGAGGCCUAGUUCCCCAUCAUUUCCUGAAGUGCCGCCUCGGGUAUUAUCCUGGAAGGCGAUCGCGGCCCAUUUACCACCUCGGCUACAAUGUCAAGUCGUAACACCGAGGUGGACAUUGAAUGACAACUACGAAAAGGGGAGAUGUGAUCUCUGACACCUGAGCAAAGGCUGCUCUGACCCGCCGCCUGAAUCUGACAGAAUGUCCCAUCACGUCUCUUCAUGGAGACCGGUCAAGUCCACCUGAUCCACUGACUAUCUCAGAUCUUUUGGGACCCGUGCAAACAUCUCCUCUCUCCUAUCGGUCCCCUAUAAAUACACAAUAUUUCUACUGAAAAAGGGGAUGACCAAUUUCUGGUAAAACACACUCCACUCAUUACUUACUUCUCUAUAUCCGAACUGACUUAAGUUUCGGAGUUAUACCGGGGGAUCCAGCCCCUUUUCUUAUUCAAGCAGGUGACUUCGUCCAAGAGAGUUGCCCAAGGUAAAGAUAUUCUUCGAAUUGAGGUGACUCACUCCUGCGGGUCGAAAAUCACCUCUUCAAAUGGUAGAAAGUUUUCUUAAGAACCAAGAACAGCAUUAGUAUUCCCUCUGCUUCCAAAAACUUGUGUAUUAAAUAGAUUAAUGAAUUGUUUAACAUGCUCAUCUACUUGAAAAUGCACAAUACCCAUAACCCACUGAAAUUUUUGCAGGAAAAGGGAAAGAGAAUCUGUGUUUGAGAGCUUCAUGAAGAUGUUGAAGAAUAAGAAUAAAAGCCCAAUGCGAGGAUGUUUUCAAGUUUUUCUAUGUCCACUUUAAUUUGUAAAUUGAAUUUUACAACUCAAUUAAUUCCUUGUUUGUGAGGUACGUAUUGUUUUACGUACCAUGCCGUACAUGUUUGUAAGGAUUUCUAUCCUAUUGGCAAAAGUCGGUUCCAUACAAUUAAUCAAUUCAUUUCACUUCUAUUGGCUCUACUAUUUAUGCAUGUUACGACACUCUUUCCCUUAUAUUUUGCCUUUAAUAUUAUGAGUCAAUAGUAAUAAUGGGCCUUUUUCUUAAAAUUAUACUAUUAUACAUAGGUAGUUUGGUCUAACGCUAAAUUCAUGUUUGUCUUUCUUUUAUUCCCUUUACAUCUCAAAGUAUACUAUAGUUUGUAAUCAUUGUGGUGAUGAUAUUACCAGCUGGUACUUAUAGUUUAAGGCAGAGACAUGAUAUUAACAACUAUCUCAUUGAAACAUAAGUCAAAAUCAUGACAAGUGUGAGUCUUGGUUAAUGCACAAUUUGUUAGUGGAAUUUAUAUUUAUAAAACUCAAAAAAAAUUUUUGACAAUGCUAUUACUAAUUAAUUAAGGACUUCAUUGCUAUAAUUUAUCGCUUACUAGUUUAAACUAUAAAUGAUCUCAAUACUUUUCUCCAUGAUGUCGAUUUCUUUAGACUACGAAAGGGAAAAAUUAGUGACAUAUCCCUUACUGAUUACAACAUCAGCAAAAAUUAGUUAUAAACUUUUCCGGUGGUUUUAAAUCCCUCGGGCACUAAGGUUUUUUGCACAUCGAGUGAAUUAAGGAACAUAGGCAAUUCGUUCUGCAUACCAAGUCCUUGUUUAAGAUGCACGUACUAAAAUGCAUCCACUUCAUUAAUUUGGAAAAUUGCCAUAGUUUUUUUUAAGCAUUUUGAUUUUUUACAUGAUUCAAAAUUUUCUUAUUGGAUACAAUCACUUUGUGUCAAGAACACAUUUUCAAUCAUCUUUUUUAUCUUCUCAAUAAGAAAAUAAAAAUUUAUUCAUGCUUUUCUAACAUAUCCAAUCAUUGAUCUGAAAAAUAAAGAAUUAAAAAAAAAAGACAUUUUCAAUCAUUGCUUACAGGGCAACUUCCCCAUGUGAACCUCUUCAAACAAAGCCAAUAAUAUGAAGGAACAUCUAAAUACACUUUUGCCCUAAAGGCUGGUUGCCUUGGGGUCAAAAUUUAACCUUCGGGAGUAUAAUUACCCGCCAAAUUUAUUAUUUUUUAUGGGUAUAUAGUUCCAAUUUUGCCUCCUGUUAAGCUUAUAAAUAUAUUACGACCCAGAAAAUAAAGGAAUCUUGAAUAGUAACAUGUCCAUUGACUUGAGUUGUCAUCAAUUUGGCUACUUCGAUUCCAUGAGGCCAAUCCAAUUCACACUAGCUAGAGAAAAUGGUGAUAAAGGCACUUAGAAAUUUAUAUGUAAUAUUGAUUGGUAGUAACUGAUAAGUAUAUAUUUUACGUGUUUUAAAUAUGUUUUAUUAGUUAGUUUUGGUGUGUUUUAACUACUUUUAUAACUAAUUAACUAGGAAUCUAGUGAAAAUAUGCAUUUUGUGGUUUGAAGUGUGAAAAUUGUAUUUCUAUGGAUUUUAAUGGUGAAAACUUCAUGUUUUUGUAGGUUUAAUGAUUCAAUCAUCAAAUGACAUGAUUUGAGAAGAUAAUUAGAUGAUUGAUGAUGUUUUGAAGUGAUAAAAAGAGAAUACAAAGUGCAAGAGAGGAAAUGCAAUCAAGAAUAAAAGAAGAAAAUUUUUGUAGCUUUGACAUAUUGUGGUAUUUUGGCAAUAUAUUGAGCUACAAUGAUUGGAUUAAGGUGAUUCUUAAACCAUUUGAAGCUAAGAUAUAGAUCUACAUUUGGUAUGAAGGCAUCGAAACCCAUGUCAGUCAUUUUCCUUGUCAAAAUGUUGAAAUACAGAAGUGCAACUCUGUUCUCGAAAGCUAAAACAGAGCUCUGGCUAGUCGAGGGUAUUUUCAUCAUUUCUUAGUCCACAGAGCUCCAAAUGAGAUGAUUCUUAAGGCAUUAGAACCCUAACUCAAAGAGCUACAACUUUCAUAUUUUGUACAAGAGUUAGUUCGGCCUCCAUCAUUCAGAAAAUAGUAGUUGAAGUGGUGCCAAAUGCAUAGAAGUGAAAACGCGAGCUAUCAAUACUCGACCUGAAGUCGCGUAUUCCUGAGGUCAUGCAUUCUCUUCUAUUUUCUGCAACUUGCCCUGCUUUCACAUAAUUUUUUCAUCUCAAUUCCAACUAUCAAUUUCGGCUAUAUCUGAUCAAGAAAAGUGUGGAAAGUUUGAAAGACAACUCAUAGGAGUUUCAAGAGUCAAAAAUUACAAUUAGAAACAACUCAUUUGGCUCUUGAAUCCUCUAUAAAUAGAGGCCUUUGAAGAACAUUUUCACAACUUUGGAAGGUUAGAGAAACUCCACAAAAACAUAGUCUUCACUAGAAUUUCCUUAGUUCAUUAGUUAGGGUAGUAUAGUAUAGUUAGUGUAGCUUUUCCUUCUUGUAUUUAUAGUUAGGUUUGAAUGAAGAUUCAGGAGCAAAGAUAGAGAGGUUGAUCUCAUGUGACAAGGGUGAUAUCUCUUCUACUACUUUCUCUUUUGUAUUUGAUUUCAUAUUUAACUAUACUACAAAUUUGGCUUUGUUUUUUUUUUUUAUCAUGUUUAGUUAAAGUUUAUGCCUAGAGUAUGGAUGACCUUUCUAUAUCUUGUUUGUGAUAUUUAACUGGUUAUUUGAUGAUGUUAUUUUUGAGCAAGUUAUUUAUCACUUUUGCUUUUCUAAUCGUGAUUAACUGGCCAUUAGUUGUGAUUAUCUAAAAGUGUUAAGUUUGUAAUGAGAAUUGGAGUUUAACACUAGUUCAAGGAAGUGAUAAAUUUAGGGAGUUCACUCAUGAGAGUAGAGGAACACCUUUGUGACCUAAGUGACUUGUUUCAUAUAAUUUCAUAGAAAAAAUGAACUUGUAAUUAAUUUCAUAACCACGAGAGUAAGUAUGGUUUAGCUAUAUGUAUAGUUGAUUCACUACGAGAGUAGGUUUCACAUACAUUAGAAAAUUACAUCAUAACUAGUCAAGAUAAUAUCAUUCAUUUAAUCAGUAAUCUCAUUUGCAUGAGUAGUAAGGCAUUCCAUAUCUCUAGGAGGUUUUUAGUAUUAUUUUCAUUACUUUUAUGUUUAUGGUAGUCUAGAUAAUAAUGGAGUUCAAAAACUACUAGUAAUUGAAAAUUUUCCCUGUGGGAUCGACCUUUAAUACCCUAUACUCGCUCUCGACUCGUAUACUUGCGAAAAAUCACGUGUGCGGUAUUUAGAAUUUAUAAAUGUAAAACUUGACUGUAGAUGAACUAAUUGAUAUAUGUAUACCCCGCACUCGUCAGUAACCAGCUUGUAUUGAUCCCAUUAUUGUGGAUAAUUGUGCUCUUAUGAAAAAAAAUUAUAAAAAAAUUAGCAAAAUUUAUGAUAACAAAUUAAAUUUAUUCAUACAAAUCAGUGAAAGAAGUAGAAUUUUAAAGACCAUGAUGAAAUUAAUACUUUCAAGGGCUCUAUUAGGAAGACUUCACUUGUUGGUGAAACUACACUAGCACAGUUAUAUGCACAUUUACUGUUUUGGUAUCUAAUUUCCUUGCCUUAAGUUGGGUGCAGAUGUUUAUAUUACAAAUAGAUGGUAUCAUAAAAUUGUUGUAUUCACGUUUGUUCUUUUUUUUUCUUCCUUAAGUUUUUUUCUUUAUUCUCGUGACUUCAAAAAUACGAACUCAAGAAAUUGGCUGCUUAAUCAAUAUGUCAUACAGGCUUCGCUAGUGAGGUAUAACUUCACAACUAGAGUCAAUAGAAAUUAUCAAAUGAUUUUUUAACAUCCAAAUUAAGCAAUAAAUUUUGUUUUCAUUUUAUGACAUAUAAUAGUACUACUUCAUGAGAGAUUUUAUAGUUUCUUUUAGGUAUCAUACCUACAAGUGAUAUUUGUCAUUGGAUAGUGACAGAAGUGUUAAUGAUUGUAAGAUUAAAUAUUGUUAAAUAUUGAAAUUUAAACUAUUUAUCUUUAUUGAAAGAUACAAGUUAAAGAAUCGUUCAAGGGGGCAAUUUUCCAUCUUGUCUUUUUGAAAAAACGCUAUCACAUUGUAUAGGCAUGAUAGGUUCAAAUUUGUCAUUAAAUUUAUGAUUGAUUUCCCUUUUAUUCAAGCCAAAUAUUGUUUUAAUUAUCAAAUUCUACUUAUAUUUGGUUAAUUGUACUAAUUGUAGGGCGGUAGAGCAAAAGUUGCUAAAAAUAGGUGAUUUUCUGCAAAUUGGUUGUCAAGGCUGAAGGAUUUGGGAUUCGCAUGUUCAAGGCCUGUUUCCAAGUUUGAUUCAAACUCUGGACAGUUUUAGAGGAAGAUUUGGAAGAUUUGAAAUUUCAUUAUUAGUUUUAUGGUUGAAUUAGGAAUCUUGGAAUAAUUUCUUUUGUGAUUUAUUUUUCUAUUUAGGAGACUAGUUGUUAUUUAGUAGUAGACUUCAAUUAGAAAACAAAGAGAAAAAGAAGGCCGGAAUCCCGCUUGAUUAAUACCUUGGCCAGGGAACAAUCUCGGUGGGGAGGACGGCCACUUAGCCUCUCAAUUCAUCUUGCUUUUCGUUAGUUUGAGAGGAAAACCAAUUGCAACUAGAUUCAAUGGAGUCUGGCAGAAUUUCUUCUAGGAUGCGUAGCUAAAUCCUCAAUUUUUAGUCGAAGGUCAAUUUGAAAAUUCGGUUCCAAAUAUCUGUGAAAUCGAAUUAUUUUACUUAUUUCUUUUAUUUAUUGGUAUUCGCACGUUUUCUGAUUUAACUUUUUAUGAUUGUUUUGUUAUUUGAAUGUCAAGGGUCCGAUAUUCGAAUUAACUUAAUAAUCUACUGCCAAAUUAACCGGUUAAAUCCGUAAUUGUUUGAUUGAUUAAUAUCAGUGGCGACUAGCGUGAUUGGUCCCAUGUUAGGAAAACGUCUGAUCUAAUUUAAACAAACCGUCGUAGCGUGUUUGUUGAUUAGGGUUGGACUUUUCUAAUUCUUAAUUCAAUUGAGAAAUUAAAUCUCCCGGUCGUACCUAAGAUUAUUUUUUUGUUAGCGAAAUAGUUAAUGGUCGUACCUUGACUAUCGAAAAAGUAAGGAAGAGUUGAUUGUUUAUCGCGUGUACGACAACUAUAAUCAAUCUAUUAAUGAGUAAUUGAAUUAUCUUUGCAUCAGUAAUCAGUUGAAUGGACCGUGUCUGAAAAGUUGUACCUUUGGCUAGAGUCUUAUCUGUUGUUGAUUCAUUCAUAUCUAUCUUCAUGCGUUGUUUUAAUUUAGUUAAUUAGUUAUUUUUAUAAAAACCCCUCAUCUCUGGACUCUAAAAGAAAUAAAUUAUUUCUAGUUCCUGUGGAUUCGAUCCUACUCACCGCUAUAUACAAAAUUUGUAUUUUUUUGAAUAAAUAAUUAUUAUUACACAGGCUUGACACCUGUCAAGGCAAAAUUUCCUUAACUUCAUCAUCUGUAGACGUAAACUUUCUACGGGUGAUAUAAUAUAAGGAAAUUUUGCCUAUACGAUGUGAUAGCAUUUUUUCAAAAAAGACAAGAUGGAAAAUUGCUCCCUUGAACGGAAAAAAUCAUGAUCUUUCCUCAAACUAGUCUACUAGUCAAUUCUUUACAAAAGAAUACUCGCUCCUAAACAUAGCCUGUUCAUCUACACUGUCCCGCAGAAUUCUAGAAAGUUAGGCAAAACUAGACAAGUUGACAGGUAUAAUCAUACCCAAGAUCAGGAACAAGCAGUUGCACAUUUCAAAAUUCGCUGCUGCAACAGCUAAUUUGAUGACUUACAACACUACACGGUCAAACUUUGAAUGGCAAUGGAUCUUUUGUUGUACGUCAUGAUGUAAUUUUCAUGUUACAUACAUUAAUAGGUUGAUAUCUAUAUUCUUUAAAUUAUCAUGAUAAUACCCUUAAUUAGAUUUAACUGAUAAAAAGAACACGUGUUAAUAUACAAAAGUGUGUAACGUGAAUGUUACAUUACUGUAUUGCAGAAGACCUAUAGUCUCUUCAUAUCUCUUCCUGCACGUAUCAAUUCGUUUCCUCUAGAUAAUAAUCUCCCAACUCGUUUCUUUACAAAUGCACCUUUUAUGUUUUAUUACCUCCAAAAGCCUUUACAGGGUCUUUACCCUAAAAAUCAAUUCACCGACUCGCAUUUGAUGUCAGAAAUUCUUAAGACGAAUUCUACUUUACUCAAAGAUUGACUGUUAAUAAUGAGACAGCGACCAUUUUGUAUUAUUAGACCGUCCUUCUUGAUAGGUAAAAGAAAUAGAGAGGAAAGUGGGUCCGUAUAUGGUCUUUUAUUCAUAGAUAAUACAACAUUACGCCAUCGAGCAUUCACACAAUAUUUCAAAGUCAUAGCAUGCCUAAGGCCCUGUUUGAUAGCUCAAUUUCGUAAUUAAAUUUAAUAGAUUCAAAUUUUAACACAUUUAAAUCAUUUGAUAACAAAAAAUUGAAUAUUUAAAUUAAUUAAGUAACACUGAACUUUCUAAACAAAACUUGCUUUCAAAAUUAAGUGAUAAGUUAUUCACUUAUCUUUGAAUGUGAUAUGCACUCAAAUAUAUUAAAUUUAAUAAUUUAAUGGAUUCAGAUUUCAGAUUUCAGUUUUAUUACACACCCUAAGUUGCAAAAUAAUACCAAAACUUGUUAUUAUAUAGCUUGAGAUUCAAAAAUUUAGAGCAUAAUUCUCAACCUAACACAAUCGAAUAAUGAAUAUUCACGAUUGUUUCAAAGUACAAUUUGAGGACAACCCAUUCCAACGCGUACACGAUUUUUAACUUUUCUAAAGUUGUUGAGAGCUGUUAAAAGAGAUUUACCAUGUUUACAUCUUCCAAGUCUUGGAAGUGAAAAAUGAAGCCACUGAGUGCUAUAAAAAGGGGGCUAGAGGCUGCCUAGAAGCAUAUCAGCCUAAAACAAGAAUUUGUAGUAACAAUGGGGAGCAAAGCAAAAGCAACGGGGUCUAGGCUGACUCCUCUUCUUACCACUGUUUUAGUGGUAUUUGUCGCCCUUGGCUUGCCCUUGGAAACUGCAGCUGAUUAUUACAAGUAUUCAUCUCCUCCUCCUCCUCCUUACCACUAUUCUUCACCACCACCUCCAGUGUAUUCACCUCCACCAACCCCUGCUUAUAAGUUACCCCCACCAUCUCCUCCAGUUUACAAGUCCUCACCACCACCUUACCACUACUCACCACCUCCGGUGUAUUUACCUCCACCAUCUCCAGUUUACAAGUCACCACCACUACCCCCUCCGGUAUACAACUCCCCGCCUCCACCAGUGUACAAAUACAAGUCCCCACCACCACCUCCUCCAGUUUACAAAUCUCCAUCGCCACCAGUUUACAAAUACAAGUCACUCCCACCACCUCCUCCGGUAUACAAGUCUCCUCCGCCACCUGUUUACGAGUACAAGUCUCCUCCACCACCUCCUCCAGUGUACAAGUCCCCACCACCUCCAGUUUACAAGUACAACUCACCUCCACCUCCUCCCCCAGUUUACCUGUCUCCACCUCCACCCUAUCAUCACUACUACGGUUCUCCUUCUCCUCACCACUACUAAGCAAGUGCAUAAGUUUUGAGGUAAUAAUACCUAUCCAAAACUUUAUCAACACAAACUGCCAUGUAUAUUAUCAUGCUAAGGACGUACACUUGAUCCAUGAAAAUGACUAGUAGAAGAUUUUUUUUAAGAACCAAAGAAAUACAUUAUUUUUUCGGUCUGUUUUCAAGAAUUUGAGCAGUAUACAGAUUAAAGAGUGUUUUUUUUUUUGUAAACUUGCUUGUCAACUUAAAAAUGCACAUAGCUGAAAGCCAACUGAAUAUUUGCAGGCAAAGGAGAAGGCAAUCGGUGUUUGAGACCUUCAAGAAGAUGUAGAAGAAUAAGAAUAAAAGCCCAAUGCGAGGAUGAUUCCAAGUUUCUACGUUACCAUUUCUACAUCUAAAUUGACUUUAGCUCCUGAGUUCCAUGUUUAUGGGGUUUGUACCGUUUUACGUACCAUGCAGUACAUGCUUGCAAGGUUUUCUGUCCUGUUGGCAAACUGCAGGUCCAUAUAAUAAAUGAAUACUAUUUACAUUACGACACUUUUCUCUUUUUCUCUUAUAUUUUGUCUUUAAUAUUGUUGAUCAUUUUUUUUUUAUCAAAAGCAUCAAAUGCUUAGGUAAUUUGGUCUAAUGCUAAUUGUUUUACUUUUAUUUUUCACCUACACCCCUUUUCAACUCAAAGGAUGCUAUAGUUUGUGAUAAUUGUUUAAGACCGAAGCAUGAUACUAAUAAAUAUCUCAUUGAAAGUCAAGGAAACUAACAUUAGGAAAAGUUUAAAUCUUGAUUUGAUGAAACUAUUUAUUCGUGGAAUUUAGAGAUACAAAACUCAAAUUGUGACGGUGUUGUUGCUAAAUUAUUAAGGACAUUAUCACCAUUAUUUUUCCCUGAUCACUAGUUUCAACUGCAAUGAUCUCAAUCUUUUUGUGACUAAUUCUUUCCUUAAUAAUUUAUAAAGACAAAACUCACAAAGAAUAUGUGACUAAUUCUUUCCUUUCGUCUUCUAAAGAAAAUGCCAACUGUUAGUUUAUCAAGGGGAAAAAGGAUCGACAUCAGUUAUUAUUGAAACUAGUAAGGAAUAAAUAAUGGUGAUAAUGUCCUUAAUAAUUUAACAACAGCACCAUCAGAAUUUGACUUUGAGCUUCGGUCUUAAACAAUGAUCACAAACUACAGCAUCCUUUGAGUUGAAAAAGGAAGUAGGUGAAAAGAAAAGUAAAAAAUACAAUUAGCAUUCCCUCAAAUUGUAGAAAGUUAGGUAGCAUUAUAGACAAGUUGAUAGCGGCAAUUUUACAUUUCAAACUUCACCUAUUCAAUAACUAAUUCGAUGGCUUGCUACAUGGUCAAUCUUUGGACCCCUUCCUGCCUCCAGAUAUCCCUUUCCUCAAUCAGGGGCUUCUACAAUUACCAGUUUCAAUUGUAUGGUAUAGUGUAAAUAUCAACAAAUUAGAUGUAGAUGCUAACAUAAUAAAUGUGAAUGCUAAGACAGCAACAUACAAUCGAACCUGCAAUUGUAUGAACCCCAAUCUCGCUUCCUAGUCCACCAUCUUUCUCUAGGUAAUAAUCUCCCUUCUAAUUUAUUCACAAAAUGCACCUUUCAUCACCUCCAAUAGCGUCGACAUGAUCUUUACCCUAGAAGACUAUUCACCGACUCUCAAUUGACGUCAGAAAAUCUAAGAGUAAUUCUACUUUACCCUAAGAUUGAUAUCAACAAGACAAGGACAAUUUAGAAUUAUUACACGCCUCUUCUUAAUAGGAAAAAGAAAUAGAGAAGAAAGUCAGGCCAGGUCUAAUUUCUUUUCAAAGGCAAUACAACAUUACGAAAUCAAGCAUUCAUUCAUACAAAUAUUUCAUAGUCACCGGUUUGCUGAGUAGAAAAAUUUAGACAAAAACUUAAUAUUAUAUUGUUUAAGAGUUAACAAUUUAGAGCUUAAUCUCCUUGUACUUUGGAGUUAACAAUUUAGAGCUUAAUCUCCUUGUACUUUGGACUAAACUUGAACGUGAAAGGAAAUCCCAAAACCAUAUUGGGCAUGAAUUCACACUUAAUAUACCCAAUAAAAGAUGGCGACUGGUGAAAGGCAGUGGAGACUGGUGGAGAGAUUUGAGGAAUAGAAGCAGACGGAAAAGCAACAAAUUUUUGCCGAAAAACGGUCACUUUCAUGGUUAAUUUUGCUACUCUCCAAUUGUACUUGACCAAUUACAACAAUUUCAUGGAGUUUGAUACGUGAAAAGAAUUUUUUAUAAAUUUUAUUUUGAUCCAUAAUGUUAUCUUUACAUAUAUAAAACAUUUUACAAUUUUGAUUUUGGCGCAGCUAACUUUUGGUUAACAAAAAUGCUCAUGUUUAAAAAACCAGAAAUAAAACAAAACAAGAAACAAAAGAAAUAAGAGGGUAGCAUAGACAUUUUGGAUUUUUCCGUUAAUUUGGAUGAUUUCCACCCACGUUCUAAUUUAAUCCAAAACACAAAGGAAUUACGUAGAGGUUUUAAAUAAUGAGGGAGCUUCAUGAUCGAACCCCAAACCACAAGGCGAUUUACUAUAUUUUACUCUUAAAUUUUGGUUUCAUCUCAUAGCAUACAAGAGUUCUAUUUCACUAUCUGUAGACAAAGACUUUCUAUGGUUGAUGUACCAUAGGAAAAAAUCUGCCUAUACAACGUGAUAGCAUUUUUUCAAAAACACAAGAUGGAAAAUUGCCCCUUAAACGGGGAAAUUCAUGAUCUUUCGUCGAACAAAGAAUACUCACGCCUAUUCAAGAUGGAAAAUUGCCCCCUUAAACGUCUAUUUGUCAAUUCUUGAAAAAAGAAUACUCACGCCUAAAACACGGCCUCUUCAUCUGCAGAAUUCUAAAAAGUUAGGUAAACUCUAUAAACAAGUUGAUAGGUACAAUCGUACCCAAGAUCAAGUACAGAUAGUUGUACAUUAACUGCUGCAAUAACUAAUCUGAUGACUUAUAAACAUAUCAUGGUCAAUCGUUGAAUGGUAAUGAGUCUUUUGUUAUGCAUUAGUAUUAGUGUGUACACUCUAAUAGAUUGAUACUUAUACUCUUUAAAUUAUCAUAAUAAUACCCUUAAUUAACUUUAACUCUUAAAAAGAAUACAUGUUAAUACACGAGUGUGUGUAACCUGAAUUGUUACUUAUAAAUUAGUGUGUAAUAGAUAGGGAUGGCAAUGGGGGCGGGUGCCCGCGGGGGGCUCUCGGGGCGGGGGUUGGGGCGGGGGGGAAUUUUUUCCCCCCGUUUAGAAAUGGGGCAGGGGACGGGGGAGUAUACCCCCGCCCCAUCCCCCGCAAAAAAAAAAUUAUAUAUAAUAUGUAAUUUAAUUAGUUAUAAACUUAUGAUAAUGAUAUUAUUAGUUAGAUGUAUUAUAUAAUGUAUAUUAGUGUAUGUAAUAUAAUUAAUAUUAUCAAUUAUAUGAAUAAUUAGACAUGUCUACUAAUAGAAUUUAUGAAUUAGUUAUACUAAAUUUACUAAUACAUUUAUACUAAAUUUCUAAUUACACUUAAUAGAAUAACACUUUUUUCUAAAACAAAAAAGCACAAACACAAUAAUGAAUUAGUGAUUGUAUGAUAGGGUGUAAUUUUACUAUUUAUUUUAUUAUUAAUUUCCCCUAUCACCUGACCUGAUGUGGAUUAAUUGCUGGAUUCUGCUCACUUUUAGUACUUUGUAUUUAUUUCAGGGAGUAGAACGGAAAUUUGAUAACAGGUGCUAAUUUGGCAGAAAAAGAGUCCAGAUGAUAGAGCUUGCCCCAAGGGCAUUUUUGGAAAGGAGAACUUGUGCCCAUCUUGGUAAUUUGGGAGAAAAGGGAAACAGACAAAAUGGGUCUAACAUGGAUUGGAAGCGGCCGCACAGUAGCAGGGAAGAGGGCAGACGUAAAAGCAAUUGCAGGGGGGAAAAGGAGUUUUUUUAGUUUUUAGCUUAGCAUCUGAUUUUCCCUGGGAGACUUUUGUUAAAGAUUUCCUUUUGGCUGAUAUUACGCAUGGCAGAUGGCUUUUAACUUAUUCCUCCAUCUUUGACUUUUCUUCUUUAGCUUGUGGCAGUGGAUUGCUACUUACGAAUGUCAGCACUUAGCCAUUCGUGGCUUUUGAUCUUUUCUUCCUUAGAAAUUCUGAGUAACCUCUUUUCCUUUGUGCGCCAGACGAAGUGAAAACUAUAAACUUUUGUAGUUUUUCUAUUCAUUCAAUAUAUUGAGACGAGUUGGAUUCUACCAAAUUUCAACGGACAUGGCCGCUGGUUUCUCUUCAAUUUUAUAUGGGCUUUGUUCAUCCAACAUGAACUAAUUUCACCACUCUAGUCAAGGAGCAACGAAGGCUCUGAUUUGCCUAAAAAUUGUGAGAUCGUUUUAAUUUAAUCUUUUCCUUUUAUUUAUUGGUAUCCGCACAUUUCUUGAUUGCUAUGCUUAUGGUUAUUUAAUUAAUUGAUUGUCUUGGAUCCAGAUAAUUAAUUGAUCUGAUAGCCUAUUGUCAAUUAGGGCAUUUAAAUCCGUAAUUGUUUAAUUGUCCUGAAAUAGUGACAACUGGCACGAUUAGAUUCGUGCCAGGGGGGAUAUGCGGGCUAAUCUAAAAUAACCCUGGUAGUGUGUUAUUUGGUUAGAAUAGGGCUCCUCUAAUACUAAGGCAAUUGGGGAAUUAAAUUCUACGGGCGUACCUAGGAUUAUUUCUUAAUUAGAGCAGUGAUUAACGGGCGUACCUUGAUCACCGACACAGUAAGGAGGGGUUGACCGUCAUCGCUUGUUUGGCAGUUAUAACCUAUUUAUCAGUAAAUAAUUGGGAUUGCCUUGCAUCAAUGAUCAAUUAGGUGAACCAUUGUUGAAGUUACUUCUUGGUUAGAUCUUUAGUUAAUAUUACCUUGAUUUUGGUGAAUUGCCAUUUGAUUUUUAGUUGCCUACUUUAUUUUAUUUUUAAUUGUUUCCUUGCUUUAAUUGAGUUAGGCCUUUAAUUAUUGUUAUUCUAAGUUUAGUGAAUUGUGGUUUAAUUCCUAAUUAGUUAUUUAUUUUUACUUUCUUAUUUGAAUUUAUUUGCUUGUUAUCAUUCCUACGAAAUCACCCCCCUGUGUUACUUUGGAUUUCUUAAGAAACAAAUAUACCCAAUCCCUGUGGAUACGACCCUACUUGCUCUGUUCACGAAUUCAUAAUUAUUUGUGAAAAGAAAUAACCAUUCCACUCGGGUAUAUCGGAUCAAGCAAAUUCUUCGGGAACAGGGUGAAUCAAGUAACCCAAUGCACACCUAGAGUCCCUGCUCCAGUACUUGGAAUUGGGUUUUGGUCAUUUUAACUGGCAAUUAGGUUUAAUUUUAUUAUUGCACAGGCUGACGACCCUGUCAAUUUUUGGCGCCGUUGCCGGGGACUGGCGUUAUUAUUUGUUUCUUUUUAAAUUCAUUCUUUGUCCUAAUUUUCUGGUUUUCUUCUAGUGUAUGCCUCGAUCUUCUCGUACAGGUAAUUUGAUUUUUGACCCUGAGGUAGAGAAGACCGCAUGUAGAACGAGAAAGGAAACCAGACAGCUCAGAGAAGAGCACUCCAGUGCUACAUCUCAGAGACCCGAGUCAGAAGUUGAACUAACAGAUUCGUUUGGUAACACUUCGAGUGACUCUGACCAGGAGGAAGACACCAUGGCUAAUGCACGAACAUUAAGGGAGUUGGCUGCUCCUGAUUUAACUCAGCAGCCUUUAUGCAUUACUUUCCCCACUUUAAAUGAUAACAUUCCAUUUGAACUAAAAUCUGGUCUGAUUCAGCUUUUACCCUCUUUUCAUGGUUUACCAGGUGAAGAGCCGUAUAAGCAUCUGCAGGAGUUUGAUGUCGUGUGUAAUAGUAUGAAACCCUCGGGAAUCACAGAAGAGCAGAUAAAAAUGAGGGCAUUCCUCUUCUCCUUGAAAGAUUCUGCGAAGGACUGGCUGUACUACCUGUCACCAGGUAGCAUCACCACGUGGGACCAAUUGAAGAAAAAAUUUUUGGAUAAAUAUUUUCCUGCGUCCAGGGCUGCAAGUCUAAGGAAAGAAAUUUGUGGGAUCAAGCAGCAUCCAGGGAAGUCACUUUAUGAGUAUUGGGAACGGUAUAAGAACUUGUUGCGCAGGUGCCCCCAACACCAAAUAAGUGAGCAAUUGAUCAUACAGUAUUUUUAUGAGGGGCUCCUUUUUAGAGACAGGAGCAUCAUUGAUGCCAGGGGGGAGGGUUGGGAUGGGUGGUACGGGGGGAGGGAGUGUAAGCAAGAGGUCUCGGGUUCGAGUCCUCCCGCUUACACACAAAAAAAAAGAUGCUGCAAGUGGAGGGGCACUGGUAAACAAAACCCCUCAGGAAGCACGGGAGUUAAUAGAGGGGAUGGCAGAGAAUUCACAACAAUUCAGUACAAGAGAGGAUGUCCCAAUACGUAAGGUGAAUGAGGUAGAGACACCCUCUAUGCAGCAGCAGCUAACUGAGUUGACCGCGUUUGUUAGGCAACUGGCUGUGAGAAAUGCAUCACAAGCCAGGGUGUGCGGGAUUUGCACUGGUAUGGGUCAUUCUGCAGACAUGUGCCCAAUGAUUCAGGAAGAAACUGCAGAACAGGUGAACAUGGCUGACCACGCGCCCGCGCCAAGGAAGCAGUACGACCCUUACUCAAGCACCUACAACCCCGGGUGGAGAGAUCAUCCCAACCUCAGUUAUGGAGAAAAUAGGCAGCCCAACAUUACACCGAACAGGCAGUCUAACUUUGUGCCAAAUAGGCCACCAGGGUACCAGCAGCAAUAUCAACCCCGACCACCUCCGUCCCCAAGCUCUGGCCCAUCUUUGGAGGAGAUGAUGAAACAAAUGAUGACAACUAUGGCUCAAAAUCAGCAAAUGACGGAGGCAACCAUUAUGCAAAAUCAGCAAAGGACGGACUCCGAAAUGAAGGAUAUAAGGAAUCAGAUAAGUCAAAUGGUCACAACAAUCAACCGUUUGGAUUCCCAGAACCAAGGUAAAUUGCCAUUUCAGCCCGAAUUAAAUUCGAAGAACGUGAGCGCAAUGACCCUAAGGAGCGGGAAAGAAAUUCAGGGGUCUGAACCUGUGAUCCCUAAGGAUAAGGAUGAGGAAAAGAUCGAAAAUGAGCUUGAAAGGGAGGACAGCAAUGGUGCAGAUCUAAAGGUACUUCCUGACCCAAUAAUUACAGCUAAAACUAACCCGCCUCCUUUUCCUAGCAGGUUGGAAAAAUCGAAAAAAGAGGAUAAGGAGAAGGAGAUCUUGGAGGUUUUUCGCAAGGUUGAGAUAAAUAUCCCCCUCUUAGACGCAAUCAGACAAGUACCAAAAUAUGCCAAGUUCCUAAGGGACUUGUGUGUCAACCGAAGGCAGUUGAGGGAAGAUGAACGGGUUAUUGUUGGGGAGAAUGUGUCAGCAGUCCUGCAGAGAAAGCUCCCACCAAAGUGCGGGGACCCAGGUAUGUUUACUAUUCCCUGUAGGAUAGGUAAUACUGUGAUAGAAGGGCCAUGUUGGAUCUGGGAGCAUCAAUUAAUCUCAUACCUAAAUCUAUCUAUGCUUCUCUAAAAUUAGGUCCAUUAAAAGAAACUGGAAUAAUCAUUCAAUUAGUUGACCGAACUAAUGCAUAUCCUGAUGGGUUGGUUGAAGAUGUGUUGGUAAAAGUUAAUGAUUUGAUGUUUCCAGCUGAUUUUUAUGUACUUGAUAUGGAUGAUGAUCACUCCCCUGAUCCCUCACCUCUGUUAUUGGGUAGACCCUUUAUGAGCACAGCACAGACGAAAAUUGAUGUUAAUAAGGGUAUCUUGUUCAUGGAGUUUGAUGGGAAAAUUGUGCAUUUCAAUAUCUUUGAUACUAUGAAAUAUCCCUCAAACUCCAACUUUAGCACAGUUUUCUCUGUGAGUGCUAUUGACCCUGUAGUGCAGGAAGUGUUUGAAACUGAUGGCAGGGAUGAGUUGGAGGUGGCUUUGACCAAGCACCUCGAGUUGGAGACAACUCCUGAGGUGGAAUGGAGCGAGGACCUAAAAUGCACAAUAGGUGCAUUACACUCAUUGCAGUCCACCACGAAAAGGUAUGAAGUCUUACCUAUUUUUACUCCCGAACCUCACCAGAGGGUGUUGCCAUCUGUGGUGCAGGCACCUGUACUAGAAUUUAAACCUCUAUCAGAGCACCUGAAAUAUGCAUAUCUGGGUGAUAAUGAGACACUCCCGGUGAUUAUCUCAUCGACACUGUCAAAAAUCCAGGAGGAGAAACUGAUCCGGGUCCUUAGAGAGCAUAAAGAGGCGAUAGGUUGGACAAUCGCAGAUAUUAAGGGGAUCAGCUCGGCCAUCUGUAUGCACCGGAUUAGACUAGAAGAGGAUGCCAAACCUGUUAGGCAGGCUCAAAGGAGGCUCAACCCCCUAAUGAUGGAAGUUGUAAAGAAAGAAAUUUUAAAAUUGCUAGAUGUGGGGAUUAUUUUUGCAAUAUCAGAUAGCCCUUGGGUAAGCCCGAUCCAGGUAGUCCCAAAGAAGGCAGGGGUGACGGUGGAGGCAAACCAAACGGGUGAGCUCGUGCCAGUGCGCAAACCCACUGGAUGGAGGCAGUGUAUAGACUACCGUAGGCUAAACGCCGUCACCAAAAAGGACCAUUUCCCUCUCCCUUUCAUUGACCAAAUGGUUGAACGUUUAGCUUGUAGAGCUUAUUAUUGCUUUUUGGAUGGAUUUUCAGGAUACUUUCAGAUAGCAAUUGCUCCAGAGGAUCAAGAGAAGACAACCUUCACGUGCCCGUUCGGGACCUUUGCUUAUAGACGAAUGCCAUUUGCGUUGUGCAAUGCACCUGCAACAUUCCAGAGGUGUAUGGUAAGUAUUUUUUCUGAAUAUGUGGAGAAAAUUAUUGAAGUUUUCAUGGACGAUUUCAGUGUGUAUGGUGAUAGUUUUGAUACGUGUUUAGAUAAUCUGAAAUUGAUCCUGAUAAGGUGUAUAGAGACUAAUCUUGUGCUUAAUUGGGAAAAAUGUCAUUUUAUGGUUGAGCACGGGAUAGUCCUGGGUCAUAUUGUAUCGUCUAAGGGCAUAGAAGUUGACAAGGCUAAAAUAGAUAUUAUUUUUGCAUUACCUUACCUCGCGAGUGUGCGGAAGGUGCGUUCUUUUCUUGGACAUGCAGGUUUUUAUCGAAUGUUCAUCAAGGAUUUUUCAAAAAUUGGAGCCCCGUUAUUCCAACUCCUACAAAAGGAUGUGACCUUCGAAUUCGAUGAUAAGUGUGAGGAAGCCUUCAACAAGUUGAAAGAAUUGUUGACCUCACCCCCAAUUAUCCAGCCCCCUGAUUGGAGUCUACCAUUUGAGAUCAUGUGCGAUGCCAGUGAUCAUGCCGUAGGGGCUGUAUUGGGGCAAAGAGUAGGGAAGGCAGCUCACGUCAUCUACUAUGCAUCCCGAGCAUUGAAUGGAGCCCAAUUGAAUUACUCCACUACUGAAAAGAAGCUUCUUGCAGUUAUUUUUGCUUUAGAAAAAUUCAGGUCAUAUUUGCUAGGUGCUAAAGUAAUUGUAUUUUCUGACCAUGCAGCAUUAAGGUACCUAAUGACCAAGAAAGAUGCCAAACUGAGGCUCAUUAGGUGGAUAUUGCUACUGCAGGAAUUUGACCUGGAGAUACGGGAUAAAAGGGGCUCAGAGAAUUUAGUAGCUGACCAUCUGAGUCGUAUACCCGUUGGAGAGGAUAAUGAACCAUUGAGGGAUGCGUUCCCUGAAGAGCACUUAUUUUCUUUAAAUUCUCAGUUGCCUUUGUAUGCCGAUCUGGUCAAUUAUUUGGUAACUGGUAAUUUUCCUGCAGGUUGACCAAAAUCGAAGAGGGAUAAAUUGAAGAGCGACGCCAAGUAUUUUAUUUGGGACGACCCGUACCUAUGGAAGAGGUGUGCAGAUCAAGUGAUGCGGAGAUGUGUAAGUGAAAUGGAAUUUCAAUCGAUUUUAGCUUUUUGUCAUACUUUUGCCUGUGGAGGUCAUUUGGACCCAAGAGAACUGCUCAUAAGGUUUUAGAAAGUGGAUUUUAUUGGCCUUCAUUGUUUAAGGAUGCCUAUGUGUUUUGUAAGUCAUGUGAUCGCUGUCAAAGGGUAGGUAAUAUACCCCGUAGAGAUCAAAUGCCCCAAGUCCCGUUGAUUUUUAUUGAAAUUUUUGAUGUCUGGGGUAUAGAUUUCAUGGGGUCUUUUCCUACUUCAUUUGGUUUUUUAUAUAUUUUGCUGGCAGUUGAUUAUGUGUCUAAAUGGGUGGAGGCUAAGGCCACUCGAACUAAUGACUCGAAAGUAGUUGCAAAUUUUGUCAGGUCUAAUAUUUUUGUGCGAUUUGGAAUGCCUAGUGCUAUUGUCAGUGAUAGGGGAACGCACUUUUGCAACAAAAUCAUAGCUGCGUUGUUUCGCAAGUAUGGUGUACUCCAAUGGGUCUCAACGUCGUACCACCCUCAGACCAAUGGUCAAGCGGAGGUGUCGAAUCGAGAGAUCAAGUCUAUCUUGGAGAAAAUGGUGCGCCCCGAUAGGAAAGACUCGAGUCAAAGGCUGGAGGACGCACUUUGGGCCUAUCGGACGGCGUACAAGACUCCUAUAGGGAUGUCACCGUACAGGUUGGUAUUUGGGAAGCCGUGUCACCUUCCAGUGGAGUUUGAGCACAAAGCUUUUUGGGCGAUAAAGUAAUGCAACAUGAAUUUAGAGGAAGCCGGUGCCCAACGAAAGUUGGAUUUGCAAGAAUUAGAAGAGAUCCGGAACGAGGCUUACGAAAAUGCACUAAUUUAUAAGGAGAGAAGCCGGAUAUUUCAUGAUCAACAAAUUUCAAGAAAAUCCUUUGAAGUUGGUCAGAAGGUCCUACUAUACCAAUCCAGGCUCAAGCUAUUCCCAGGUAAACUACGUUCCCGUUGGAUUGGACCUUUUCUUGUUACUCAUGUUUUUCCAUAUGGUGCAGUUGAAAUCCGGAGCGCUAAAACAGACAACAAAUUUGUGGUGAAUGGACACCGUCUCAAGCAUUACUACGAAGGAUUUUCAGGUGAAAAGGUGGAGACAAUAAGUCUAGACGCGCCACCGUGUCCUAAUCAGUGACAUUUUACUAUGUCUAGCCAAAGACAUUAAAGACAGGCGCUCAUUGGGAGGCAACCCAAUUGUCCCUUUUAAUUAUUUGUUUGAUUUCGUGUGAUAGUUUAAAUAUGUUUUCCUUGAAUUCGACUGAUUUUGGGUUUCAGUUUUCGUUUUUGCUGAAUUGUAGGUGACCUUCAGUCUUGACGCGCCCGCGUGAUGACAUGCAGGAAGCUCACGAUCAGAAUCGUCUGAAAGCUCUCUUGCCCUUUUGACGCACCCGCGUGAUGACGUGCAGGAAGCUCACGAUCAGAAUCGUCUGAAAGCUCUCUUGCCCUCUUGACGUGCCCGCGUCACGUUCGCAGGAAAGGUACGGGUUUCAAAAAUUUAAAGAAAAAAUAAUAAUAAUAAUAAUUUAAAAUUUUGAAAUUAACUUCCGUAAAAAAAAAAAAGAAGAAAAAAAAUUUCACCGUGGCUUAAAUAGAGCCUAAAGAAGAGAAAAAAGAAACAAUUUCUUUCUUUUUUUUUUCUUUUUCUUCUUUCUUCCUUCUUUCUUUCUUUCUUCUUUCUCUUUUCCCUCUCUCUUCUCCCCUGUUUCUUCUCCCCUGUCCGUCGCCCGUGCGCCCCAUCGCUGCUCCACCUCCACACGCACGCCGACGCUGCGAGCCACCUGCGACCCCAGCGCCAGAUCUGGACCAUCGCCGAAACCCGCAGCCUCCGCCACCUCCACCUGAGCUCUGCCUCGCGCGCAACCCAGCUGCUCUGCGCCCGAAGCUCCACCGCCGCCACAGCCUCCCCACGCAGCUCCCUGCUCACGCGGCCACAAGCCCAUUGGAAACGGGACAGAGACUGCCGCCGAGCCACUUGCCCGCGUGACCGCCGCUGUUUUCCACCACCUCCCUCACGCGAGCUCUUUCCCUCUCAGCAGCAAUCCACUUCACAGCGCACCCGCUGCGCGCCGUCGCAGCCCUCGCAGCUCCAGCCCGUCUGGUCUAGUCCGCCGCGCGCACCAACCACCCACGGACGCUACCCCCAUCGCUAACCCACGCGGCCUCCACUCCAGUCUGUCCGCCGCCGCUGCUCGUGUCUCCCUUGCGCACCUCACGCCACCCGCUACUGUCCCCUUCCGUUUGGUUAGCAUCCACGGUGGAGGUAAUUGGAGGUUAUUUUCUCAAUUGUGUGACUUCCGCCUGUGAUACUGGUUGCAUUAUUUUUGCUGGGAAUUGCUACUUCUUUUGGGUUGGGUUCAACUGUGCAAUUAAUUGGCCAACUGGAGCCAUUUGUUGGGAUUUUGGGUGAGCUGAAAUACUGCAUUUGUGUGUUACAUUGGGAGGUUUAUUGGGUACAUUCUAACCGCUGUUUUCCAUUGUUACUCUCGCUGGGGUGUCUAUUAAAUUGCGAUUGAAGUAUUUUGGAUAUUGCAUGUUGAGAUUGAGGUUUCAUUGAAUUUGGCCUACGUUCUGCCCCCAGUGGUACUGGUGGGAAUAUUUUCAAUUGAAUUUGUUACCUCUAGUUGGUUGGCUACAUUAUUAUGGUCGAAUUCCUAAGUUGUCGUCAUUGCAUUUGUUGAUCUUGAUUUGGGGCAUUAACCGGCCAACUGGAGCCAUCUGUGCGUUUUUAGGCGCUAUUAUUGGUUUCUUCUCCCUUAACUUUGUCAACUAUAUUUGGUUGGGUAUUUGGUUGACUGCCACGGACUUGUAACUGUGUUUUGCUUCUAAUUGACCAGUUGCACAGCAGUUUUUUUUUAAUUGAUAGGGUGGUUAUACCUCUGGAUAUUUGUAUCCACUGGUUUGAGGACAUGGUGAGACCAAAAUCCUCCUCUAGGUCUAGGACCCCUAGAACCUCGCAAUCCCAACCCCAAGCCUCUACUCUAGUCAAUACCCCUAUAAAUCAACCUACUGCUCCCGGUGUCCGAACCUGGUUAGGUAGGGGUAGAGGUGCCCACGUGGCUUCCGCCACUCACUUGGGAGGGCAUUUGGAAUUCACUAGAGCCGCCGAUCAGCGACGCUAUGCUCAAGCUUGUGAGCGGCGUAUCAUUCCGUGCAAAUGCGCGGACCACAUUACUAUGGUUUUUCUGGGGAUCCAAGGGGAGGUUGAGCGCAUGUACACCGCCAUUGGAUGGCGCCCCUAUCUGGAUAUUUUCCAGCCAGCCUUUGUCGAGUUGACUAGAGAGUUUUACACCACUUUUAAGUUUGAAUUACCGACUAGGUAUACUGUUGCGACUCCCGAUAUCAUUCACUUCCGUCUCAUGGGCCAGGAAUUCAAUUUCUCUAUCACCCAGUUCAAUCUGGCUUUCGGUUUCAUCACUCGGGAGUAUGCAGAGACUAGGGAAUACGGUGAGAGUGCCUGCGAUUUUGUGGAACCUUUCCUUACCGCCUACCGUGAGGUGUGGGAGGACAUGUCUGUGGACAUGCAGCGUUACGAUCCCUCUCGGUCUCGGAGCUCCUUUCUAGAGGACCCGAGUGCUCGGUAUGUUCAGCGGCUUUUAGCAUAUAGCUACUCGGGCAGAAAGAACAGCUUCGGUAUUAUCUCUCGGCCGGAGCUCUUCUUCCUUUGGUGUAUGAAGAAUGGGUUCAAGGUCAAUUUGGGUUGUUGGUUGGCGGCACAGUUCAAGACCGUCAUGGCAAAGAAGAACAAGCCGUUGAUUCUUGGGUCGUAUAUCACGUACUUGGCGGUCCAGCUAGGCGUUCUGAAUCUACAGGAUCACGAUUUGCACUUGGCCUGCGACAUGGAGUAUCUCACUGCUGACCGGCUAGAGAAGAUGGGGGUUCUGGAGCUUGUCGAUGGCCACUACCGAUUUGUGCCCCCGGGACCGCCCCGCGCCCCGCCUCGCUCUUCCUCCACCCAUUCGGCCCCAGUUGGCGGUGAUCCUGGCCCGUCGACAUCCGCUCAGCUCCCUCCACCAGCAGGGGCUGAAGAUUGGCACCAAAUCAGGACGCAGAUUCAGAAUUUGGACGCCCGGAUGAUUAGCAUCGAGAGCAACGUGGCGGCUAUAUCACAGAAUCUGGCGGCAUUCCUGCAGCACUCGGGUUUCCCGCCCCCAAUCCCACCUCACCCUCCACUAUGACCCGGUUUCAGGGAAGUUUGGUUACUUUCUCCCUCACUUUUGUUGUUUUUUGACACAUUGAGGACAAUGUGUCCUAUAGGUGUGGGGGGGUCUAUAGUCUUUCUAGUUUUUAGUAGUUGUUAGUUUUUAGUUUUUUAGUAGUUUUAGUUUUAUUUCUAGUUGCGUAUUUUCUUUCUUUUCUUAGUGCUUAUUCCCCAUGUGAAAAGAAAAAGAAAACAAAAAAAAAGAGAAAAAAAUGUUGGUUUAUUGACUCUAACUCUACUUUUGCCAAGUUUUUUUUAAAUAAAAAUGUAUCGGGUUAAUGUGGUUGGAUCCAGAAUAUCUCCCUGGUGAAUAUCGGAUUGCUUGGCUCUUUUGAUUUCUGUGUUAAUUUCUCUAGGCAUAGGGAAUGACUGUUGGCAUUUUAAUGUGAACUGGUCCAAUAUUGACUCCAGUUCUCUAUGUUUGGCAAUAAUGAGGCGAGCUGUUCCUAUUUUUGGUUCUUAGUGUUGUUAUUAUGUGUUUUUGGCUUUGUUUGGCUGUGAAUAAUCUGGACUGUACUCCGCUAUGAGUUACUACUGAGUAACCGAGGAUCGGCACCUAAAAGUGUCGAUUCUCGCGUCAAAAGGUGGUACUUUAUAUGAGUACGUGGUCGUAUAGCAGUAGGAGCUGAGUAACCGGGCUCCUUCAUCUAAAAAUGUUGGAGUUCGCGUCAAAAGGCCCCGACGGCUAACGACUAAGUCUUUUUGUGUUAAUUAUUAUUGCUUUGAAAAACAAAAAAAAAAAAGAACGAAAAAAGAGAGAAUAAAUAAUAGGAAGGCUUGCCGGUUUAUGGACUUAAUAUGGAGACUUGUGUGAAUAUUUGGACCAUUAGCUAAUAAAUGUUGUGCGCCAUUCCCUUUUCUUAGAGUAGUUAACCUGGAAAUUGAAGGAAUUUGCAGUUUAGGGGCUAACCGGGGGGGAGGCUUCUUGGAUUUUAAUCACCAAUGCUCGAUAUAUGUUUUUCUCUUGAAGAUCUUGGCAAUAUAGGAGAUUGGACAAUGGCCAUCAUCGAAUUUUGGUGUUCGUUUACUAUUCUUAUGCUUGAGGACAAGCAUGGUUUAGGUGUAGGGGGAAUUGAUAGGGUGUAAUUUUACUAUUUAUUUUAUUAUUAAUUUCUCCUAUCACCUGACCUGAUGUGGAUUAAUUGCUGGAUUCUGCUCACUUUUAGUACUUUGUAUUUAUUUCAGGGAGUAGAACGGAAAUUUGAUAACAGGUGCUAAUUUGGCAGAAAAAAGUCCAGAUGAUAGAGCUUGCCCCAAGGGCAUUUUUGGAAAGGAGAACUUGUGCCCAUCUUGGUAAUUUGGGAGAAAAGGGAAACAGACAAAAUGGGUCUAACAUGGAUUGGAAGCGGCCGCACAGUAGCAGGGAAGAGGGCAGACGUAAAAGCAAUUGCAGGGGGGAAAAGGAGUUUUUUUAGUUUUUAGCUUAGCAUCUGAUUUUCCCUGGGAGACUUUUGUUAAAGAUUUCCUUUUGGCUGAUAUUACGCAUGGCAGAUGGCUUUUAACUUAUUCCUCCAUCUUUGACUUUUCUUCUUUAGCUUGUAGUAGUGGAUUGCUACUUACGAAUGUCAGCACUUAGCCAUUCGUGGCUUUUGAUCUUUUCUUCCUUAGAAAUUCUGAGUAGCCUCUUUUCCUUUGUGCGCCAGACGAAGUGAAAACUAUAAACUUUUGUAGUGUUUCUAUUCAUUCAAUAUAUUGAGACGAGUUGGAUUCUACCAAAUUUCAAUGGACAUGGCCGCUGGUUUCUCUUCAAUUUUAUAUGGGCUUUGUUCAUCGAACAUGAACUAAUUUCACCACUCUAGUCAAGGAACAACGAAGACUCUGGUUCGCCUAAAAAUUGUGAGAUCGUUUUAAUUUAAUCUUUUCCUUUUAUUUAUUGGUAUCCGCACAUUUCUUGAUUGCUAUGCUUAUGGUUAUUUAAUUAAUUGAUUGUCUUGGAUCCAGAUAAUUAAUUGAUCUGAUAGCCUAUUGUCAAUUAGGGCAUUUAAAUCCGUAAUUGUUUAAUUGUCCUGAAAUAGUGACAACUGGCACGAUUAGAUUCGUGCCAGGGGGGAUAUGCGGGCUAAUCUAAAAUAACCCUGGUAGUGUGUUAUUUGGUUAGAAUAGGGCUCCUCUAAUAUGUAAGGCAAUUGGGGAAUUAAAUUCUACGGGCGUACCUAGAAUUAUUUCUUAAUUAGAGUAGUGAUUAACGGGCGUACCUUGAUCACCGACACAGUAAGGAGGGGUUGACUGCCAUCGCUUGUUUGGCAGUUAUAACAUAUUUAUCAGUAAAUAAUUGGGAUUGCCUUGCAUCAAUGAUCAAUUAGAUGAACUAUUGCUGAAGUUACUUCUUGGCUAGAUCUUUAGUUAAUAUUACCUUGAUUUUGGUGAAUUGCCAUUUGAUUUUUAGUUGCCUACUUUAUUUUAUUUUUAAUUGUUUCCUUGCUUUAAUUGAGUUAGGCCUUUAAUUAUUGUUAUUCUAAGUUUAGUGAAUUGUGGUUUAAUUCCUAAUUAGUUAUUUAUUUUUACUUUCUUAUUUGAAUUUAUUUGCUUGUUAUCAUUCCUACGAAAUCACCCCCCUGUGUUACUUUGGAUUUCUUAAGAAACAAAUAUACCCAGUCCCUGUGGAUACGACCCUACUUGCCCUGUCCACGAAUUCAUAAUUAUUUGUGAAAAGAAAUAACCAUUCCACUCGGGUAUAUCGGAUCAAGCAAACUCUUCGGGAACAGGGUGAAUCAAGUAACCCAUUGCACACCUAAAAUCCCUGCUCCAGUACUUGGAAUUGGGUUUUGGUCAUUUUAACUGGCAAUUAAGUUUAAUUUUAUUAUUGCACAGGCUGACGACCCUGUCAUUGUAUUUGUACCAAAAGUGAAAACUUAACUAUUUUAGUUGUAUUUAUUUCAUCAUGUUGGAUUGUAUUCAAAUAAUUUUUGUUUGAUUGUUUUUAUAAGUUUCAAUUGUAAAAUUAAAAUGAAUAAUAACUUGAUGAUGUGUUGAUAUUUUAGUACUUGAUUAUUUAUUAAAAUUUAAUUAUAAUAAAAUUUUAUUAACUCAACGAGAAAAAUUUUAUUAAUCCCGUGGGGGCACCCGCGGGGAAAGCGGGGCGGGGCGAGGGGAGUGGGAGGCGGAGGACGGGGCGGGGGCGGGGGAUGGGGGAGGGGUCCCCCGCCCCAACCCCGCCAUCCCCCGUCCCGUUGUCAUCCCUAGUAAUAGACUGGCAAGCAUUGUGGUGGUCAUUGAGCAACUUAUAGGAGAAAUAGUCCUAUAAGCUGUUCAAUGACCAAUCACAACUUGCUAAUUGGAUGACUAAUAUAGCUCUAGCUGUAAUGUUUUAAUUAAAUUACAUCACUAACGUUGGGAUGACUUUUUAACCAAAAAAAAAAAGCCUUAGUUCAAGCUUUUCCCUUUAUUGUGCAUUUUUUAAAGCAUUUGAAAGGCACUGCAAAUCUGUCAUUUUGGACAUUUUAUUAUUGACUAACAAUGAAAGCCGUGGACGUCUACCCAUAACCAACACAAGAUUAAAUUAAUAUUAGAAAAAAUAAUUGAGUAAUUGGAAAAAAAAAAAAAAGAAGAGUCUAAUUUUCAUUGAAACCCACCGACAAACUAUACGUGUCCAUGGCUUUUGAAUAGUGCAUUCAACGUUUAAUUGUAUGGUCCAGUUCAUUGCAGAUUACAUGGAGUAAAGAUUGCGCUCUUUCCUUUUCACCCCUUUUGGAAUCGAUACUGUGGAGAAUUGGGUUUUUCCCUCCUUUUUUUCUUUUCUUUCCUUCUGUGGUUUGCAAAACAUACGUAAAAAUAUGAAAUCCGAAGCAUUCUUUAAUUGGUAUUAAGUAUUGUUGUUGAAAUUAAAAAGAAAAAAGAAAGAACAACAAAAUUCCCAAUCUGGGUUGAUUGUUGAGCUCUAGAUUGGUUGCAUCGUGCUUCCAUAGAAGCAAGAUUUGUAAAAUCGGAAUCCUACAUAGGAUCGAUUUUAGUUUCACAGGAUCGGAUUGUAAAAUCGUAAGAUCCUACCAAAAGCUCUCAAUUGCAAUUAAAGGUUGCAAUUCUUUAAUAAAUUACAAAUAUACCACAAAUAUUUUCAUUUACUUGCAAAAUGGAGCUUCGUAUUUCACAAAUUUACAAAAAAAUUGUAGGAUCGUACGAUCCUACCGAUCCUACGAUCCUACACGAUCCUACCGAUCCUGCUACGAUUCUAUGCGAUCCUACAAAGAUUAAUAUGAUUUGCGACUCUGCAUACGAUCCGGAUCGAUUUUGGUUAUCCGGAUCGUAGGAUCGUAUGAUCCUACGAUCCGGAUCGCGAUUUUGACAACUAUGCAUAGAAGCUCUCUUAGUGUGAUACACUGCUUUCAAUCAGUUUAACACGGGAAAAAAAAAAAGAGAUGAAAAGCAAAUUUGGUGGAGAUAAUUUCAGAAACCUCCCCUGAAGAUUUUGACUAUUCUACUGGUUUCCCUUCAGAUUUUAAAAAUUACACUAAUCUUCCUUGAAGUUAAUUAUCUUGUAACAUUUAAAUUCAAUCAAUAAUUUAAAAAAUGAUAUUAUGAGAGAGAAAAUAAUAUGAUUUUAUCAUUGCCCCCCAUCUUACUACAUUAUUUAAUUAAUUUAAUAGCAACCCACACAUUAAAGAAAAAUAUUAAAAUUUGUUGUUUAUCAUUAAAGAUCAAAUCGCUUAUAACAUCAAAUAAUAGUAUAUUAUUUAUAUUUUUCACUUAAUAUAAUAUCCAAAUUACUCUUUUCAAUUACAUACCCAUUGUUAGAGAAUCAACAACAAAUAACCAAAAAAUUUGCAACCAAAAUAUUACAAAAAAAAUAAACUUUAACAUCAUAAAUAUUCUUAUCAACAUAUUAAAGUUAGUUACUGAAAUUUUUAUGCUGUUAAACUUCACUCUUUUUGAAUACAGAUUUUUUUGAUUAUUUGUUAUUAAUUAUGUUUGAUGAUGGGUUUAUAAUUGAAAAGAACAAUUUGAAACUUACAUUAAGUAAAAUAUAUAGAGUGAUAUACUAUUUUUUAUAACAUAUGUGAUUCAAUCCUUCUUGAUAGGAUUGGUAAUAGAGGUAGAGGGGGGAGUCGGCUGCAUCCGGUCUUCUUUUCAUAGAUAGUACAAUAUUGCGAAAUCAAUCGCAUUCACACAAUAAUAUUUCGAAGUCAAUGCAUGGCUAAGUUGCAUAAAAGUACGAACACUUGUUAUUAUAUAGCUUAAGAUUCAAAACUUUCGAGCAUAACCCUCCACCCAACACAAUUGAAUAAUGAAUAUUCACGAUUGUCAAAUCUGUCAAAGCACAGUUUGAGGACAACCCAUUCCAACCUGCAAAAGAUUUUUUACUUUUCUAAAGUUGUUGAGAGCUGUAAAAAGACUUACCAUGCUUGCAUCCUCCGAGCCUUGGGAGUUAAAAAUGAAGGCACUGAGUGCUAUAAAAAGGGGAAUAGAGGCUGCCUAGAAGCAUAUCAGCCUAAAACAAGAAUUUGUAGUUAAGAUGGGAAGCAAAGCAAAAGCAAUGGGGUCUGGGCUGACUCCUCUUCUUGCCACUGUUUUAGUGGUGUUUGUUGCUCUUGGCUUGCCCUCACAAACUGCAGCUGAUGAUCACUACAAGUAUUCAUCUCCUCCUCCUCCUUACCACUAUCCCUCACCACCACCACCAGUGCAUAUACCUCCACCUCAUCCUGUUUACAAGUACAAAUCUCCACCACCCCCACCACCACACCCAGUUUACAAGUAUAAGUCACCACCACCACCUCCUCAUCCGGUAUACAAGUAUAAGUCUCCUCCGCCACCACCACACCCAGUUUACAAGUACAAGUCACCACCACCACCUCCUCAUCCGGUACCACACCCAGUUUACAAGUAUAAGUCACCUCCACCACCUCCUCAUCCGGUACCCACAGUUUACAAGUAUAAGUCACCACCACCACCUCCUCAUCCGGUAUACAAGUAUAAGUCUCCUCCGCCACCACCACACCCAGUUUACAAGUAUAAGUCACCACCACCACCUCCUCAUCCGGUGCCACACCCAGUUUACCACUACAAGUCACCACCACCACCUCCUCAUCCGGUACCACACCCAGUUUACCACUACAAGUCACCACCACCUCCUCACCCAGUUUACAAAUACGAGUCUCCACCACCACCAGUUUAUAAGUACAAGUCACCACCACCUCCUCCACCAGUUUACAAGUAUAAAUCUCCUCCACCACCACCACCAGUUUACCACUACAAGUCUCCACCACCUCCUCCCCCAGUUUACAAAUACAAGUCUCCACCACCUCCUCACCACUACUAAGCAAUUGCUUCUGAGGUAAUAACACUUGUUCAAUAUACCCACUUCUGCAUGAUAAAGCAUAUCUCUAUCAACACAAACUGUCAUGUCUAUCAUGCUAAGUGCCUUCACUUCAUCCACCAAAAUGACUGCUAGAAAAUUUUUUUUAUGUUACCAAAGAAAGGCAUCAUUUUUUCCCUCUGUUAUCAAGAACUUGUACAGUAUAUAGAUUAAAGAGUAUUUUUUUAACUAGCUUAUCAACUGAGAAAUGCAUAUAGCUGAUAGCCAGCUGAAUAUUUGCAGGCAAAGGAGAAGGAAACCAUGUUUGAGACCUUCUUGAAGAUGUAGAAGCAUAAGAAUAAAAGCCCAAUGUGAAGAUGAUGAUUUCAAGUUUUUCUACGUUACCAUUUCUUUAUCUAAAUUGGUUGUAGCGCCCAAGUUCCUUUGUUUAUGGGAUUUGUAUCGUUUUACGUACCAUGCAGUACAUGUCAUGUUUGUAAGGUUUUCUAUCCUGCCGGCAAACCGCAGGUUCCAUGUGAUAAAUGAAUACUAUUUAUGUUACGACACUUUUCUCUGUUUCUCUUAUAUUUUGUCUUUAAUAUUCUUAAUCAUAUUUUUAACAAAAAUAUUCAAACACUUAGGCAAUCUGGUCUAAUGCUAAUUGUAUGUUUUACUUUUCUUUUUCACCUGCUCCCCUUUUCAACUCAAAAGGAUGCAAUAGUUUGUGAUCACUGUUUAAGACGGAAGCAUGAUACUAAUGAAUAUCUCAUUGAAACUCAAGGAAACUAACAUUGCGAAAAGUGUAAAUCUUGAUUUGAUGCAACUAUUUAUUCGUGGAAUCUAUAGUUACAAAACUCAAAUUCUGACUGCGCCAUUGAUAAAUUAUUAAUGACGCUAUCAUCAUUAUUUAUCCCUAACUAGUUUCGACUACAACUGAACCCAAUAUUUUCCCCAUGAUAAAAGUUUUUGACUAUUUUACUGGCCUCUCUUCAAAUUUUAAAAAUUACACUAAUCUUCAUUGAGAUUAAUUAUCUUGUAACAUUUAAGUCCAAUUAAUAAUUAAAAAAUGAUAUUAUGAGAGAGAAAAUAAUAUAAUUUUAUCAUUGCCCCCCAUCUUGCUAUAUUAUUUAAUUAAUUUAAUAGCAACCCACACAUUAAAGAAAAAUACUAAAAUUUGCUGCUUUUCAUUAAAGAUCAAAUUGCAUAUGCCAUAAAACAUAGUAUAUCAUUCUAUAUGUUUCACUUAAUGUAAGAUCCCAAUUGUUCUUUUCAAUUACAAACCCAUUGUCAAACAUGAUCAAUAACAAAUAAUCAAAAAAUUUGCAACCAAAAUAUUACAAAAAAAAACUUUAACAUCAUAAAUAUUCUUACCACCUCUAGUGCAUUCACCCUCAUAAAAUAAUUCAAGACCCUACUGUCAUAAAAUGACUGAUCAACUCCUGUAAACCUAAUUUGACAACAUUUAAAUGGAGAACUUUAGCUAAAAGAAUUAUGGUCAAGCUAAAGAAAAAACCAGUUAUUUUCCAACAUAUGCAACCAUUGAUCAGGGGAAAAAAAAAAGCAAAAAGACAUCUUCAAUCAUUUAAUAGCUUACAGGGCAAAUUAACCCUUGAGUGAAAACUGGUUGCUCUAGAAUUAAAAUUUUACCUUAGUUACCCAGGCAACUUUUUUGUUGCCUUUUCUUUUUCUUUUUUGGGUAUAUAGCUCCAGUUUUGCCCCCUCUGUCAAGCUUAUAUAAUUAUUAAGAUAAUAAAAGUGCCUUUAAUAGUAUUAAUAUAUCCAUUGACUUGAGCUGUCAUCGAUCGGUUUGGGCUACUUCGAUUCCAUGAGAACAAAUGGUAAUAAAAGUACUCAGAAAAUGGGGAGUCAUGAAACCCUUUUGUUCUAUUCAUUGCUAAGAUGCUUUUCUCUAUAAAGAGACUUCCUAACGAAAAUACUUUGUAGAUUUCUUUACUCCAAGUGGUGCAUGGAAAAUUAAUAUUUUCAAUUAUCAAAUAAAAUUCCCUUUUUUCGGCGUAGAUUUCAUCCAUCCAGCUGUUAACACAUUCUAUAAAUCCGAAUUGACUAAUCUUUUCGUUUCCAUUUUCCAACUUGCGAAUACGGCAUAUAGUGUCUGCUAAACACUAUAUAUUCUCUGCCAAAUAUGAAUACAUAUCACUUUUCUGAGCAAGUGCAGAGUCAUUAUCAUUUUUAUUCCCACCUAACAAAUUAGGGAUAAAAAAGUUAAUAAUCUUUACAUGCUAUCAGGUCACAAGUUAAUAAUCUUUUAAAGAACAUGUUAAAUUAAUUUAUUGGUAUGAAUAGUAGUCAAAGAAGUAUGUUAAAGUUAGUAAUCUUUAAAAUAAUAUGUUAAAAUCAUUCGUACAAAUUAGUCAGAGAAGUAGCAUAAACACCGCGAUGCAAUUAAUACUUUCAAUCUCAAGGUCUCUAUUAUGGAAAUUUGCAUCGGUCAAUAUACACUUGGCAUAAUAUAAUCUCCCAACUCAUUUCUUUACAAAUGCACCUUUAAUCACCACCAAAAGGUGUGGACAUGAUCUUUACCCUAGAAAACUAUUCACCGACAGGCAAAUUGACGUCAGAAAUACUGAGGAAUUCUAGUUUCCUUCGGGUUCAUGCCAUGUUGUAUCCUUCAACUGUAACUCGAUUUCUAAGCUGUAAUUUGUGACAUAAUAGUCCUUAAACUAUGAAACCCUUCUUACUUAAUUACAAUGGUUAAUACAAUGCCCGUGACUAGACAAGUAUGAAGCAACCAUAACAGAAAAAAAAUCCAAAAUUAGAGAAAAGAAAGAAGUUUCGCGACCACCACCAGUUUACAAGUCACCUCCACCACCUCCUCCAGUUUACAAGUCACCUCCACCACCUUACCAUUAUUCCUCACCACCACCUCCAGUGCAUUCACCCCCACCACCACCAGUUUACAAGUCUCCGCCACCACCUUACCAUUAUUCCUCACCACCACCUCCUGUGCAUGCACCUCCACCACCAAUUUACAAGUCACCUCCUCCAGUUUACAAGUCUCCACCACCACCUUACGAUUAUUCCUCACCACCACCUCCAGUGCAUUCACCCCCACCACCACCAAUUUAUAAGUCUCCCCCACCGCCUCCCCCAGUAUAUAAGUCACCACCACCACCUCCUCCAGUAUACAAAUCACCUCCACCACCUCCUCCAGUUGACAAAUCUCCACCACCACCAAUUUAUAAAUACAAGUCUCCUCCACUACCUCCUCCAGUGUACAAGUCAUCACCACCACCUGCUUACAAGUCUCCACCUCCUCCAGUUUACAGUUCCCCACCACCACCAAUCUACAAGUCUCCACCUCCACCCUACCAUUACUACUACAAUUCUCCUCCUCCUCCUCGUCACUACUAAGCAAUUGUAUCCAAGUUUUUGAGGUAAUAACGCUUAACCAAUAAAUUAACUUUCGCAUGAUAAACCUUAUCUCUAUCAAGACAAACUGCCAUGUGUAUCAUGCCAAAUACGUACACCUAGAUCCAUGAAAAUGAAUGGUAGAAAGUUUUCUUAAGAACCAAGAACAGCAUUAGUAUUCCCUCUGCUUCCAAAAACUUGUGUAUUAAAUAGAUUAAUGAAUUGUUUAACAUGCUCAUCUACUUGAAAAUGCACAAUACCCAUAACCCACUGAAAUUUUUGCAGGAAAAGGGAAAGAGAAUCUGUGUUUGAGAGCUUCAUGAAGAUGUUGAAGAAUAAGAAUAAAAGCCCAAUGCAAGGAUGUUUUCAAGUUUUUCUAUGUUUCCACUUUAAUUUGUAAAUUGAAUUUUGCGACUCAAUUAAUUCCCUGUUUGUGAGGUACGUAUUGUUUUACGUACCAUGCCGUACAUUUUUUUUUUCCAACAAACGGUAUCAUGUUAUAGAUAUUAACACUUGACCUUACAAGGAUUAGUUACAAAAAGGGGAUACUACCCUCAACUCUGUCCUAGCUAAAUCAGUCAGCCAUAUUGGGAAAUUAGUUUCCCAUUCAAUAUCAUGUACAAGCUUCACAGCAUAUUGUGCUAAUUGAUGGCUGAUGUGAUUUUCAGUUCUAGGUAUAAACACAAAAGAACAUUUUUCAAAAGCUAGACUAAGUUCCUGCACAUCUUCUAAGAUAGUUGCAGUCGUGUAGUCAUACUCCUUGCGUUUAGUAAUCUGCUCUACCACUGAUUUGCAGUCUGUAUGGACUAUAAUUUGUGUCCAACCUGCUUGGGUAGCCAUCAGCAGAGCAUUUCUCACAGCCCGAGCUUCCACUUCACUUGCCGAUCCCUUUCCCUGUGUGACAAUUCCUUUUGCUUUCAAAAGCUGUCCUUUCCAAUUUCUUGCUAUAAUCCCUUGUCCGGUCCUGACUCGUUUAGCUGAUAUCGCUGCAUCGGUAUACAGCCUUAUCUCUUCCUUCCUUGGCCGCACUCUCCUGGUAGGUAAGGCAUCAUUCAGCUUCCCUGCGAUCUCCUUCUGGUCUGUACUCCCUACCUGUUCAAACUCAAGCCAUUCCUCCUGUGCUUUCCUUACUAUUUUUACUGGAUCCUGGUUGGCUUGUUCAAAAAAUUUUUUGUUCCUGGCUUUCCAAAUUUGCCAAAGGAUAUUGAUAGUAAGACUAACUCUCUCCUGACCUUGGUUCAGUGCCAGCGAUUGUGUGACUUGUUCCCACCAUAACCAAAAGUUAUAUUGCAUACCCAGUAAUCCAUCCCACCUGACCGGUGCUAGCUUCCACGUUUCCACAGCCUUUUCACAGAAGAAAAACAAAUGCUCAAUAGUUUCCAUAUCUUCACCACAGCAACCACAUCUGCCUUCCCCUCUAUGUAGCCUUUUCGACAUCUGUUCAUUGACUGGCAGACAAUUUUGUAAGCACUUCCACAUGAAGUGUUUUAGUUUGGCCUUCACCUUCAAAUGCCAUAGCUGCUUCCACACAUUUCGUUUUCGUAUCUCCCAACUUGUUUCUGCCUCUUGGCCUGUCCUUGUACCUGCUUUUCCUUCCCGUUGCCUUGCUAAAGCAUAACCAGAUUUCACGCUAUAAAUUCCAGCUUUGGAAUGCCCCCAUACCAACCUAUCCUUUCUUCUUCCUAUACUUGUUGGAAUUCCCUUUAUGUGCUCUGCAUCUUUUGCACAAAACCACUUGAGAAGCAAAUCAUUUUUCCAUUUCCCUUCCUCUAUCAGCUCACUUACCCAUUCCAACUUGCAUCCCACAGGUUGUGUGGUUGAUGCAAAGCCGGUAUCUGAACCAACUAUCCAUCUGUCCCGCCACAUGUUGACUGACUUGCCAUCUCCAAUUCUUUUCCAAAGACCAUCAUACAGAAAGGAGGCUGCACUAUGAAUACUCUUCCAACACCAUGAGGCUGAAGAGACUGGCUUCUUGUCCAUCCAUUUUUCAUCACUCAUAUACUUCGCCUUCAUUACCUUACUUACUAACAAAUUUGGAGCCAUUAAGAAUCUCCAAAUUUGUUUUGCCAGUAAUGCUGUGUUGAAGGCCUCCAAAUCUCUAAAGCCUAAACCUCCUCUUCCCUUAACUUCUAAGAGCUUCUUCCAGCUUGCCCAAUGUACACAGGUACCCUUUUCUCCCUUCCCCCACCAGAAACUCGCUAUUUUACCUGUGAUUUGUCUACACAAACCCCUUGGAAGUCUAAAGCAAGCCAUCACAUAUGUUGGCAUAGCCAUAAUCACUGAUUUGACCAGAAUUUCUUUCCCUCCUUGGCUCAACAGUUUUUGUUUCCAACCUUGCAACUUGUUACUAAUUUUGUUCUGGACAAAUGCAAAGACCUGUGUCUUUGAUCUUCCAAUUGCCAUUGGGAGUCCUAGGUAGGUUCCAUUCCUUGCCUCUUUAAUGUUAUCUAAUACCUCCCUCACUCCAUUCUUCCUUUGAUCAGUGGUAUUUUUGCUAUAGAAGAUAGCUGACUUUUCAAAAUUCACCACCUGUCCGGAUGCUUGACCAUAUCUUUCCAAUAUGCUUUUGACCUUCCUCGCCUCCUGCUUGGUUGCUUGGCAGCAUAGUAGAGAAUCAUCUGCAAAAAAUAGGUGAGAAACCAUCGGACUGUCCUUGCAUAUUUUGAUCCCUGUAAUUUCCUUGUUCAUCAUAGCUUUAUGGAUCAAACAUGAAAGACCUUCAGCGCAUAUAAUAAACAAGUACGGGGAUAGGGGGUCUCCUUGUCUAAGCCCUCUACUCGGUUGAACACAGCCUACCUUUUGCCCAUUUAAGUUGAAGGAGUAAGUCACAGUAGAUAGGCAAGACAUGAUCCAUUUAACAAAAAUUGGACAAAACCCCAUUUUCAUCAUAACUCUCCCCACAUAUUUCCAUUCGACUCUAUCGUAAGCUUUGGACAUGUCCAGUUUAAGAGCCAUAAAUCCUACCCUUCCCUUUCUCCUAUUUUUCAAAAAAUGCAGGAUUUCAUGUGCAACUACUACAUUAUCAAGAAUUUGACGGCCUGGGAUAAAAGCGGAUUGAGAGGGACUAAUACAAUGAUGCAAGACACCUUUCAAUCUAUUAGCUAUGAUUUUAGAAAUGAUUUUAUACAGGACAUUGCACAAGCUAAUAGGUCUAAAAUGCACCACAGAUUCAGGAGUAUCAACUUUAGGAAUCAACGAAAUAAUAGUAUCAUUCACAGCUUUGAGCAAAUGCCCAGUAUGAAAGAAACUCUUAAUAGCUGCUACCACAUCAUCCUUGAUAAUAUCCCAAUAGUGUUGAAAAAAUAGAGGAGACAUACCAUCCGUUCCUGGUGCUUUAUUAGGGUGCAUCGAGAACAAAGCUUUCCUGAUCUCACUUUCCUCCACUUGUCGUAUCAGUUGUCCAUUCAUAUGACUCGAAAUAGUGCUUGGAAUUUCAGCUAGAAUGUCCUCAAAGCAGUCCGGGUUAGUAGUGGUAAAAAGGUCUUUAUAGUACUCACAAAGUUCCUCCUCAAUCUCAUGUUCCUCCUUGCACCAUGUCCCAUCUUUUUUCUGCAAUAUAGUGAUCUUAUUUCUCCUCCUCUUUGCCAUGACCGAAGAAUGGAAAAAAGCUGUAUUCUUGUCCCCUUCUUUGAGCCACUUGUUCCUGGAUUUUUGACUCCAAAACAUCUCUUCCUCUGCAUAAGCUUUAUUCAAUUGUGCUUUUAGUUCAGCCACUUGUACUCUUUUCCCUUCAUCCUUUCUUGCUUUCACUUCAGCCAAUUUCUCCUUUAACACUUUAAUUCUAACCUUUGAGUUUCCCUGCACCUUUUUCCUCCAAUCCAGAAUAGCCAUGCGACAUUCCUUUAUUUUUGUAGCCACUCUAAACAUCCUGGACCCUGACUUCACCUUUGUCCAUGCUCCUUGAAUCACCCUUUUUGCUUCUGGAUUUAGCGUCCAUCGUUGAUCAAAGUAAAAUCUCCGUUUUCUCCUUGUGUUUUCCGGGUUUGUAUCCACAAGAAGCAUUAGAUGAUCAGAGGCUUCAGUAUCUAAAUGAGUACACUGUGCCUUUUCAAAUCUUUGCAGCCAUUCGGUGCUGCAUAAACAUCUAUCCAACCUCUCUUUCACUUCCCCAUCCCCCUCCCAACUAUUGCACCAAAUCCACGGGACCCCUUGAUAACCUAAGUCAACCAGGUUAUUGUCUUUGAUAAACCUGUUGAACUCCCUAAAACAUCUUUCAGCUCUAUCCCUUCCUCCCCACUUCUCCUCACUAGACCUCAAAUCAUUAAAAUCUCCUACAAUGAUCCAGCCAUCCCCCCAGUCCCUCAUCCUGUCCUCUAAAUAUUUCCAUUGUGCUUUUCUAAUGUUACUAUCUGUGCUUGCAUAAACACACACUAGCCCCCAGUAUCCUUUAGUAUCCUUGUCCUCAACUCUAGCACUAAUACACCAAUCAGUACUUACAAUCUGGUCUAAAAUCACCUCAUUGUUCCAGAAUAAUGCUAGACCGCCUGCUUUACCUAUUGAAUUCACAAAAAAGCUAUUGUCAUACUGAAUCUUCCUUUGAACCUUGCCCAUAAACCCUUCCUGAUUCUUAGUUUCACAAAGGAACACCACCUUAGGAGAGUGGAAGUUAGUCACUUCCUUUAGUUGGGGACUUGUCAAGGGGCCUCCUACACCUCGACAAUUCCACACCACAACCUUCAUUUACACUUUGGAGGCUUUCCGGGGCUAGCCUCCAUUUCCCCUAUUGUACUAACAUUUAUUAGAUCCAGUUUCAUAACCUUUACCUUCGGUACAUUAUCAUCAUCCUCCUCUAUCGGUUGUGUUCCCUGAAACAUACCAUCAGCCUUCCUUUUAGCACACGAAACCUGCGUUACUUGUCCAUUUGUAUCUGCCUUUAAGGAUGUUUUAGCCGGCCUCCCUCUUCUUUUAAAACUGCUUCUUUUUUCAGCUUUGUUAUCUUCUUCCCCUGGAGUAGCCUCCUUUCUUGGCAUUCUUGCAUUUGUCUCCUCCUGCUUUAUUGACCCUACCCGCAAACUUUCACAUUCCUGUUUUGAGCUGUCCGUUUCCAUAUCCUCAUAAUCUACUGGUGGGAUUACGCUGCUCCCUCCUUUACUCCCUUCCUGUACCCUACCCUCCUUUUCACCAUUUCCCUCCAUUAAGACCACAGCCAAACUUUCCACCCGUUGGUUUGCCUUUCCAUACUGCCUGCUGUCUUUUAGAAUCUCAUCCCACCUCUCUUCAUAUUGUCUCGUCAUCAUUUUCUCCUUAUCCCCCCUUUCCUUUCCCCCCAAGACUCUACCAUUUUUUCCCCCAAGAGUUAAUGUAUCUCCAGCCAUUUGUACUCCAGUUUGAACUUCACUACUAGGAGACCCUGCCCCCACCCUCCUUGCAUCAAUUUCACUUACUCCUUCCAGCCGUCCCUUUAAGGGAGAUACCAUUAUAUUUCCAGCUCUCAUCCAGGCACCAUAUUGUUCCUCUCGCUUCUCCCCCCCACCCUUCCUACCACAGUACAAGUCCUAUCACUAUGCCCAAUGAUACCACACCUAUAACAGAAAUCAGGGCAGCGUUCAUACCUGAACUCAACCCACACUGCCUGGUUCUUACAGUUGAUCUUUGUCCCUCUAACCAGUGGUUUCGUUAUAUCUACCUCAGCCAUAAUCUUCAUGUGGCGACCCUCUUUCCCACCACUUCCUGGGAGAAUCACUCCCCUCACUGAUUUAAAGAUCCCUCCUAUUUUCAAACCCACUGCUCUGCUCAACCAGUGCACCGGUAGGUUCCAUAGUUGAAUCCAAAGAAAGGAAUGCUGGAAAAAGCUGCUGUUUGUAUCAUACCCCUCUACCCACUCCUUCACUAUCAGCAACUGGUUGUCCAUGACCCAAGGCCCUCCAGAUAAGAUCUUUUUCUUUUCCCCUUCAUCUCCCAGAUGGAAAUGGAAUAAGUUAGGACCUAACUCAGUCACUUUCAUCUUUGAGGGGUAUCCCCAUGCAUGAUUUGUAAAGUUCUUUAACCCCGUAAAGUUGGCAAUUUUUUCACCAAUCAGCUUUCCUACCAGGCUUCCUUGACACUCAGAGACGCCUUCUUCCAGGUCCUCACCACUCAGAUCGACACCUCCUAACUCUGUUUCAGACAAGUCAAAAUUUUGAAAGGCUCUUUCUAAAGCAUCCGCCAUUGCUGUGACGAGAGCUCCUUGAGAAACCAAGCACUAUUUCUGAGCUAUGAGUGACCCACUGACAGACCUGUGAAGAAUUGCAAAGACAGACAAAGCUGUGUUAUCCGUACACACUAAAAACCAACCAGAAAAACAGAGAGGAACUCGACAGAAAAAGCACAGGCACAAGAAGAAACGAAAGAAAAAAGAAAAACCAACAAACCACUAUCCCACUCCCGACCACAUAACAGCAUUAAAGAAAGGGACACAAAUACGACACUCCAACUUCCGAUCACAUGCUCUGACUCAAUGGAUCAUAUCUUGCCCAAAGCGUUUACUCCUCCAACCGAUUCCAAACCACUACAGACAUUGUCUCCCAUUUUGAAGCCGGAAGAAAGGUGGCUUCUGGACAGGGAACAUGAAAGCAAAGGUUGAACUAAAGAUUUGAUUUUAGAUCUGAAAAUUACGCUGUAGGAAAAAGUGCUAUGUGUUUGUACCUCACCCACUCUCCCACACCGAGGAGGGGAACCUCUAAAGUUAGAGAGAGAAGCUCUCAAGUUAGAGAGAAGCUUUGGAAGUUAAUUACCAACGUACCAUGCCGUACAUGUUUGUAAGGAUUUCUAUCCUAUUGGCAAAAGUCGGUUCCAUACAAUUAAUCAAUUCAUUUCACUUCUAUUGGCUCUACUAUUUAUGCAUGUUACGACACUCUUUCCCUUAUAUUUUGCCUUUAAUAUUAUGAGUCAAUAGUAAUAAUGGGCCUUUUUCUUAAAAUUAUACUAUUAUACAUAGGUAGUUUGGUCUAACGCUAAAUUCAUGUUUGUCUUUCUUUUAUUCCCUUUACAUCUCAAAGUAUACUAUAGUUUGUAAUCAUUGUGGUGAUGAUAUUACCAGCUGGUACUUAUAGUUUAAGGCAGAGACAUGAUAUUAACAACUAUCUCAUUGAAACAUAAGUCAAAAUCAUGACAAGUGUGAGUCUUGGUUAAUGCACAAUUUGUUAGUGGAAUUUAUAUUUAUAAAACUCAAAAAAAAUUUUUGACAAUGCUAUUACUAAUUAAUUAAGGACUUCAUUGCUAUAAUUUAUCGCUUACUAAUUUAAACUAUAAAUGAUCUCAAUACUUUUCUCCAUGAUGUCGAUUUCUUUAGACUACGAAAGGGAAAAAUUAGUGACAUAUCCCUUACUGAUUACAACAUCAGCAAAAAUUAGUUAUAAACUUUUCCGGUGGUUUUAAAUCCCUCGGGCACUAAGGUUUUUUGCACAUCGAGUGAAUUAAGGAACAUAGGCAAUUCGUUCUGCAUACCAAGUCCUUGUUUAAGAUGCACGUACUAAAAUGCAUCCACUUCAUUAAUUUGGAAAAUUGCCAUAGUUUUUUUUAAGCAUUUUGAUUUUUUACAUGAUUCAAAAUUUUCUUAUUGGAUACAAUCACUUUGUGUCAAGAACACAUUUUCAAUCAUCUUUUUUAUCUUCUCAAUAAGAAAAUAAAAAUUUAUUCAUGCUUUUCUAACAUAUCCAAUCAUUGAUCUGAAAAAUAAAGAAUUAAAAAAAAAAGACAUUUUCAAUCAUUGCUUACGGGGCAACUUCCCCAUGUGAACCUCAUCAAACAAAGCCAAUAAUAUGAAGGAACAUCUAAAUACACUUUUGCCCUAAAGGCUGGUUGCCUUGGGGUCAAAAUUUAACCUUCGGGAGUAUAAUUACCCGCCAAAUUUAUUAUUUUUUUUAUGGGUAUAUAGUUCCAAUUUUGCCUCCUGUUAAGCUUAUAAAUAUAUUACGACCCAGAAAAUAAAGGAAUCUUGAAUAGUAACAUGUCCAUUGACUUGAGUUGUUAUCAAUUUGGCUACUUCGAUUCCAUGAGGCCAAUCCAAUUCACACUAGCUAGAGAAAAUGGUGAUAAAGGCACUUAGAAAUUUAUAUGUAAUAUUGAUUGGUAGUAACUGAUAAGUAUAUAUUUUACGUGUUUUAAAUAUGUUUUAUUAGUUAGUUUUGGUGUGUUUUAACUACUUUUAUAACUAAUUAACUAGGAAUCUAGUGAAAAUAUGCAUUUUGUGGUUUGAAGUGUAAAAAUUGUAUUUCUAUGGAUUUUAAUGGUGAAAACUUCAUGUUUUUGUAGGUUUAAUGAUUCAAUCAUCAAAUGACAUGAUUUGAGAAGAUAAUUAGAUGAUUGAUGAUGUUUUGAAGUGAUAAAAAGAGAAUACAAAGUGCAAGAGAGGAAAUGCAAUCAAGAAUAAAAGAAGAAAAUUUUUGUAGCUUUGACAUAUUGUCGUAUUUCGGCAAUAUAUUGAGCUACAAUGAUCGGAUUAAGGUGAUUCUUAAACCAUUUGAAGCUAAAAUAUAGAUCUACAUUUGGCAUGAAGGCAUCGAAACCCAUGUCAGUCAUUUUCCUUGUCAAAAUGUUGAAAUACAGAAGUGCAACUCUGUUCUCGAAAGCUAAAACAGAGCUCUGGCUAGUCGAGGGUAUUUUCAUCAUUUCUUAGUCCACAGAGCUCCAAAUGAGAUGAUUCUUAAGGCAUUAGAACCCUAACUCAAAGAGCUACAACUUUCAUAUUUUGUACAAGAGUUAGUUCGGCCUCUAUCAUUAAGAAAAUAGUAGUUGAAGUGGUGCCAAAUGCAUAGAAGUGAAAACGCGAGCUAUCAAUACUCGACCUGAAGUCGCGUAUUCCUGAGGUCAUGCAUUCUCUUCUAUUUUCUGCAACUUGCCCUGCUUUCACAUAACUUUUUCAUCUCAAUUCCAACUAUCAAUUUCGGCUAUAUCUGAUCAAGAAAAGUGUGGAAAGUUUGAAAGACAACUCAUAGGAGUUUCAAGAGUCAAAAAUUACAAUUAGAAACAACUCAUUUGGCUCUUGAAUCCUCUAUAAAUAGAGGCCUUUGAAGAACAUUUUCACAACUUUGGAAGGUUAGAGAAACUCCACAAAAACAUAGUCUUCACUAGAAUUUCCUUAGUUCAUUAGUUAGGGUAGUAUAGUAUAGUUAGUGUAGCUUUUCCUUCUUGUAUUUAUAGUUAGGUUUGAAUGAAGAUUCAGGAGCAAAGAUAGAGAGGUUGAUCUCAUGUGACAAGGGUGAUAUCUCUUCUACUACUUUCUCUUUUGUAUUUGAUUUCAUAUUUAACUAUACUACAAAUUUGGCUUUGUUUUUUUUUUUUUAUCAUGUUUAGUUAAAGUUUAUGCCUAGAGUAUGGAUGACCUUUUUAUAUCUUGUUUGUGAUAUUUAACUGGUUAUUUGAUGAUGUUAUUUUUGAGCAAGUUAUUUAUCACUUUUGCUUUUCUAAUCAUGAUUAACUGGCCAUUAGUUGUGAUUAUCUAAAAGUGUUAAGUUUGUAAUGAGAAUUGGAGUUUAACACUAGUUCAAGGAAGUGAUAAAUUUAGGGAGUUCACUCAUGAGAGUAGAGGAACACCUUUGUGACCUAAGUGACUUGUUUCAUAUAAUUUCAUAGAAAAAAUGAACUUGUAAUUAAUUUCAUAACCACGAGAGUAAGUAUGGUUUAGCUAUAUGUAUAGUUGAUUCACUACGAGAGUAGGUUUCACAUACAUUAGAAAAUUACAUCAUAACUAGUCAAGAUAAUAUCAUUCAUUUAAUCAGUAAUCUCAUUUGCAUGAGUAGUAAGGCAUUCCAUAUCUCUAGGAGGUUUUUAGUAUUAUUUUCAUUACUUUUAUGUUUAUGGUAGUCUAGAUAAUAAUGGAGUUCGAAAACUACUAGUAAUUGAAAAUUUUCCCUGUGGGAUCGACCUUUAAUACCCUAUACUCGCUCUCGACUCGUAUACUUGAGAAAAAUCACGUGUGCGGUAUUUAGAAUUUAUAAAUGUAAAACUUGACUGUAGAUGAACUAAUUGAUAUAUGUAUACCCCGCACUCGUCAGUAACCAGCUUGUAUUGAUCCCACUAUUGUGGAUAAUUGUGCUCUUAUGAAAAAAAAUUAUAAAAAAAUUAGCAAAAUUUAUGAUAACAAAUUAAAUUUAUUCAUACAAAUCAGUGAAAGAAGUAGAAUUUUAAAGUCCAUGAUGAAAUUAAUACUUUCAAGGGCUCUAUUAGGAAGACUUCACUUGUUGGUGAAACUACACUAGCACAGUUAUAUGCACAUUUACUGUUUUGGUAUCUAAUUUCCUUGCCUUAAGUUGGGUGCAGAUGUUUAUAUUACAAAUAGAUGGUAUCAUAAAAUUGUUGUAUUCACGUUUGUUCUUUUUUUUCUUCCUUAAGUUUUUUUCUUUAUUCUCGUGACUUCAAAAAUACGAACUCAAGAAAUUGGCUGCUUAAUCAAUAUGUCAUACAGGCUUCGCUAGUGAGGUAUAACUUCACAACUAGAGUCAAUAGAAAUUAUCAAAUGAUUUUUUAACAUCCAAAUUAAGCAAUAAAUUUUGUUUUCAUUUUAUGACAUAUAAUAGUACUACUUCAUGAGAGAUUUUAUAGUUUCUUUUAGGUAUCAUACCUACAAGUGAUAUUUGUCAUUGGAUAGUGACAGAAGUGUUAAUGAUUGUAAGAUUAAAUAUUGUUAAAUAUUGAAAUUUAAACUAUUUAUCUUUAUUGAAAGAUACAAGUUAAAGAAUCGUUCAAGGGGGCAAUUUUCCAUCUUGUCUUUUUGAAAAAACGCUAUCACAUUGUAUAGGCAUGAUAGGUUCAAAUUUGUCAUUAAAUUUAUGAUUGAUUUUCCUUUUAUUCAAGCCAAAUAUUGUUUUAAUUAUCAAAUUCUACUUAUAUUUGGUUAAUUGUACUAAUUGUAGGGCGGUAGAGCAAAAGUUGCUAAAAAUAGGCGAUUUUCUGCAAAUUGGUUGUCAAGGCUGAAGGAUUUGGGAUUCGCAUGUUCAAGGCCUGUUUCCAAGUUUGAUUCAAACUCUGGACAGUUUUAGAGGAAGAUUUGGAAGAUUUGAAAUUUCAUUAUUAGUUUUAUGGUUGAAUUAGGAAUCUUGGAAUAAUUUCUUUUGUGAUUUAUUUUUCUAUUUAGGAGACUAGUUGUUAUUUAGUAGUAGACUUCAAUUAGAAAACAAAGAGAAAAAGAAGGCCGGAAUCCCGCUUGAUUAAUACCUUGGCCAGGGAACAAUCUCGGUGGGGAGGACGGCCACUUAGCCUCUCAAUUCAUCUUGCUUUUCGUUAGUUUGAGAGGAAAACCAAUUGCAACUAGAUUCAAUGGAGUCUGGCAGAAUUUCUUCUAGGAUGCGUAGCUAAAUCCUCAAUUUUUAGUCGAAGGUCAAUUUGAAAAUUCGGUUCCAAAUAUCUGUGAAAUCGAAUUAUUUUACUUAUUUCUUUUAUUUAUUGGUAUUCGCACGUUUUCUGAUUUAACUUUUUAUGAUUGUUUUGUUAUUUGAAUGUCAAGGGUCCGAUAUUCGAAUUAACUUAAUAAUCUACUGCCAAAUUAACCGGUUAAAUCCGUAAUUGUUUGAUUGAUUAAUAUCAGUGGCGACUAGCGUGAUUGGUCCCAUGUUAGGAAAACGUCUGAUCUAAUUUAAACAAACCGUCGUAGCGUGUUUGUUGAUUAGGGUUGGGCUUUUCUAAUUCUUAAUUCAAUUGAGAAAUUAAAUCCCCCGGUCGUACCUAGGAUUAUUUUUUUGUUAGCGAAAUAGUUAAUGGUCGUACCUUGACUAUCGAAAAAGUAAGGAAGAGUUGAUUGUUUAUCGCGUGUACGACAACUAUAAUCAAUCUAUUAAUGAGUAAUUGAAUUAUCUUUGCAUCAGUAAUCAGUUGAAUGGACCGUGUCUGAAAAGUUGUACCUUUGGCUAGAGUCUUAUCUGUUGUUGAUUCAUUCAUAUCUAUCUUCAUGCGUUGUUUUAAUUUAGUUAAUUAGUUAUUUUUAUAAAAACCCCUCAUCUCUGGACUCUAAAAGAAAUAAAUUAUUUCUAGUUCCUGUGGAUUCGAUCCUACUCACCAUACAAUCCAACCUGCAAUUGUAUGAACCCCAAUCUCGCUUCCUAGUCCACCAUUUUUCUCUAGGUAAUAAUCUCCCUUCUAAUUUCUUCACAAAAUGCACCUUUCAUCACCUCCAAUAGCGUCGACAUGAUCUUUACCCCAGAAGACUAUUCACCGACUCUCAAUUGACGUUAGAAAAUCUAAGAGUAAUUCUACUUUACCCUAAGAUUGAUAUCAACAAGACAAGGACAAUUUAGAAUUAUUACACGCCUCUUCUUAAUAGGAAAAAGAAAUAGAGAAGAAAGUCAGGCCAGGUCUAAUUUCUUUUCAAAGGCAAUACAACAUUACGAAAUCAAGCAUUCAUUCAUACAAAUAUUUCAUAGUCACCGGUUUGCUGAGUAGAAAAAUUUAGACAAAAACUUAAUAUUAUAUUGUUUAAGAGUUAACAAUUUAGAGCUUAAUCUCCUUGUACUUUGGAGUUAACAAUUUAGAGCUUAAUCUCCUUGUACUUUGGACUAAACUUGAACGUGAAAGGAAAUCCCAAAACCAUAUUGGGCAUGAAUUCACACUUAAUAUACCCAAUAAAAGAUGGCGACUGGUGAAAGGCAGUGGAGACUGGUGGAGAGAUUUGAGGAAUAGAAGCAGACGGAAAAGCAACAAAUUUUUGCCGAAAAACGGUCACUUUCAUGGUUAAUUUUGCUACUCUCCAAUUGUACUUGACCAAUUACAACAAUUUCAUGGAGUUUGAUACGUGAAAAGAAUUUUUUAUAAAUUUUAUUUUGAUCCAUAAUGUUAUCUUUACAUAUAUAAAACAUUUUACAAUUUUGAUUUUGGCGCAGUUAACUUUUGGUAAACAAAAAUGCUCAUGUUUAAAAAACCGGAAAUAAAACAAAACAAGAAACAAAAGAAAUAAGAGGGUAGCAUAGACAUUUUGGAUUUUUCCGUUAAUUUGGAUGAUUUCCACCCACGUUCUAAUUUAAUCCAAAACACAAAGGAAUUACGUAGAGGUUUUAAAUAAUGAGGGAGCUUCAUGAUCGAACCCCAAACCACAAGGCGAUUUACUAUAUUUUACUCUUAAAUUUUGGUUUCAUCUCAUAGCAUACAAGAGUUCUAUUUCACUAUCUGUAGACAAAGACUUUCUAUGGUUGAUGUACCAUAGGAAAAAAUCUGCCUAUACAACGUGAUAGCAUUUUUUCAAAAACACAAGAUGGAAAAUUGCCCCCUUAAACGGGGAAAUUCAUGAUCUUUCCUCGAACAAAGAAUACUCACGCCUAUUCAAGAUGGAAAAUUGCCCCCUUAAACGUCUAUUUGUCAAUUCUUGAAAAAAGAAUACUCACGCCUAAAACACGGCCUCUUCAUCUGCAGAAUUCUAAAAAGUUAGGUAAACUCUAUAAACAAGUUGAUAGGUACAAUCGUACCCAAGAUCAAGUACAGAUAGUUGUACAUUCACUGCUGCAAUAACUAAUCUGAUGACUUACAAACAUAUCAUGGUCAAUCGUUGAAUGGUAAUGAGUCUUUUGUUAUGCAUUAGUAUUAGUGUGUACACUCUAAUAGAUUGAUACUUAUACUCUUUAAAUUAUCAUAAUAAUACCCUUAAUUAACUUUAACUCUUAAAAAGAAUACGUGUUAAUACACGAGAGUGUGUAACCUGAAUUGUUACUUAUACAUUAGUGUGUAAUAGAUAGGGAUGGCAAUGGGGGCGGGUGCCCGCAGGCAACCGCCCCGCGGGGGGCUCUCGGGGCGGGGAGGGGGGAAUUUUUUCCCCCCGUUUAGAAACGGGGCAGGGGACGGGGGAGUAUACCCCCGCCCCAUCCCCCGCAAAAAAAAUUAUAUAUAUAUAAUUAUAUAUAAUAUGUAAUUUAAUUAGUUAUAAACUUAUGAUAAUGAUAUUAUUAGUUAGAUGUAUUAUAUAAUGUAUAUUAGUGUAUGUAAUAUAAUUAAUAUUAUCAAUUAUACGAAUAAUUAGACAUGUCUACUAAUAGAAUUUAUUAAUUAGUUAUACUAAAUUUACUAAUACAUUUAUACUAAAUUUCUAAUUACAUUUAAUAGAAUAACACUUUUUUCUAAAAAAAAAAGCACAAACACAAUAAUGAAUUAGUGAUUGUAUUUUUACCAAAAAUGAAAACUUAACUAUUUUAGUUGCAUUUAUUUCAUCAUGUUGGAUUGUAUUCAAAUAAUUUUUGUUUGAUUGUUUUUAUGAGUUUCAAUUGUAAAAUUAAAAUGAAUAAUAACUUGAUGAAUAAUAAUGUCAAUCGUUGAAUGGUGUGUACACUCUAAUAUUAUGCAUUAGUAUUAGUGUGUACACUCUAAUAGAUUGAUACUUAUACUCUUUAAAUUAUCAUAAUAAUACCCUUAAUUAACUUUAACUCUUAAAAAGAAUACGUGUUAAUAACUCUUAACCUGAAUUGUUACUUAUACAUUAGUGUGAAAUAGAACGGCAAGCAUUGAGCAACUUAUAGGAGAAAUAGUCCUAUAAGCUGUUGGAUGACUAAUAUAGCUCUAGCUGUAAUGUUUUAAUUAAAUUACAUCACUAACGUUGGGAUGACUAAUGGUUUAAAAAUAAUUGAGUAAUUGGAAAAAAAAAAAGAGACUAAUUUUCAUUGAAACCCACCGACAAACUAAACGUGUCCAUGGCUUUUGAAUAGUGCAUUCAACGUUUAAUUGUAUAGUCCAGUUCAUUGCAGAUUACAUGGAGUAAAGAUUGUGCUCUUUCCUUUUUCACCCCUUUUGGAAUCGAUACUGUGGAGAAUUGGGUUUUUCCCUUCUUUUUUUCUUUUCUUUCUUUCUGUGCUUUGCAAAACAUAGGUAAAAUUAUGAAAUCCGAAGCAUUCUUUAAUUGGGAUUAAGUAUUGUUCUUGAAAUUAAAAAGAAGAAAGAAAGAACAACAAAAUUCCCUGAUUGGUUGCAUCGUGCUUCCAUAGAAGCUCUCUUAGUGUGAUACACUGCUUUCAAUCAGUUUAACAUGGAAAAAAGAAAGAGAUGAAAAGCAAAUUUGGUGGGGAUAAUUUCAGAAACCUCCCCUGAAGAUUUUGACUAUUCUACUGGUCUCCCUUCAGAUUUUAAAAAUUACACUAAUCUUCCUUGAAGUUAUAACAUUUAAAUUCAAUCAAUAAUUUAAAAAAUGAUAUUAUGAAAGAGAAAAUAAUAUGAUUUUAUCAUUGCCCCCCAUCUUACUACAUUAUUUAAUUAAUUUAAUAGCAACCCACACAUUAAAGAAAAAUAUAAAAUUUGUUAUUUAUCAUUAAAGAUCAAAUCGCUUAUAACAUCAAAUAAUAGUAUAUUAUUUAUAUUUUUCACUUAACAUAAUAUCCAAAUUACUCUUUUCAAUUACAUACUCAUUGUUAGACAAUCAACAACAAAUAACCAAAAAAUUUGCAACCAAAAUAUUACAAAAAAAAAUAAACUUUAACAUCAUAAAUAUUCUUAUCAACAUAUUAAAGUUAGUUACUGAAAUUUUUAUGGUGUUAAACUUCACUCUUUGUAAUAUUUUGGUUACAGAUUUUUUUUGAUUAUUUUUUAUUAAUUAUGUUUGAUGAUGGGUUUGUAAUUGAAAAGAAUAAUUUAAAACUUACAUUAAGUGAAAUAUAUAGAGUGAUAUACUAUUUUUUAUAACAUAUGUGAUUCAAUCCUUCUUGAUAGGAUUGGUAAUAGAGGUAGAGGGGGGAGUCGGCUGCAUCCGGUCUUCUUUUCAUAGAUAGUACAAUAUUGCGAAAUCAAUCGCAUUCACACAAUAAUAUUUCGAAGUCAAUGCAUGGCUAAGUUGCAUAAAAGUACGAACACUUGUUAUUAUAUAGCUUAAGAUUCAAAACUUUAGAGCAUAACCCUCCACCUAACACAAUUGAAUAAUGAAUAUUCACGUUUGUCAAAUCUGUCAAAGCACAGUUUGAGGACAACCCAUUCCAACCUGCAAAAGAUUUUUUACUUUUCUAAAGUUGUUGAGAGCUGUAAAAAGACCUACCAUGCUUACAUCCUCCGAGCCUUGGGAGUUAAAAAUGAAGGCACUGAGUGCUAUAAAAAGGGGGCUAGAGGCUGCCUAGAAGCAUAUCAGCCUAAAACAAGAAUUUGUUGUUAUGAUGGGAAGCAAAGCAAAAGCAAUGGGGUCUGGGCUGACUCCUCUUCUUGCCACUGUUUUAGUGGUAUUUGUUGCUCUUGGCUUGCCCUCAGAAACAGCAGCUGAUGAUCACUACAAGUAUUCAUCUCCUCCUCCUCCUUACCACUAUCCCUCACCACCGCCUCCAGUGCAUUUACCUCCACCAGUGUACAAAUACAAGUCCCCACCACCACCUCAUCAUGUUUACAAGUACAAAUCUCCACCACCCCCACCACCACACCCAGUUUACAAGUAUAAGUCACCACCACCACCUCCUCAUCCGGUACCACACCCAGUUUACAAGUAUAAGUCACCACCACCACCUCCUCAUCCGGUAUACAAGUAUAAGUCUCCUCCGCCACCACCACACCCAGUUUACAAGUAUAAGUCACCACCACCACCUCCUCAUCCGGUACCACACCCAGUUUACAAGUAUAAGUCUCCUCCGCCACCAGUUUACAAAUAUAAGUCUCCUCCACCACCACCUCCAGUGUACAAGUACAAGUCUCCACCACCACCAGUUUACAAGUACAAAUCACCACCACCUCCUCCCCCAGUUUACAAAUACAAGUCUCCACCACCACCAGUUUACCACUACAAGUCACCACCACCUCCUCACCCAGUUUACAAGUACAAAUCUCCUCCACCACCAAUUUACCACUACAAGUCACCACCACCUCCUCCCCCAGUUUACAAAUACAAGUCUCCACCUCCUCCUCACCACUACUAAGCAAUUGCUUCUGAGGUAAUAACACUUGUUCAAUAACACUUGAUAGCCAGCUGAAUAUUUGCAGGCAAAGGAGAAGGAAACCAGUGUUUGAGACCUUCUUGAAGAUGUAGAAGCAUAAGAAUUAAAGCCCAAUGUGAAGAUGAUGAUUUCAAGUUUUUCUACGUUACCAUUUCAAUAUCUAAAUUGGUUGUAGCGCCUUAGUUCCUUUGUUUAUGGGAUUUGUAUCGUUUUACGUACCAUGCAGUACAUGUCAUGUUUGUAAGGUUUUCUAUCCUGCCGGCAAACCGCAGGUUCCAUGUAAUAAAUCAAUACUAUUUAUAUUACGACACUUUUCUCUGUUUCUCUUAUAUUUUGUCUUUAAUAUUCUUAAUCAUAUUUUUAACAAAAAUAUUCAAACACUUCAGCAAUGGUUCACCUAGUUGAUCAUCGAAGCAGAGGCAAUUCCAAUUAUUUAUCAAUAAAUAGGAUAUAACUACCAAACAAGCGAUGGCAGUUAACCCCUCCUUACUGUGUCGGUGAUCAAGGUACGCCCGUUAAUCACUGCUCUAAUUGAGAAAUAAUCCUAAGUACGCCCGUAGAAUUUAAUUCCCCAAUUGCCUUACAUAUUAGAGGAGCCCUAUUCUAACCAAAUAACGCACUAUCAGGGUUAUUUUAGAUUAGCCCGCGUAUUCCCCUGACAUAAAUCUAAUCAUGCCAGUUGUCAUUAUUUUGAGGUAAUUAAACAAUUACGGAUUUAACACCUCAAUUGACAAUAGAUUAUUAAAUUAAUUAAUUAUUCGGAUCCAAGACAAUCAAUUAAUUAAACAACCAUAAGCACUACAAUCAGAGAAUAUGCAAAUACCAAUAAAUAAAUAAAAAAUAAAAUUAAAUCGAUCUCACAAUUUUUAGGCGAAUCAGAGCAUCCGUUGUCCCUUGACUAGAGCAAGGAAAUUAGUUCAUAUUUGAUGAACUAAACCCAUACAAAAGGGAAGCGAGAAAUGCAGCCAUUAUCCUUUGAAAUCUGGAAAAUUCAACUUGUCCGAAUAUCGAAUAGAUAGUAAUACUACAAAAGGUAAUUCAUAGCUUCCCUUUCGUCUGACACACAAGAAGAAAAAAAAGGGCUGCUAAUAACUAAAGGAGGAAAAGUCAAAGUCCUAAGCUAUGCUACAAGACGAAAAACUAAAGAAGACAAAAAGGCAGUGCUCAUUCCCUGCAAUCUCAAUUCCUAUUCUAUCUAAGUGCUCUCCAAUGUGCGGCGGCUCCCCUUCCGGAGAGGACGAAGUGGCACCCUUUUUUCCUGCGCAAUUUUCCUAUAUAAAGUAGUGCUCCUUGCAGCGGCUCCUGUGCGAAAAAAUGAAGACUUCGGCCCAAUUUGCCUAACAAGGGCUCACGUUUUGUUGUUCUAAAAAUGUCCCUAGGACAAACUCUAUCAUCUGAACUCUUUUCUUGCCAAAUUAGUACCUGUUAUUAUAUUUUCGUUCUACUCCCUGAAAUAAAUGCAAAAUAUCAAAAGUGAGUAGAAUCUAGCAAUUAAUCCACAUUAGGUCAGGUAAUAGGGAAAAUUAAUAAUAAAAUAAAUGAUAAAAUUGCAAUCUAUCACGGGACCACUGUGGUAAGGUGUGUUUCGCCUAUUAUAAGGAGUUCGGAGAGUUAGACGUGUUGGAGGCGGAGGCGCGGUCACUCCUGCACGCCCUCCAGCUGUGUGCAGAUCGCGAGGUACGGGCGUUGACUGUAGAAUCUGAUUCAAAGGUGCUUGUUCAACUAGUUUGCUCGGAUAUGAGGUCGAAGUGGCCGGUGUGUAUCGUAUUGCGGGAAAUAAGACAUUUGAUCCGGCGGAUGGGUGCAUCCCUUCAUCAUAUAUUCCGUGAGGCCAAUUCGGUGGCGGACGCAUUGGCUUCUCUGCAAUUGGGAGGGCAGCAGUACUACACCUCAGGCGUGGCGCUGCCUUUCAGGCCCAGAGGAGAGGCUCUGCUGGAUCGUCAAGGAGUACCUCGCAUCCGUGAGGCGCUCACUAAGGUUUGAUAGGCUAUGUCCUCCUUUCAAAAAACUUAUUUCAUCUACUCCUUGUAAUCAUUUUUCUUAUCAAUAAAUUGAGGCUUUUUAUUUAAAAAAAAACAUAUAAUUUAAGGCAAAAAUAUGAUCCUAGCGAGUAUCGCACUGAGACAUUAGGAAACAUCAUUAAAAGAGUAUUUCUUGAGUUAGUGCAACUAUUUCUUAGGGGAAUUUAUAGUUACAAAAUUCAAAAAUUUGAGAUUCUAUUACUGAUUAAUUAAGGGCGUUAUCACUAUUUUUCUUAUUAUCACCAUUAUUUACCCCACAUACUAUAAGUUUUUUUAGGGCACAGGAAAAGAGGUGGGCCGAUGUUUAGUUAUGUACAAAAGUUCAAAAUUUGUAGAUAACUUAUCAUGUGCCCUUAGAGCGUAGAAUACAGAAAAAAUAUCUUAAACUAUAACUAAUCCUAAUAUUUUUCUCUAUGAUAAACUAGCUCUUAUCCAUUUCUUUAGAUGAUGAAAGGAAAUAGUUAGUCACCUGUCCUCUAGUGAUUACAACAGCAUCAAAACAAAUUAGCACUCUUUUCCCGUAGUUUAAAAAUCCCUCAGCCACUAAGAUUUUGCAUGUCGAACGAAUUAAGGAACAUAGAAGGUUCGUGCUGCACCACAGUGUCCUUGUUGACGAUGCAAAGACAGAAAUGCAUCCGCGUAUACUUCCUUAAGCAUUUUGAUUACUUUAUGAUUCGAACUUUUCUUGUCUGACAGCUGGACUUAAUUGAAAAACACAAGUAACAAUAUUUCAAAGUUGAUUCGUCAAAGUUUACCCAAUUGGUGAAACUUUCUUCAUAGAGCUGACUUUGUAUUAGGUGACAAUGAUAUGGAAUUGAUGUCCUUCCCUUUUUCCUUUUUUUGUGUUGAAGACGCACAACGUUUUCAAUGGCAAAUUUAUAUGGGCUUUUCACGACAAAAUGUGUUCUGAAAAGUUCAUUCCAGAGGUUAAAAUUUUGUGUGUUAAAAAUUUGCUUCUCAGGACUUUGAUGGGAAAGUCUUGGUGUUUCCAAAAAGUUUAAGCAGGAUGCUUCUGGCUUUCUCUCCAUGUAUUUGUGAGUUAGAUCUAAAAUUAUCAGGGCUCCAGAGAUCUCUUGAAAUCGCAGCAUAUAUUGAAGUCUUUCCAGAAGGAGUCUUUUUUUUUUUUUUUAUGAAUUAUGAUAGAUAAUUAAUCUGACGGUGCAUAUAUAUAUAUAUGUGAUUUGCAGUAGGGUGUUUGACGAAAUGGUUAGGCUUCCUAAGUAAUGAUAGGAAUGCCAUUUGCAAAGAAGGACAGGGGGCUGGUGCUGUCAUAUUUUAUGCGAUUUGAUCCGUUGUUGUAUAAGUUUAAACUUUUGACGUGCAAUUGUGCUAUAAUAUUAUACUAAAUAUAUGUGUGAAAUAUUUUGUCUAUAUACAUCACUUUUAUCAUGAAUACAACAGCUGAGUAUAAUAAUAUAGUAUAAUGUAAUUGUACACCAAAUAAUGUAGCAAAUAUAACAAUUGAUCCGAAUUACACGGAACCAUAACAACAAGAUCACCGCCUCCCAAAUUUUACAAAAUUAGGUUUUUUUUUUUUCUCUUAGAUUAUUGAAAAUUUUCAAAAAUAAUCUACAUAAUUUAAGCUUUUGUCCUACAAAAAUUUGAAGAGAUUUUACAUUACAAGCUUAAGCUUAGAUAUAUUAAACUUUGCCCCCAAGAUUAAUUUUCCGUUUUUAUCUAUGAACCGAUCCAUAUAGCUAGUUAGACUGUAGUCCUCACAUUUGUGGGAUUUAACACCCAAGAUUCUCCUUCUUGGAAUGUAAAAUGUAGAUCUUCUAUGUUAAUAAUUCAAGACCCUACUGUCAUAAACGAAAUGACUGAUCAACUCCUGUAAACCUAAUUUGACAACAUUUAAAUGGAGAACUUUAGCUAAAAGAAUUAUGGUCAAGCUAAAGAAAAAGCCAGUUAUUUUCCAACAUAUGCAAUCAUUGAUCAGGAAAAAAAAAAAAAAGCAAAAAGACAUCUUCAAUCAUUUAAUAGCUCACAGUGCAAAUUAACCCCUAAGCGAAAACUGGUUGCUCUAGAAUCAAAAUUUUACCUUAGUUACCCAGGCAACUUUUUUGUUGCUUUUUUUUUUUUCUUUUCCUUUUUGGGUAUAUAUAUAGCUCCAGUUUUGCCCCCUCUGUCAAGCUUAUAUAAUUAUUAAGAUAAUAAAAGUGCCUUGAAUAGUAUUAAUAUAUCCAUUGACUUGAGCUGUCAUCGAUCGGUUUGGGCUACUUCGAUUCCAUGAGAACAAAUGGUAAUAAAAGUACUCAGAAAAUAGGGAGCCAUGAAACCCUUUUGUUCUAUUCAUUGCUAAGAUGCUUUUCUCUAUAAAGAGACUUCCUAACGAAAGUACUUUGUAGAUUUCUUUACUCCAAGUGGUGCAUGGAAAAUUAAAAUAUUCAAUUAUCAAAUAAAAUUCCCUUUUUUCGGUGUAGAUUUCAUCCAUCCAGCUGUUAACACAUUUUAUGUAUCCGAAUUAUAUAUUCUCUACCAAAUAUUGUAACUUUUCUGAGCAUCUUUACAUUUUUAUUCCCACCUAACAAAUUAGUUGUUGAGCAUCUUUACAUGCUAUCGGAUCACAAGUUAAUAAUCUUUUAAAGAACAUGUUAAAUUAAUUUAUUGGUAUGAAUAGUCAAAGAAGUAUAUUAAAGUUAGUAAUCUUUAAACACCACGAUGCAAUUAAUACUUUCAAGCUCAAGGUCUUUUUUUUUUUUUUUUUUGGUACUGUACUUCCUUGCUUUAUAGUAUGCACGUUUAUUUCUGUGGAUUGCUUAAGCUUAUAUUGUUAAUAAUUGGGCAUUUAACCAUAAAUUAUAAUGAUUAUGAAGUCAUAUAUAUAUAUAUAUAUAUAAGAAAAUUACCACAAUUAUUCAAUUUUUUUUGCAAAUUCAAAUUUUAUUAAUAAGAAAUAGGCAGUAAGCUUUUACAAACGGAAAAAAAAAAUCCUACAACAACUCUAGGACCUUUGAAAGAAAGAAAAAAAAAAGAAAAGAAAAGCUUAAGGACUCUACCUCAUAGAAGCUAAACAAUCCUACAAAUAAACUGCAAAAUAAAUCACAAUAACGCAAAAUUUUUGUCUUUCUUCCGUAUGAAAUGAAACUACGAAGUCAAGAAUUGACUCCUUUAACCGCUAUUGCCAGCGGGCUCCGUCAGCAAGAUACAACUUUGCAAUUUGAUUCAAUAGAAAUCCUCAAAUAGCUAUUUUGACAGGCAAAUUAAGCAUUAAUUUUGGUAUCCCUUCAUAAAAUACAAGAGUACUUUUGAUUAUAUCUAUAGAUCAACUUUCUAGGCUAUUUUGAUGUAUUAUAAGAAAAUCUGCCUCAACAAUUUUGAUAGCAUUUUUCCAAAAGCAGAAGAUGGAAAAUUGCCCAUUUGUACUGGGGAGUUCGUGAUCUUUUCCUCCUUCUAGUCUACUUACAAUUCUUGGAAAAAGGAAUACUCACAUCUCAAACAACUGCCUGUUCAUCUGCAAUGUCCUGCCGAAUUCUAGAAAGUUAGGUGGCAAUGCUAAUUACAUUUCAAAAUUGACUGCUGCGAUGACUAAUUCGAUGGCUUACUACAUGGUCAACGUUUGGAUCCCUUCCUGUCCUUUUUGGAUGCACAUUUUUUUUCUCUAGGCAAUAUAUAAUCUCCCAACUCAUUUCUUUACAAAUGCACCUUUAAUCACCACCAAAAGGUGUGGACAUGAUCUUUACCCUAGAAAACUAAUCACCGACAGGCAAAUUGACGUCAGAAAUACUAAGAGGAAUUCUAGUUUCCUUCGGGUUAAUGCCAUUUUGUACCCUUCAACUGUAACUCGAUUUCUAAACUAUAAUUUGUGACAUUAUAGUCCUUAAACUAUGAAACCCCUCUUACUUAAGUACAAUGGUUAAUACAAUACCCGUGACUAGACAAGCAACCAUAACAAAAAAAAAUCCAAAAUUAGAGAAAAGAAAGAAGUUUCGCGACCAAAGUAUGUAUCAAGGCAUAGUAUAGAAAUAAAAGUGUCCAAAUUAAGAGUUUAGGGAUAAAAGAGAUCAAGAUAUAGUUUAGGGAUUGAUUUGUCUCAAUUAGAGUUUUGAUGUCAACUAAGAAGAGAGAUAUAGUUGAAGGGUAGAAUAUAGAUAUAACAGUUCAAUGAUUGAUAUCAACGAGACAAUGACAACUUUGGAUUAUUACCAACCUCUUCUUGAUGGGAAAAGGAAAUAGAGAAGAAAGUCGGGCCUGGUCUAAGCCUGCUUCGGAGGCAAAACAACAUUAUGAAAUCACCGGCAUUCACACAAAUAUGUCAAAGUCACCGGCAUGCUAAGUUGCAUAAUUUAUACAAACACUGAAUAAUAUAUUGUUCUUAAAAUUUUUGUUUAAGAUUUAACAAUUAGAGCACGGUACACGAAUUAGCAAUAUUAAAUAAUGAAUGUUCACGAUUGAUAAAGUUAUCAAAGUACAGUUUGAGGACAACCCAUUCCAACGUGUACAAGAUGUUUAGCCUUUGAAAAGUUAAUUAGAGAAGGUGACGAGAUUUUACUAGGCUUAAAUCUUCUAGGCCUCGGAAGUAAAAAAUGAAGGCCUUUGAGUGCUAUAAAAAGGGGGCUAGAUGUUGCCUAGAAGCAUAUCAGCCUCAGACCACAUUUUGUAGCAAUGGGGAGCAAAGCAAAAGCAAUGGGGUCUAGGCUGACUCCUCUUCUUACCACCGUUUUAGUGGUAUUUGUUGCUCUUGGCUUGCCUUCAGAAACUGUGGCUGAUUACUACAAGUAUUCAUCUCCUCCUCCUCCUUACCAUUAUUCCUCACCACCACCUCCUGUGCAUUCACCUCCACCACCGCCAAUUUAUAAGUCACCCCCACCACCUUACCACUACUCCUCACCGCCACCUCCAGUGUAUUCAUCUCCACCACCACCUUCGCCAGUUUACAAGUCUCCGCCACCACCUUACCAUUAUUCGUCACCACCGCCUCCGGUGCAUUCACCUCCACCACCACCUGUUUACAAGUCACCUCCACCACCUUCGCCAGUUUACAAGUCUCCGCCACCACCUUACUAUUAUUCGUCACCACCGCCUCCGGUGCAUUCACCUCCACCACCACCGAUUUACGAGUCACCUCCACCACCUCCUCCAGUUUACAAGUCUCCGCCACCACCUUACCAUUAUUCCUCACCACCACCUCCAACGCAUUCACUCCCACCACCAGUUUACAAAUCACCGCCACCACCUCCUCCUAUGUAUAAGUCCCCUCCACCACCUUAUCAUUAUUCCUCACCACCACCUCCAGUGCAUUCACCCCCACUGCCACCAAUUUACAAGUCUCCGCCACCUCCAAUCUACAAGUAUAAGUCACCACCACCUCCUCCCCCAAUUUACAAGUCACCACCACCACCUCCUCCAGUAUAUAAGUCCCUACCCCCACCAGUGUAUAAGUACAAGUCUCCACCACCACCUCCUCCAGUAUACAAAUCACCUCCACCACCUCCUCCAGUUUACAAAUCUCUACCACCACCAAUUUAUAAAUACAAGUCUCCUCCACCACCUCCUCCGGUUUACAAUUCCCCACCACCACCAAUCUACAAGUCUCCACCUCCACCCUCCCAUUACUACUACAAUUCUCCUCCUCCUCCUCCUCAUCACUACUAAGCAAUUGUAUCCAAGUUUUUGAGGUAAUAAUGCUAAACCAAUAUAUUAACUUUCGCAUGAUAAACUUUAUCUCUAUCAAGACAAACUGCCAUGUGCAUCAAGCCAAAUACGUACACUUCGAUCCAUGAAAAUGACAAGUAGAAGGUUUUCUUAAGAACCAAGGAACAGCAUUAGUAUUCCCUCUGUUUCCAAAACUUGUGUAUUAAAUAGAUUAAUGAAUUGUUUAACAUGCUUAUCUACUUGAAAAUGCACAAUACCCAUAACCCACUGAAAUUUUUGCAGGUAAAGGGGAAGAGAAUCUGUGUUUGAGAGCUUCAUGAAGAUGUUGAAGAAUAAGAAUAAAAGCCCAAUGCGAGGAUGUUUUCAAGUUUUUCUAUGUUUCCACUUUAAUUUGUAAAUUGAAUUUUUCGACUUAAUUAAUUCCCUGUUUGUGGGGUACGUAUUGUUUUACGUACCAUGCCGUACAUGUUUGUAAGGAUUUCUAUCCUAUUGGCAAAAGUCGGUUCCAUACAAUUAAUCAAUUCAUUUCACUUCUAUUGGCUCUACUAUUUAUGCACGUUACGACAUUUUUUCUCUCUUUCCCUUAUAUUUUGUCUUUAAUAUUAUUGAGUCAAUAGUAAUACUGGGCCAUUUUUUUUAAAACUUAUACUAGUAUACAUAGGUAGUUUGGUCUAACGCCAAAUUCAUGUUUGUCUUUCUUUUAUUCCCUUUACAUUUCAAAGUAUACUAUAGUUUGUGAUCAUUGUGGUGAUGAUAUUACCAGCUGGUACUUAUAGUUUAAGGCAGAGACAUGAUAUUAACAACUAUCUCAUUGAAACAUAAGGAAAAAUCAUGACAAGUGUGAGUCUUGGUUAAUGCACAAUUUGUUAGUGGAAUUUAUAUUUAUAAAACUCAAAAAAAAAAUUUUGACAAUGCUAUUACUAAUUAAUUAAGGACUUUAUUGCUAUAAUUUAUCGCUUGCUAGUUUAAACUAUAAAUGAUCUCAAUACUUUUCUCCAUGAUGUCGAUUUCUUUAGAUACGAAAGGGAAAAAUUAGUGACAUAUCCCUUACUGAUUACAACAUCAGCAAAAAUUAGUUAUAAACUUUUCCGGUGGUUUUAAAUCCCCGGGCCCUAAGAUUUUUUGCUCAUCGAGUGAAUUAAGGAACAUAGGCAAUUCAUUUUGCAUACCAAGUCCUUGUUUAAGAUGCAAGUACUAAAAUGCAUCCACUUCAUUAAUUUGGGAAAUUGCCAUAGUUUUUUUAAGCAUUUUGAUUUUUUACAUGAUUUAAAAUUUUCUUAUUGGAUACAAUCACUUUGUAUCAAGAACACAUUUUCAAUCACCUUUUUUUAUCUUCUCAAUGAGAAAAUAAAAAUUUAUUCAUGCUUUUCUAACAUAUUCAAUCAUUGAUCUGAAAAUUAAAACAUUAAGAAAAGGACAUUUUCAAACAUUAAGAAGUAGUAUUUUAAAGACCAUGAUGAAAUUAAUACUUUCAAGGUCUCUAUUAGGAAGACUUCCUUUAUUAAUACUCUACUAGGCAGAGUUAUAUGCACGUUUACUGUUUUGGCCUUAAGUUGGGUGCAGAUGCUUAUAUUACAAAUAGAUGGUAUCAAAAAAUUGUUGUAUUCACGUCUGUUCUUUUUUUCUUCCUUAAGUUUUUUUCUUUAUUCUCGUGACUUCGCUAGUGAGGUAUAACUUCACAACUAGAGUCAAUAGAAAUCGUCAAAUGAUUUUUUGACAUCCAAAUUAAGCAAUAAAUUUUGUUUUCAUUUCAUAACAUAUAAUAGUACUACUUCAUGGGAGAUUUUAUAGUUUCUUUAGGGUAUCAUACCUACAAUUGAUAUUUAUCAUUGGAUAGUGAAAGAAGUGUUAAUGUCUCUAAGAUUAAAUAUUGUUAAAUAUUGAAAAUUUGAACUAUUUAUCUCUAUUGAGAGAUACAACUUAAAGAAUCCUACCCAAAAGAGACUAGAAUUUUCUCUGUUUUUCAUCAUCUGUAGACAUAAACUUUCCACGGUUGAUAGCAUUUUUCAUCAUCUAUAAGGAAAUUUUGCCUAUACAAUGUGAUAGCAUUUUUCAAAAAGACAAGAUGGAAAAUUGCCCCCCUUGAACGGAAAAUUGCCCCCUUGUCAAUUCUUUAAAAAAGAAUACCGUCCCGCAGAAUUCUAGAAAGUUAGGCAAAACUAGACAAGUUGACAGGUAUAAUCAGACCCAAGAUCAGGAACAAGCAGUUGCACAUUUCAAAAUUCGCUGCUGCAACAACUAAUUUGAUGACUUACAACACUAAAUGGUCAAACUUUGAAUGGCAAUGAAUCUUUUGUUGUACAUCAUGAUGUAAUUUUCAUGUUACAUAAUAGAUUGAUAUCUAUGUUCUUUAAAUUAUCAUAAUAAUUAAAUUUAACUGAAAAAAAGAACACAUAUCAAUACACAAAAGUGUGCAACGUGAAUGUUAUUUUAGUGUAUUGCAGAAGACCUAUAGUCUCUUCAUAUCUCUUCCUGCACGUAUCAAUUCGUUUCCUCUAGAUAAUAAUCUCCCAACUCAUUUAUUUACAAAUGCACCUUUUAUGUUUUAUUACCUCCAAAAGCCUAAAAAUCAAUUCACCGACUCGCAUUUGGUAUCAGAAAUUCUUAUUACGAAUUCUACUUUACUCAAAGAUUGACUGUUAAUAAUGAGACAACGACCAUUUUGUAUUAUUACACCGUCCUUCUUGAUAGGCAAAAGAAAUAGAGAGGAAAGCGGGUCCGUAUAUGGUCUUUUAUUCAUAGAUAAUACAACAUUACGCCAUCGAGCAUUCACACAAUAUUUCAAAGUCAUUGCAUGCCUAAGGCCUGCUUGAUAAUCUAAUUCCGUACUUAAAUUUAAUAAAUUCAAAUCUUAACACAUUCAAAUCGUUUGAUAACAAAAAAUUGAACAUCUAAAUUAAUUAAGUAACACUGAAUUUUCUAGGCAAAACUUGCUCCCAAAAUUAAGUGAUAAGUUAUUCACUUAUCACUGAAUAUGAUAUGUAUUCAAAUGUAUUAGAUUUAAUACUUAAUAAUUUAAUGAAUUCAAAUUUCAUAUUUCAUAUUUCAGUUUUAUCAAACACACCUUAAGUUGCAAAAUAAUACCAAAACUUGUUAUUACAUAGCUUGAGAUUCAAAAAUUUAGAGCAUAAUUCUCAACCAAACACAAUUGAAUAAUGAAUAUUCACGAGUGUCAAAUCUAUCAAAGUACAAUUUGAGGACAACCCAUUCAAACGCGUACACGAUUUUUAACUUUUCUAAAGUUGUUGAGAGCUGUUGAAAGAGAUUUACCAUGUUUACAUCUUCCAAGUCUUGGGAGUAAAAAAUGAAGCCACUGAGUGCUAUAAAAAGGGGGGUAGAGGCCACUUGAGAUCCUCGGUGACAUGUUUUCUAUGCCAAUCCAAUGCCACCAAUAGUGUUGCGCCAAGUGUCAUGUUAUUAUUUACACUUGUGUUAAACUAAGCCAAGUUGAAUUAUUAGAAAAUUAAAGUGUAAAUAAUAACAUGACACUUGGCGCAAUACUAUUGGUGACAUUGGGUUGGCAUAGAAAAUAUGUCACCGAGGAUCCCAAGUGGAUAGAUGCUGCCUAGAAGCAUAUCAGCCUAAAACAAGAAUUUGUAGUAACAAUGGGGAGCAAAGCAAAAGCAACGGGGUCUAGGCUGACUCCUCUUCUUACCACUGUUUUAGUGGUAUUUGUUGCCCUUGGCUUGCCCUUGGAAACUGCAGCUGAUUAUUACAAGUAUUCAUCUCCUCCUCCUCCUCCUUACCAGUAUUCCUCACCACCACCUCCAGUGUAUUCACCUCCACCAACCCCUGUUUAUAAGUUACCCCCACCAUCUCCUCUAGUUUACAAGUCCUCACCACCACCUUACCACUACUCACCACCUCCUGUGUAUUCACCUCCACCAUCACCAAUUUACAAGUCACUGCCACCACCCCCUCCAGUAUACAACUCCCCGCCUCCACCAGUGUACAAAUACAAGUCCCCACCACCACCUUCUCCAAUUUACAAAUCUCCACCGCCACCAGUUUACAAGUACAAGUCACCCCCACCACCUCCUCCGGUAUACAAGUCUCCUCCGCCACCUGUUUACGAGUACAAGUCUCCUCCACCACCUCCUCCAGUGUACAAGUCCCCACCACCUCCAGUUUACAAGUACAAGUCACCACCACCUCCUCCCCCGGUUUACCAAUCUCCUCCACCACCAGUUUACAAAUACAAGUCACCACCACCUCCUCCCCCAGUUUACCAGUCUCCACCUCCACCCUAUCAUCACUACUACGGUUCUCCUCCUCCUCACCACUACUAAGCAAGUGCAUCUAAGUUUUGAGGUAAUAAUACCGAUCCAAAACUUUAUCAACGCAAACUGCCAUGUAUAUCAUGCUAAGGACGUACACUUGAUCCAUGAAAAUGGCUAGUAGAAGAUUUUUUUUAAGAACCAGAGAAAUACAUUAUUUUUUCGCUCUGUUUUCAAGAAUUUGAGCAGUAUACAGAUUAAAGAGUGUUUUUUUUAAACUUGCUUAUCAACUUAGAAAUGCACAUAGCUGAAAGCCAACUGAAUAUUUGCAGGCAAAGGAGAAGGCAAUCGGUGUUUGAGACCUUCAUGAAGAUGUAGAAGAAUAAGAAUAAAAGCCCAAUGCGAGGAUGAUUUCAAGUUUCUACGUUACCAUUUCUACAUCUAAAUUGACUUUAGCUCCUGAGUUCCAUGUCUAUGGGGUUUGUACUGUUUUACGUACCAUGCAGUACAUGCUUGUAAGGUUUUCUGUCCUGUUGGCAAGCCGCAGGUCCAUAUAAUAAAUGAAUACUAUUUAUAUUACGACACUUUUCUCUCUUUCUCUUAUAUUUUGUCUUUAAUAUUGUUGAUCAUUUUUUUUUUUUAUCAAAAGUAUCAAAUGCUUAGGCAAUUUGGUCUAAUGCUAAUUGUUUUACAUUUAUUUUUCACCUACAUCCCUUUUCAACUCAAAGGAUGCUACAGUUUGUGAUCAUUGUUUAAGACCGAAGCAUGGUACUAAUAAAUAUCUCAUUGAAAGUCAAGGAAACUAACAUUAUGAAAAGUGUAAAUCUUGAUUUGUGAAACUAUUUAUUCGUGGAAUUUAGAGAUACAAAACUCAAAUUGUGACGGUGUUGUUGCUAAAUUAUUUUUUUUUUAUAAUAAAACACAGUUCAUUCAAGGAUUACUGGAAAUCGUCCAGCACAAUUGAGAUACAUUGUUGCCCAGGUGGCAGAUAAAUAUGCACUAAAAUUAUAGAUAUGCAAUUUAACAAAUACAUAAGAUUUGAGAAAUUAAGGACAAAUCUAAAAAGGACCAUAAAUUUGAAAAACAUUUCAUCCUAGAAUAAGUCGCUGCAACUCUCUUUGUGCAUGCUGUAAUCGUCAGAUCUACUAAUCAACAGUUGUAAGGUCCAGUAAAGAUGGUGAGAUCUGCCGAGAUUGAUCCAAAUCUGAAAUAUUCCCUCAGAUCUGCUAUCCAAUUGGUUCAAACUCAAUACUGAAAGUGAAAUCUGAUGAGAAGACUGAAAAAAUUGUAGAUCUAACAUAUAGAUCUAAAAAAACUCCAAGAUUUGAAAAAGUAAAGAAACAAAACUAAAUAAAACUCUCAUUAAGAUAGUUUAGGAGAGACUAAAACUCUCAAUAGGACACCCUAGGAGAGAAGAAAACUCUCACUAGGAUAACCUAUGAGAGACUUUAUUGAAUGAAAGGAAAAGCAAAGGACAAAGGAAGAAGAAGGGAGACCUUGGCUUAAGGCCAAGGUCUCCCUCCUAUGGAGGAGGAAGGGUAGAGGAGGAAGCCUAGAGAGAAGGAAGAGAAUCCCUCCGCUAGAGGGAAGGAAGAGCCUCUGAGAGGGUACCCGUGUUGUUGCUAAAUUAUUAAGGACAUUAUCACCAUUACUUUUCCCUUACUAGUUUCAACUGCAAUGAUCUCAAUCUUUUUGUGACUAAUUCUUUUCUUAAUAAUUUAUAAAUACAAAACUCACAAAGAAUAUGUGACUUAUUCUUUCCUUUCGUCUUCUAAAGAAAAUGCCAACUGUUAGUUUAUCAAGGGAAAAAGGAUCGACAUCAGUUGUUAUUGAAACUAGUAAGGAAUAAAUAAUGGUGAUAAUGUCCUUAAUAAUUUAACAACAGCACCAUCAGAAUUUGAGCUUUGUAUCUAUAAAUUCCACGAAUAAAUAGUUUCAUCAAAUCAAGAUUUACACUUUUCAUAAUGUUAAGUUUCCUUGACUUUCAAUGAGAUAUUUAUUAGUAUCAUGCUUCGGUCGUAAACAACGAUCACAAACGAUAGCAUCCUUUGAGUUGAAAAGGGUAGUGAAAAAGAGAAGUAAAAAAUACAAUUAGCAUUCCCUCAAAUUGUAGAAAGUUAGGUAGCAUUAUAGACAAGUUGAUAGCCGUAAUUAUACUAAAAAUCAGGCAAAAGCCAGCAAUUUUACAUUUCAAAAUUCACCUAUUCAAUAACUAAUUCGAUGGCUUGCUACAUGGUCAAAAUUCACCACAUAUCCCUUUCCUCAAUCAGGGGCUUCUACAAUUACCAGUUCCAAUUGUAUGGUAUAGUGUAAAUAUCAACAAAUUAGAUGUAGACACUAAUAUAAUAAAUAUGGAUGCUAAGGCAACAACAUACAAAAACAUAAUAAAUUUUGGCAUUCCUUAAAAAAUUACGUCCCCAAAUCAAUCUCAUACACCCAAUUUCUAAUUUAUUUAACUCAUUCCGUCUAUUAACUGCACCAUACAAUCCAACCUGCAAUUGCAUGAACCCCAAUCUCGCUUCCUAGUCCACCAUUUUUCUCUAGGUAAUAAUCUCCCUUCUAAUUUCUUCACAAAAUGCACCUUUCAUCACCUCCAAUAGCGUCGACAUGAUCUUUACCCUAGAAGACUAUUCACCGACUCCCAAUUGACGUCAGAAAAUCUAAGAGUAAUUCUACUUUACCCUAAGAUUGAUAUCAACUAGACAAUGACAAUUUAGAAUUAUUACACGCCUCUUCUUAAUAGGAAAAAGAAAUAGAGAAGAAAGUCAGGCCAGGUCUAAUUUCUUUUCGAAGGCAAUACAACAUUACGAAAUCAAGCAUUCAUUCAUACAAAUAUUUCAUAGUCACCGGUUUGCUGAGUAGAAAAGUUUAUACAAAAACUUAAUAUUAUAUUGUUUAAGAGUUAACAAUUUAGAGCUUAAUCUCCUUGUACUUUGGACUAAACUCGAACGUGAAAGGAAAUCCCAAAACCAUAUUGGGCAUGAAUUCACACUUAAAUAGACCCAAAAAAAGAUGGCGACUGGUGAAAGGCAGUGGAGACUGGUGGUGAGAUUUGAGGAAUAGAAGCAGACGGAAAAGCCACAAAUUUUUGCCGAAAGAGGGUCACUUUCAUGGUUAAUUUUGCUACUCUCUACUUGUACUUGACCAAUGACAGGUUGUCAGUCUGUGCAAUAAUAAAAACCUGUUCAAACUAAAAGUAAUUUCUGUAGAUAGUGGUAAGCAGGGUCGAAUCCACAGGGAUUAGGUGUAACUGUUUCUUUUCAAAUUCACAAUAACAAAGGGGGUGUUUUUAUGCAGAAUGUGACAAUCAAAGAAAUUCAAUUAAAAGUAAAAUAAUAAAAAUAAAAUAGCCAACUAGAAAUUAAAUAACAAUUUACUAAAAUCAAAUGAGUGAUAAUUAAGGAUCUAGCCAAGGAAUAACUUCAGCAGUGGUUCACCUAAUUGAUCAUUGGAACAAAGGCAAUUCCAAUUAUUUACUAAUAAAUAGGUUAUAACUGCCAAACAAGCGAUGACAGUCAAUCACUCCUUACUGUGUCGGUGAUUAAGGUACGCCCGUUAAUCACUGCCCUAAUUGAGAAAUAAUCUUAGGUACGCCCGUAAGAUUUAAUUUUCCAAUUGCCUUACAUAUUAGAGGAGUGUCAGGAACAAGGAAAUAGAAUGGGACGUCGUUUAAUGCAAAGGGUUGUGCGUUUAAGGCCUUAGAAGCAAUACUACGUCGUUCUAAUAACAUAGGCGGUGCUGGUGUGAUAGGCCAAGUUAGUUGAGGGUCAAUUACAUAAAUAGCCUUCUGUAACAGAUUUUUGGUUAUGUUUUUGAAUGAAAAGUAUCUCGCUGCUUUCUCUCUCUUGUCUGUUAUUUCCCUCCCUUUUCUUCUUUCUCUCUUCCCUCUUCUUAAUCUUGUUUCUUUCUUCUGAUUCUUCCCCCAAAUUCAAUACAAUUCCAGAAAUUAACCUGCAAGUCUGACAUUUGGUAUCAGAGCGGUCGAUUCUUGGCCGCGAAGGUAUCAGAAAUGGCUGAGAGCACGCGAUUCAGGACACUGGAGGAGCAACUCAAGAAGCAGGAGAAUCGGUUGCAAGAACUGGCGGAAUCCAUGGCUGCACUGCAGAGUACGAGUUCCGAGGAGUUGCGGCAUAAGCUACAGGCGGAAAUGGAGCAGAACAAUGCAAAAUUGGACGCGGUGGUGGGAAGUCUGGACCAGAAGUUCAAUAAAAUGGAACAGAGACUCAGUACAGUGUUGAAGCUGCUGAUGAAGGAGAAAGGUCUCCCUGAUGUCGAAGGAGGAAUUUCUGAUCCAAUCUUGCCGACUCCUCCAUCUCAUCUGAGGUUAGCAUCCUCAGUCGAAGGGAUUGGGCACCAACAAGAGUACAGAGGUAGGCAAUUCACUCCUAAUGUACCUCGAUUAGAACUGCCAAUGUUUAACUCUGGAAACCCUAGGGAAUGGACCAGGAAAUGCCAGAAAUAUUUUUUGAACUAUCAGAUAGCAGAGAGUCAAAAGGUAGAGGUAGCAGAGAUGUUUUUGGAAGGUAGAGCUGACAAUUGGUUUCAAGGAGUGAAAUUGGUGAGGCCAGGGUUGUCUUGGGGGGAAUUUAGUGAACUUUUGUGUGAAAGAUUUUCUGGAAGUAGUUCUCGUGACAUUGUGGAGGAAUUUAACAAGUUACAGCAGAAAGGAACUGUUGAGGAAUAUGAGGAGAAAUUUGAAGAACUAAAAGCUCUAAUGCUGAUGAAAACCCCCAGGUUGGAUGAACUUUACUUUGUUUCCAGUUUUAUUAGUGGCCUCAGGGAAGAAAUUAGACCUAUGGUGAAGAUGUUUAAGCCUCAAACACUGAUGAAGGCCUUUGAAGUUGCGGAGUUGCAGGAGUGUUCCCUGGAAAUCCAAUCGAAACAAAACAGAACUUCAAGGAGGACAGCAAUGGAACCCAAGUUUGGAAUGUAUAAGGGCACUACGAGUGAUUAGGGUCGCCAAAAUUCAUAUAAGUUGCCUGGAGUCACUCCUGUCUCCAGGAGGACUAAUGCAGUACACAAGGAAUUUAGUAAGAUAUCAGCGGAGGAAAUGCAGUAUAAGCGUAAGCACAGCCUGUGCUAUAGGUGUGGAGAGAAGUUUGGAAUAGGUCAUCAGUGUAAGAAAGGAAGUCUGAACUGUGUGAGCACUGAGGAAGAGGAGGACACUGAAUUUGAGGAUGCGGAAGGGGAACAGGAUGAGUUAACAGGAAGGGUCGGGGAACUUGCAGAAGUCUCUUUGAAUGCUUUAUCUGGUGCCAUAAGGAGGAAAUCCAUCCUGUUGAUAGGGAACUUAGGGGGGCUUCCAGUCAAAAUUUUGGUGGACACAGGCAGUUCUAACAGCUUCAUUCACCACAGGAUUGUCAACCUACUGCAUCUACCAUAUCAGGCAGUCAGUCCAUUUACUGUGACUCUAGCAGAUGGAACUGACAUUACCAGUGGAGCCAUCAGUCCCAGCGUGUCUUGGUUAAUUCAGGACUAUCAAUUCCAAUUUGACUUAAAAGUAAUGGAAUUAGGGGGAUGGGAUAUAAUUCUGGGGGUGGACUGGAUGUGCCAGUAUAGUCCCAUUACAUUUGAUUUCCACUCUCUUAGCAUUGCCCUUAGUGAUAGGGGUUCUUUACUACACCUCCAAGGACUUGUGAAGCAACCUACUAUGGAACUGGUGAGGGGCAGGGAUCUCAGCUCGUUUAUACAGGAGAAGCAAAGAAACUGUGCAGCCAUGCAUGCUGAUAGGGCCAGGGAAACAGGAGAGCAGCUUCCAAAAGCUAUAGAAAGGAUCCUGGAACAGCACUCUCAGGUUUUCUCCACCCCAACAGGAUUACCCCCAGAGAGGGAAUUGGACCAUCAGAUCAACCUCAAACCAGGAGCUGAACCCUUCAAGCUCAAACCUUACAGGUACCCCCACUCACAUAAAGCAGAAAUUGAAAAAAAAGUUGCUGAGAUGCUCACUAAUGGAAUUGUUAUACAUAGCACAAGCCCCUAUGCCUCCCCUGUAUUGUUAGUAAAGAAAAAGGAUAACUCCUGGAGAUUAUGCAUAGAUUACAGGAAGCUGAACGAGCUGACUAUAAAGGAUAAGUUCCCUAUUCCCAACAUAGAUGAACUAUUGGAUGAAUUACAUGGAACCAGAUACAUGUCCAAACUGGAUCUCAGAGCUGGUUACCAUCAGUUGAGGGUGAAAGCUGUUGAUACCCCUAAGACUGCCUUCCAGACACACCAUGGCCACUUUGAAUUCUUAGUGAUGCCUUUUGGACUCACAAACGCGCCAGCUACAUUUCAGUCCUUGAUGAACAGAAUAUUUCAGCCAUAUCUCAGAAAGUUUGUCCUAGUCUUCUUUGACUACAUAUUAGUGUACAGCCCCACACUAGAGAUGCAUGCACAGCAUCUACAGAUUGUGCUCAAUAUUUUAGAAGAAAAUCAGCUGUAUUACAAGAGGUCAAAGUGCUCUUUUGCCCAGUCCUCAAUUGAAUACUUGGGGCACGUGAUCUCAGAGGCAGGAGUGAGUAUGGAUGUGGCUAAGGUGGAGUGUAUCAAGUCCUGGUCUGUUCCUAGUACAGUCAAGGAGCUGAGAGGGUUUUUGGGAUUAAUUGGUUACUACAGGAGAUUCAUUAAAGGCUAUGGAGUGAUUAGCAAACCCUUGACUGUAUUGUUGAAAAAGGAAGGUUUUGCAUGGAACCAUGAAGCUCAAAUGGCCUUUGAAGAUUUGAAAAAGGUUAUGACCACAGCCCCAGUGCUGAGCAUGCCUAAUUUCGAACUUCCUUUUGUCAUAGAGACUGAUGCCUGUGGAAUAGGUAUUGGAGCAGUGUUGAUGCAGCAAGGACAUCCUAUUGCUUUCCUUAGCAAGGCAUUAUCAGUUCAGAAUUUGGGGUUAUCAGUCUAUGAAAAAGAGCUUUUUGCCUUAGUGCUAGCUGUAACUAAGUGGAGGCAUUACCUGGUGGGUCAUCACUUCAUUAUCAGGACAGAUCACCAAGCUCUCAAACAUUUGAUAGAGCAAAGGCUUACUCAUCCACUCCAGCACAAGUGGCUAACUAAGCUACUUGGUUUGGACUAUGAAAUACAGUAUAAAAAGGGUGCAGACAAUGGGGUGGCAGACGCCCUCUCCAGGAGAAGGAUUGAGGGAAACACUGUUGACUGUGGAGAGACUGGGCAUCAGACCUGCGCCAUAACCUCAGCUCAGCCUAGUUGGAUGCAGGAAAUGCUAGAAAGCUACAUUGGAGAUGCAGAGGCUCAACAGAAGUUAUCUGAGCUAUUGCUGGAUCCCAAUGCAGAUCCAGAUUAUCAGUUAAAGAAUGGGAUGCUCAAGUUUAAAGGGCGGCUGUACAUAGGAUCUGCUAACAACAUUAGGACCAAGGUGGUCAGAGCAUUGCAUGACUCAGCCCUUGGGGGGCACUCAGGUCCUGGAAUCCGUAAGGAUGUCCUUCAAUAUGUGAGAUCUUGUGAUGUGUGUCAAAGGAACAAACAUGAAAAUGUUCCUUAUCCUGGGUUGCUGCAACCAAUUCCUGUACCUCAGCAGGCUUGGUCACACCUCACCAUGGAUUUUAUUGAGCAACUACCCCCAUCCCAUGGAUUUGAUACCAUUUUGGUGGUGGUGGAUAGGUUAACCAAGUUCAGCCACUUCAUUCGACUCACUCACCCUUUUUCUGCACAGCAGGUAGCACAGCUUUUCCUUGACAACAUAUACAAGCUGCAUGGACUUCCUGAGACCAUUAUAACUGACAGGGACAUAAUCUUUCUUAGUAAGUUUUGGCAAGAGUUAUUUGGUAUGGUAGGGGUAAAGCUGCACUACAGUUCAUCGUAUCACCCUCAAUCAGAUGGUCAAAGUGAAAGGGUCAAUCAGUGUUUGGAAAACUAUCUCAGGUGUAUGUGCAGUGAGCAUCCUUCUCACUGGAGCAGUUGGCUUCCUACAGCUGAGUUAUGGUACAACACUAACUUCCAUACUAGCUUGCAGGUGACACCAUUCGAAGCACUAUACGGGUAUAAACCAAAUCACCUUCCCUUAGGACCUUUUCAUGAUAGCCUGGUACCUGCUGCUGGUAACAUGGUGCAGACUAGGCUCCAAAUUCUAUCCCUCAUCAAAGAGAAUCUAGCCACCGCCCAGAAUCGAAUGAAAAUGUUUACUGAUAAGCACAGGACUGAACGUGUCUUCCAAGUGGGGGAUUGGGUAUUUCUCAAGCUGCAACCUUACAGGCAACAAUCAGUGGCCUUACGGAAGAAUUUGAAGUUGGCUGCCAAAUACUUUGGACCUUUCCAGAUCCUUGCGAGAGUAGGGGAAGUCGCCUACAGACUUAAGUUGCCAGAGGGAGCUCGAGUUCAUUCCGUGUUCCAUGUGUCCUUACUUAAAAGGAAAGUGGGAGUUACACAGCAGGUAAAGCCCAGCUUGCCAGAAGUAGACGCAUCAGACCAAUGUUUGCUGAAGCCAGAGAAGAUUCUCCAGAGGCGUGUUAUCAUACGAGCUGCCAAACCAAUCAUCCAGUACCUGGUGAAGUGGAACAACUUACCAGAAUCCGAAGCAUCAUGGGAGGAUAAAAGCUUCAUUGACAGACAAUUUCCGGAAUUUCAAGCUUGAGGACAAGCUUUGCUUAAGGGGAAGAGAUUGUCAGGAACAAGGAAAUAGAAUGGGACGUCGUUUAAUGCAAAGGGUUGUGCGUUUAAGGCCUUAGAAGCAAUACUACGUCAUUCUAAUAACAUAGGCGGUGCUGGUGUGAUAGGCCAAGUUAGUUGAGGGUCAAUUACAUAAAUAGCCUUCUGUAACAGAUUUUUGGUUAUGUUUUUGAAUGAAAAGUAUCUCGCUGCUUUCUCUCUCUUGUCUGUUAUUUCCCUCCCUUUUCUUCUUUCUCUCUUCCCUCUUCUUAAUCUUGUUUCUUUCUUCUGAUUCUUCCCCCAAAUUCAAUACAAUUCCAGAAAUUAACCUGCAGAUCUGACAAGGAGCCCUAUUCUAACCAAAUAACACACUACCAGGGUUAUUUUAGGUUAGCCCGCGUAUUCCCCUGACAUGAAUCCAAUCAUGCCAGUUAUCACUAUUUUGAAACAAUUAAACAAUUACGGAUUUAACGUCCCAAUUGACAAUAGAUUAUCAAAUUAACUAAUUAUCCGGAUCCAAAACAAUCAAUUAAUUAAAUAAUCAUAAGCACUGUAAUCAGGGAAUAUUUGAAUACCAAUAAAUAAAAAGAAAGGACAAAAUUAAAUCGAUUUCACAAUUUUUAAACGAACCACAACCUCAGUUGUUCCUCGGCUAGAUUGAGAAAAUUAGCUCAUGUUCGAUGCGAAAAAUCCACAAGAAAUUGUUAAGAGAGCCGCGGCCAUUGUCCCUUGAAAUUGGGGAAAUUCAAUUCGGUUGAACUACGAAAGAAAAGUAAGCUACAGAGAGUUGCCGAUUGGGUUUUGCUUGUCCCUAACAUGCGAGGGAGCAAAGCCACGAAAGGACGACAAAGGUCAAAAAGAAAGGCUACAGAGCAUGUUCCAGGUCUUUUUGUGCUCUCCACAUCCGAGCCAACGAAAAGAAAUAAAAAACUACCAGGAGCUAAAGGAAAACCGCAAGAAAAGUCAAAGGCUAAAAAAACUUCCUAGUGCUUGUUCUCUGCUUAUCUCUUUAUCUAAUUCUAAGUCCCCGAUUUUUUGCUCCGUGCGGCGGCUCCCCCGGAGAGAAAGGAUUGCAUCCGCUGCCCUCUUCCACCAAUUACCAAAAUGGGCACACCGCUUCUUUUUCAAAAAUGCUCCUGGAUAAACUCUAUCAUCUGGACUUUUUUUCUGUCAAAUUGACAUUUAUUAUUAUAUUUUCGUUCUACUCCCUGAAAUAAAUGUAAAAUAUUAAAAAUGAGUAGAAUCCGACAAUUAAUUCACAUCAGGUCAGAUAAUAAAGAAAAUUAAUAAUAAAAUAAAUAAAUAAAUUGCAACCUAUCAACCAAAUACAACAAUUUCAUGGAGUUUGAUACACAAGCCCAAAUACACGAGAGUGUGUAACCUGAAUUGUUACUUAUACAUUAGUGUGUAAUAGAACGGCAAGCAUUAUGGUGGUCAUUGAGCAACUUGUAGGAGAAAUAGUCCUAUAAGCUGUUCAAUGACCAAUCACAACUUGCUAAUUGGAUGACUAAUAUAGCUCUAGCUGUAAUGUUUUAAUUAAAUUCCAUCACUAACGUUGGGAUGACUUUUUAAUCAAAAAAAAAAAAGCCUUAGUUCAAGCUUUUCCCCUUAUUGUGCAUUUUUUAAAACAUUUGAUAGGCACUGCAAAUCUGUCAUUUUGGACAUUUUAUUAUUAACUAACAAUGAAAGCCGUGGACAUCAACCCAUAUCCAACAAAAUAUUAAAUUAAUAUUAGAAAAAAUUAUUAAGUAAUUGGAAAAAAAAAGAAGAGGCUAAUUUUCAUUGAAACCCACCGACAAACUAUACGCUGCUUUCAAUCAGUUUUAACACGGGAAAAAGAAAAGGCAUGAAAAGCAAAAUUUGUGGGGAUAAUUUCGGAAACCUCCCAUGAAGUUUUUGACUAUUUUACUGGCCUCCCUUCAGAUUUUAAAAAUUGGACUAAUCUUCCUUAAAGUUAAUUAUCUUGUAACAUUUAGAUCCGAUCAAUAAUUUAAAAAAUAAUAUUAUGAGAGAGAAAAUAAUAUGAUUUUAUUAUUGCCCCCAUCUCACCACAUUAUUUAAUUAAUUUAAUAGCAACCCACACAUUAAAGAAAAUGACAGGUCGUCAACCUGUGCAAUAAUAAAAUUAAACCUAAUUGCCAGUUAAAAUGACCAAAACCCAAUUCCAAGUACUGGAGCAGGGACUCUAGGUGUGCAAUGGGUUACUUGAUUCACCCUGUUCCCGAAGAGUUUGCUUGAUCCGAUAUACCCGAAUGGAAUGGUUAUUCCUUUUCACAAAUGAUUAGGAAUUUGUAGACAGGGCAAGUAGGGUCGUAUCCACAGAGACUGGGUAUAUUUGUUUCUUAAGAAAUCCAAAGUAACACAGGGGGUGAUUUUGUAGGAACGACGAUAAUUAAAUAAAUUCAAAUGAGAAAGUAAAAAUAAAUAAUUAACUAGAAAUUAAACCACAAUUUACUGAACUCAGGAUAACAAUAGUUAAAGGCCUCAAUUAAUUAAAAUAAGGAAACAAUCAAAAAUAAAAUAAAGUAGGUAAUUAAAAGUCAAAUGGCAAUCCACUACAAUCAAGGAAAUAUUAACUAAAGAUCUAGCCAAGAAAUAACUUCAGCAAUGGUUCACCUAAUCGAUCAUUGAUGCAAAGCAAUCCCAAUUAUUUACUAAUAAAUAGGUUAUAACUACCAAACAAGCGAUGGCAGUCAACCCCUCCUUACUGUGUCGGUGAUCAAGGUACGCCCGUUAAUCACUGCUCUAAUUGAGAAAUAAUCCUAGGUACGCCCGUAGAAUUUAAUUCCCCAACUGCCUUACGUAUUAGAGGAGCCCUAUUCUACCCAAAUAACACACUACCAGGGUUAUUUUAGAUUAGCCCGCGUAUCCCCCUGACACGAAUCUAAUCGUGCCAGUUGUCACUAAUUUGAGGUAAUUAAACAAUUACGGAUUCAAUACCCCAAUUGACAAUAGAUUAUCAAACCAAUGAAUUAUCCGGAUCCAAGACAAUCAACUAAUUAAAUAAUCAUAAGCACUGCAACCAAGGAAUAUGCGAAUACCAAUAAAUAAAGGAAAAGAUAAAAUUAAAUCGAUCUCACAAUUUACAGGUGACCCAAAGCAUCAGUCGUUUCUUGACUAGAACGAGGGGGUUAGCUCAUAUUGGAUGAACUAAGCCCGCGGGAAAUUCCAGCAAAAGUCACGGCCGUUGUAUGCAUUUCAAGAGCCGCAAUUCGUCAAACACUUGGAAAGCGAAUGUAAGGCACGGGUAACAAUUGAAACUUUCUAAUUGUUCCUAGCAUUCGUAAAGCAAAUUCACUCCAGAAGUACAGUGAGGAAAAGUCAAAGAAAGUGGGCUUCAAUUCCUUGCUCCUGACAUGCGUGGAGACAAGCCAAUGCAAGACUACAAUAAACUAACAAGGAAAAGUCAAGAAUUGGAGCUAAGCUCCCCUGCCAUGCGCAGGAAUCCCAAAAGUAAAAAGUAAAGCUUCAAAGAAAAGUCAACAAUUCUUCCUAAGCUACAGACGGAAGAUCCAGCACAAAAGCCAGCUCCCUUUUUGAUCCCUUUUUCCCCCUUCUUAUUGCGGCGGCUCACCAGGAGAGGAGAGCCCUCCGUCCGUCCUUUCUUCCGGAAAUUACCAAAAUGGGCAUGACAUCUUCUCUUCCAAAAGUGCCCCUGGGACAAGCUUUCUCAUCUGAAUUCUUUUUUUUUCCAAUUUGGCACCUGUUAUCAUAUUUAUAUUCUACUCCCUGAAAUAAACGUCAAAUACUAAAAGUGAGUAGAAUCCAGCAAAUAAAUCCACAUCAAGUCAGGUAAUAGGAGGAAUUAAUAAUAAAAUAAAUGAAUAAAUUGCACCCUAUCAAUUCCCUCCACACCUAAACCAUGCUUGUCCUCAAGCAUAAGAAAAGUAAACGAACACCAAAAUUCGACGAUAGCCAUUGCCCAAUCUCCUAUAUUGCCAAGACAUUCAAGAGAAAAACACAUAUCGAGCAUUGGUGAUUAGAAUCCCAGAAGCAUCCCCCCGGUUAGCCUCUAACCCCCAGAUUCCUUCAAUUUCCAACUUAACUACUCUAAGAAAGAGGAAUGGCACACAACAUUUAUCAGCUAGUGGUCCGAAUAUUCACACAAGUCUUCAUAUCCAAUCCAUAAACCGGCAAGCUUCCCUAUUAUUUAGUCUCUCUUUUUUUCCGUUUUUUUUCAUUUUCAUUCUUCCCCUCUUUUUUUUUUUUUUUUAAAGCAGUAGCAAUCAACACAAAAGACUUAGUCGUUAGCCGUCAGGGCCUUUUGAUGCGAACUCCAACAUUUUUAGAAGGAGGAGCCCGGUUACUCAGCUCCUACCGCUAUACGACCACGCACUCAUAUAAAAUACCACCUUUUGACGCGAGAAUCGACACUUUUAGGUGCCGAUCCCCGGUUACUCAGUAGUAACUUAAUAGCGGAGCACAGUCAAGCUUAUUCUCAGCCAAACAAUGCACAAACGCAAAAUAACAGCACUAACAAUCAAACAUAGGAGCAGCUCGCCUCAUUAUUGUCAAACAUGGAGAACUGGAGUCAAUAUUGGACCAGUUCACAUUAAAAGGCCAUAUUCAUUCCCUACGCCUAGAAAAGUUAACAAAGAAAUCGAAAGAGUCAAACAGUUAAAUAUUCACCAAGGGGAUAUUCAGGACCCAACCACACUAACCCGAUACAUUUUGUAUUUUAAAAACUUGGCAAAAGUAGAUUUGGAGUCAAUGAGUCCACAUCUCAAUUUUAGCCUUCACAUGAAAGGCAAUCACCAAGAAGAAAGAACGGAAAAAUAAGCAACUAGAAAUGAGACUACGAAAAACUACUAAAACUAAAAACUCACUUUUUUUCUUUUUCUCUUUUUUUUUCUUUUUGAAUUUUUUUUUCAUUUUUAUUUUUUUUUAUUUUUUUUAUUUUUUAAACAUUAACUAUAAACAUUAACUACUAAAAACUAAAAACUAAAACUACUAAAAACUAAAAACACUAAAAACUGCUAAAAUGAAAAGCUGAAAACUGAAAACUACUAAAAACGGAGCACACUAGCAUAACUUUAGAUCCCCCCCACACCUAUAGGACACAUUGUCCUCAAUGUGACAAAUAAGAACCAAAAGUGAAGCACAAGUGAGAGGGGAAUCAGCCAAACUUCCCUGAAAUCGGGUCACAGCGGAGGGCGAGGUGGAAAUGGAGGUGCAAAGCCUGUAUGCAUCAGGAACUGUGCCAAAUUCUGUGCUAUGCCGGCGACAUUGGCGUCGACGUUGGUCAUCCGGGCCUGCAAAUCCUGAACCAGCUCCCUGAGAUGCUGCCAAUCAUCGGUCCCAGGUGGUGGAGGUGGCGCAGAAGUAGAGGUAGACGGCCCAGCAGUGUCCGCGGCCGACCCAGGGAAUGAAGAUGGCCCUGCCCGGGCCGAAUGGUGUGCACCCGGGGCUCGAGGUGGUCCCGGACGGGUAAACUGGUGAAAACCAUCUGGCAGACGCUCGACGACCCCCAUUUUCUCUAAGCAAACUACGUCCAAGUGCUCCAUCUCAAAUGCCAAAUGGAGGUCGUGGUCAUCCAGGUUAAGAACUCCCAACUGGGUCGCCAAGUGAGUGAUGUAGGACCCAAGGAUCAGUGGUUUGUUCUUCUUGGUCAAGACCGUCUUGAACUGUGCGGCCAACCAACAUCCCAAGUUCACCUUGAUAUUGUUCUUCAUACUCCAGAGAAAGAAGAAUUCGGGCCGAGAGAGUAUACCGGAGCUGUCCUUGCGCCCCGAGUAGCUAUAAGCUAAGAAUCGCUGAACAUAGCGGGCGCUAGGGUCCUUAAGAAAGGAGCUCCUGGACCGGGAAGGAUCGUAGCGUUGCCUAUCGACGGACAUGUCCUCCCAUACAUCAUGGUAGUGGGAGAGGAAAGGCUCUACGUAGUCACAGGCACUCUCCGCAUACUCCCUAGUCUCAGCAUACUCUCUAGUGAUAAACCCAAAUGCCAGAUUGAAUUGAGUAAUGGAGAAAUUGAAUUCUCGACCCAUGAGCCGGAAAUGAAUGACAUUCGGUGUUUCACCCGUGUAUCUCGUAGGUAAUUCGAACUCAAAGGUGGAGUAAAACUCCCGGAUCAGCUCAACAAAAGCGGGACAAGAAAUAUGGAAAUAUGGGCGCCACCCAAUGGCUGUGAACAUUUGCUCAACCUCCUCCCGUAUACCCAGGGCAGUUAGAGAGAGUCUAUGACAAGACUUACAGGAUAUUAUACGCCUCUCGCAGACCUUAGCGUACCUCUGCCGAUCGGCGGGUCUGGUAAAUGUUAAGUGCCCCCCAAAAUGAACAGGUGCAUCUACCUGAGCACCCCUAUCCCUACCCAAACGGGUUCGAACACUAGAAGAGGAGGGUAGGUUGGUAGGUGAGUUGACAGGAAUAGAGGCUUGUGGAGGGGGUUGAGACUGAGAGGUCCUAGACCUAGAGGAGGAUUUCGGUCUCACCAUUCCCCCCAAAGUAAGUUCAAGGCAACAGAAAAUCCGACAAGUAUAGAAACCAGCAAUUGACAAAGCAAAAAUCUCCCAGUAGUAACCCAGCCAAUAGCAAACAAAAGAGUUCCAGCAAGUAAUCAACAAGCAAUUCAGAAAUAUCUCAACUAAAAUCUCAAGAGAAACCCCAGCGAGUUAUCCAGCAAUUCAAGCAAUAUCCCCAAGCAAUGUGGUGGUCAAAAUGUCAUCUCCAAAUUGAACAAAUAAUCAGAGCAUUGCAACACAUUGAAAAUCUCAAUAAACGGCUCCAGUUGGCCAAGAAAAAUUGCUAACUCAUACUCAGCAAUAGUAGUGCAGCAAAGGGACAGUAACCACGCAAUAAAAACACUUAGCUUGCACUCAAAUGGUCACCCCAAAUAACAACCCAGUAUGAAACCCGCAGGCAGAGUAUUCCUCAAACCGUUAGCCUAAACCCAGUCAACAACCACGGCCAGAAAUAACCCCAUAAAUAGUGCAAUGAGUAAUCCCCAGCAACAUAAUCAGGUGUAAUCAACUGGAGCAAGCAAUUUACAUGGCAUAGAAACCUCCCAAUCAAACAAGUGCAUUAUUCUAGCGCACCCCAAAAUUCCAAGAAAUGGCUCCAGUUGGCCAAUUAAUUUCACAAUGUCACCCAACUCAGGAGAAAUAGCAAUUCCACACAAAAAUAGUCAAACCAGUACCACUGGCGAAAAAUCUUUCAAAUAUGCACAAUUUGCUACCAAAUAUCACCGGCUAACACUGAAAAAUUGAGGGCAAGUGUCAAAUACCUCCACAGGGACUACCCCAGGCGGCAGACAGAGAAGCGGCGUUGAAGCUGGUGGUCGAGCGGGGCGGCGCUCGCGUCGGCGUGCGCAGCGGCGACGGCGCGCGAGGAUGGAGUUUCGGGAGGUUGCGUGCGGGCUUGGCUGAAGACGCGGCGCGCGCUAGGGCUUCGCUGCGGCAGGCGUGCAGCAGGGGAGAAGAAAGAAAAGAGAAAGAAAGAAAGAAAAAGAAAGGAAAGAAAGAACAGAAAAGAAGGAAAAGAAAAAGGAAUUUUUCUUUUUUUUCUUUUUCUUUAGGCUACGGUUUAGAGGACAAAUUUUUCUUCUUCUUGUUUUCUACUUUUUUAUUUUUUUAUUUUUUAGUUUUUAAUUUAUUACUAUUAUUAUCAUAUUUAAUUGAGGAAAAAAAAUGUUUUUUUUUAAAUCCCUACCUUUCCCACGAACGUGACGCGGGCACGUCAAGAGGGCAAGAGAGCUCCCAGAAGUUUCAGAAUUUUCUGAUCGUAAGCGUCCUGCACAUCACCACGCGGGCACGUCAUGAGGACAGGAGAGCUCCCAGAAGUUCAGAAUUUUCUGAUCGUGAGCGCCCUGCACGUCACCACGCGGGCACGUCAUGAGGCCAGGAGAGCUCCCAGAAGUUUGAAGUUUCUGAUUCCUGCCCGUCAUCACGCGGGCGCGUCAUGACUGAAGGUCACCUACAAAUCAGCAAAAACGAAAACUAACACCCAAAAUCAGUCAAAUUCAGGGAAAGCAGAUUUAAACUAUGCUACAAAACCAACAAACAAUUAAAAGAAAUAAUUAGGUUGCCUCCCAAUGAGCGCCUUUCUUUAAUGUCUUUGGCUAGACAUGGUAAAGUGUCACUGAUUAGGACACGGUGGUGCGUCAAGCCUUAUUGUCUCCACCUCUCUACCUGAAAAUCCUUCGUAAUAAUAUUUGAGACGGUGUCCAUUCACCACAAAUUUGUUGUCUGUCUUAGCACUCUGGAUCUCAACUGCACCAUAGGGAAAAACAUGAGUAACAAUGAAAGGUCCAAUCCAACGGGAACGUAGCUUACCUGGGAAUAGCUUGAGCCUGGAUUGGUACAGGAGGACCUUCUGACCAACUUCAAAUGUUUUUCUUGAAAUUUGUUGGUCAUGAAAUGCCCGGCUUUUCUCCUUAUAUAUCAAGGCGUUUUCGUAUGCUUCGUUCCGGAUCUCCUCCAAUUCUUGCAAAUCCAACUUCCGUUGAGCACCGGCCUCCUCUAAAUUCAUAUUGCAGUGCUUUAUCGCCCAAAAAGCCUUGUGCUCGAACUCCACUGGAAGGUGACACGGCUUCCCAAAUACCAACCUGUACGGUGACAUCCCAAUAGGAGUCUUGUACGCCGUCCGAUAGGCCCAGAGUGCGUCUUCCAACCUUUGGCUCCAGUCUUUUCUAUCAGGGCGCACCAUUUUCUCUAAAAUGGACUUAAUCUCCCGAUUCGACACCUCCGCUUGACCAUUGGUCUGAGGGUGGUAUGACGUUGAGACCCUGUGGAGUACACCAUACUUGCGAAACAACGCAGCUAUGGUUUUGUUGCAAAAGUACGUUCCCCUAUCACUGACAAUAGCUCUAGGCAUUCCAAACCGCACAAAGAUAUUAGACCUGAUAAAAUCUGCAACUACUCUCGAAUCAUUAGUUCGAGUGGCCUUAGCCUCCACCCAUUUAGACACAUAAUCAACUGCCAGCAAAAUAUAUAAAAAACCAAAUGAAGUAGGAAAAGGCCCCAUGAAAUCUAUACCCCAGACAUCAAAAAUUUCAACAAAAAUCAACGGGACCUGGGGCAUUUGAUCUCUACGGGCUAUAUUACCUACCAUUUGACAGCGAUCACAUGACUUACAAAACACAUAGGCAUCUCUAAACAAUGAAGGCCAAUAAAAUCCACUUUCUAAAACCUUAUGAGCAGUUCUCUUAGGUCCAAAAUGACCUCCACAGGCAAAAGUAUGACAAAAAGCUAAAAUUGAUUGAAAUUCCAUUUCACUUACACAUCUCCUCAUCACUUGAUCGGCACACCUCUUCCAUAGGUACGGGUCAUCCCAGAUAAAAUACUUGGCAUCGCUCUUCAAUUUAUCCCUCUUCGAUUUCGGCCAACCUGCAGGAAAAUUACCAGUUACCAAAUAAUUGACCAAAUCAGCAUACCAAGGCAACUGAGAAUUUAAGAAAAAUAGGUAUUCUUCGGGGAAUGCAUCCUUCAAUGGCUCGCUAUCCUCUUCAACUAGUAUGCGACUCAAAUGGUCCGCUACUAGAUUUUCUGAGCCUUUUUUGUCCCUUAUCUCCAAGUCAAAUUCCUGUAGGAGCAGUAUCCACCGUAUGAGCCUCGGUUUUGCAUCUUUCUUGGUCAUCAGGUACCUCAAUGCUGCAUGAUCAGAAAAUACAAUCACUUUAGCACCUAACAAGUAUGACCUAAAUUUUUCCAAAGCAAAAAUAACUGCCAGAAGCUCCUUCUCAGUGGUGGAAUAAUUCAACUGGGCUCCAUUCAAGGCCCGGGAUGCGUAAUAGAUGACAUGAGCCGCCUUGCCUAUUCUUUGCCCCAGUACAGCCCCAACAGCGUGAUCACUGGCAUCGCACAUGAUCUCAAAUGGCAAAUUCCAAUCGGGGGGUUGGAUGAUUGGGGGUGAAGUCAGCAAUUCCUUCAGCUUGUUAAAGGCUCUCUCACACUUAUCAUCAAAUUCGAAGGCUACAUCUUUUUGUAGGAGUUGGAACAACGGGGCUCCAAUCUUUGAAAAAUCCUUGAUGAACCUUCGAUAAAAACCUGCAUGUCCAAGAAAAGAGCGCACCUCCCGCACACUCGCGGGGUAAGGUAAUGCAGAAAUAAUGUCUAUUUUAGCCUUGUCAACUUCUAUGCCCUUAGACGAUACAAUAUGACCCAGGACUAUUCCGUGCUCAACCAUAAAAUGACAUUUUUCCCAAUUAAGCACAAGAUUAGUCUCUAUACACCUGAUCAGGAUUAAUUUCAGGUUAUCUAGACAAGUAUCAAAACUAUCACCAUACACACUGAAAUCAUCCAUGAAAACUUCUAUUAUUUUCUCAACAUACUCGGAAAAGAUGCUUACCAUACAUCUUUGGAAAGUCGCAGGUGCAUUGCACAACCCAAAUGGCAUUCGUCUGUAGGCAAAGGUCCCGAACGGGCACGUGAAGGUUGUCUUCUCUUGAUCCUCCGGGGCAAUUGCUAUCUGAAAGUAUCCUGAAAAUCCAUCCAAAAAGCAAUAAUAAGCCCUACCAGCUAAACGUUCAACCAUUUGGUCAAUGAAAGGGAGAGGGAAAUGGUCCUUUUUGGUGACGGCGUUUAGCCUACGGUAAUCUAUACAUUGCCUCCAUCCAGUGGGUUUGCGCACUGGCACGAGCUCACCAGUUUGGUUGGCCUCUACCGUCACUCCUGCAUUCUUUGGGACUACCUGGACCGGACUCACCCAAGGGCUAUCAGAUAUUGCAAAAAUGAUGCCCACAUCUAGCAAUUUUAGAAUCUCUUUCUUUACGACUUCCAUCAUGAGGGGAUUGAGCCUUCUUUGAGCCUGCCUAACAGGUUUGGCAUCGUCUUCCAGCCUAAUCCGGUGCAUACAAAUGGCCGGGCUGAUCCCCUUAAUGUCUGCGAUUGUCCAGCCUAUUGCCUCUUUAUGCUCCCGAAGGACCCGGAUCAAUUUCUCUUCCUGGGUCUUUGACAGUGCCGAUGAGAUAAUCACUGGGAGUGUCUCAUUAUCACCUAGGUAUGCGUAUUUCAGGUGCUCUGGUAGAGGUUUCAACUCCAGUACAGGUGCCUGCACCACAGAUGGCAAUACCCUCUGGUGAGCCUUGGGAGUAAAAAUAGGUAAGACUUCAUACCUUUUCGUGGUGGUCUGCAACGAGUGUAAUGCACCUAUUGUGCAUUUUAAAUCCUCGCUCCACUCCACCUCAGGAGUUGUCUCCAACUCGAGGUGCUUGGUUAAAGCCACCUCCAGCUCAUCCCUGCCAUCAGUUUCAAACACUUCCUGCACUACAGGGUCAAUAGCACUCACAGAAAAAACUGAGCUAAAGUUGGAGUUAGAGGGGUACUUCAUAGUAUCAAAAAUAUUAAAAUGCACAAUUUACCCAUCAAACUCCAUGGACAAGGUACCCUUAUUAACAUCAAUUUUCGUCUGCGCAGUGCUCAUAAAAGGUCUACCCAAUAACAAAGGUGAGGGAUCAGGGGAGUGAUCAUCAUCCAUAUCUAGUACAUAAAAAUCAGCUGGAAACACCAAAUCAUUAACCUUUACCAACACAUCUUCAAUCAACCCAUCAGGAUAUGCAUUAGUUCGGUCAGCUAAUUGAAUAAUUAUUCCAGUUUCUUUUAAUGGACCUAGUUUCAAAGAAGCAUAGAUAGAUUUAGGCAUGACAUUAAUUGAUGCUCCCAGAUCCAGCAUGGCCCUUCUGAUCACAGUAUUACCUAUCUUACAGGGAAUAGUAAACAUACCUGGGUCCCCGCACUUUGGUGGGAGCUUUCUCUGCAGGACCGCAGACACAUUUUCUCCAACUAUGACCCGUUCAUCUCCCCUCAACCGCCUUCGGUUGACACACAAGUCCCUUAGGAACUUGGCAUAUUUUGGUACUUGUUUGAUGGCGUCUAAGAGGGGGAUAUUUAUCUCAACCUUGCGAAAAACCUCCAAGAUCUCCUUCUCCUUAUCCUGCUUCUUCGAUUUUUCCAACCUGCUAGGAAAAGGAGGCGGGUUAGUUUUAACUGUAAUUAUUGGGUCAGGAAGUACCUCUGGAUCUGCACCAUUGCUGUCCUCCCUUUCGAGCUCAUUUUCGAUCUUCUCUUCAUCCUUGUCCUUGGGAAUCACAGGUUCAGGCCCCUGAAUUUCUUUCCCACUCCUUAGGAUCAUUGCGCUCACGUUCUUCGGAUUCAACUCCGGUUGAGAUGGCAGCUUCCCUUGGUUCUGGGACUCCCAACGGUUCAUUCUGGUGGCCAAUUGACCUAUCUGAUUCCUUAUGUCCUGCAUUUCGGAGUCCGUCUUUUGCUGAUUUUGCAUAAUAGCUGCCUCCGUCCUUUGCUGAUUCUGCGCCAUGGUUGUCAUCAUUUGUUUCAGCAUCUCAUCCGUAGAUGAACCAGAUUGAGGGAGCGGAGGUGGUCGGGGUUGGUAUUGCUGCUGGUACCCUGGUGGCUUAUUUGGCACAAAGUUAGACUGCCUGUUUGGCGUGAAGUUGGAUUGCCUAUUUCCACCAUAACUGAGGUUGGGAUGAUCUCUCCACCCGGGGUUGUAGGUGCUUGAGUAAGGGUCGUACUGCUUCCUUGGCGCGGGCGCGUGGUCAGCCAUGUUCACCUGUUCCGCAGUUUCUUCCUGAAUCAUUGGGCACAUGUCUGCAGAGUGACCUAUACCAGUGCAAAUCCCGCAUACCCUGGCUUGUGAUGCAUUUCUCACAGCCUAUUGCCUAACGAACGCAGUCAACUCAUUUAGCUGCUGCUGCACAGAGGGUGUCUCUAUCUCAUUCACCCUACGUAUUGGGACAUCCUAUCUUGUACUGAAUUGCUGUGAAUUCUCUGCCAUCCCCUCUAUUAACUCCCGUGCUUCCUGAGGGGUUUUGUUCACCAGUGCCCCUCCACUUGCAGCAUCAAUGAUGCUCCUGUCUCUAAAAAUGAGCCCCUCAUAGAAAUAUUGUAUGAUCAACUGCUCACUUAUUUGGUGAUGGGGGCACCUGCGCAACAAGCUCUUAUACCGUUCCCAAUACUCGUAAAGUGACUCCUCGGGAUGCUGCUUGAUCCCACAAAUUUCUUUCCUUAGACUCGCAGCCCUGGACGCAGGAAAAUAUUUAUCCAGAAAUUUUUUCUUCAAUUGGUCCCACGUGGUGAUGCUACCUGGUGACAGGUAGUACAGCCAGUCCUUCGCAGAAUCUUUCAAGGAGAAGGGGAAUGCCCUCAUUUUUAUCUGCUCUUCUGUGAUUCCCGGGGGUUUCAUACUGUUGCAAACGACAUCAAACUCCUGCAGAUGCUUAUACGGCUCUUCACCUGGUAAACCAUGAAAAGAGAGUAAAAGCUGAAUCAGACCAGAUUUUAGUUCAAAUGGAAUGUUGUCAUUUAAAGCUGGGAAAGUAAUGCAUAACGGCUGCUGAGUUAAAUCAGGAGCAGCCAACUCCCUUAAUGUUUAUGCAUUAGCCAUGGUGCCUUCCUGCUGGUCAGAGUCACUCGAAGUGUUACCAAACGAAUCUGUUGGUUCAACUUCUGACUCGGGUCUUUGAGAUGUAGCACUAGAGUGCUCUUCUCUGAGCUGUCUGGUUUCCUUUCUCGUUCUACGCGCGGUCUUCUCUACCUCAGGAUCAAAAACCAAAUCACCUGUGCGACAAGAUCGAGGCAUACACUAGAAGAAAACCAGAAAAUUAGGACAAAAUUGAAUUUAAGAAGAAACAAAUAAUAACGCCAGUCCCCGGCAACGGCGCCAAAAAUUGACAGGUCGUCAACCUGUGCAAUAAUAAAAUUAAACCUAAUUGCCAGUUAAAAUGACCAAAACCCAAUUCCAAGUACUGGAGCAGGGACUCUAGGUGUGCAAUGGGUUACUUGAUUCACCCUGUUCCCGAAGAGUUUGCUUGAUCCGAUAUACCCGAAUGGAAUGGUUAUUCCUUUUCACAAAUGAUUAGGAAUUUGUAGACAGGGCAAGUAGGGUCGUAUCCACAGAGACUGGGUAUAUUUGUUUCUUAAGAAAUCCAAAGUAACACAGGGGGUGAUUUUGUAGGAACGACGAUAAUUAAAUAAAUUCAAAUGAGAAAGUAAAAAUAAAUAAUUAACUAGAAAUUAAACCACAAUUUACUGAACUCAGGAUAACAAUAGUUAAAGGCCUCAAUUAAUUAAAAUAAGGAAACAAUCAAAAAUAAAAUAAAGUAGGUAAUUAAAAGUCAAAUGGCAAUCCACUACAAUCAAGGAAAUAUUAACUAAAGAUCUAGCCAAGAAAUAACUUCAGCAAUGGUUCACCUAAUCGAUCAUUGAUGCAAAGCAAUCCCAAUUAUUUACUAAUAAAUAGGUUAUAACUACCAAACAAGCGAUGGCAGUCAACCCCUCCUUACUGUGUCGGUGAUCAAGGUACGCCCGUUAAUCACUGCUCUAAUUGAGAAAUAAUCCUAGGUACGCCCGUAGAAUUUAAUUCCCCAACUGCCUUACGUAUUAGAGGAGCCCUAUUCUACCCAAAUAACACACUACCAGGGUUAUUUUAGAUUAGCCCGCGUAUCCCCCUGACACGAAUCUAAUCGUGCCAGUUGUCACUAAUUUGAGGUAAUUAAACAAUUACGGAUUCAAUACCCCAAUUGACAAUAGAUUAUCAAACCAAUGAAUUAUCCGGAUCCAAGACAAUCAACUAAUUAAAUAAUCAUAAGCACUGCAACCAAGGAAUAUGCGAAUACCAAUAAAUAAAGGAAAAGAUAAAAUUAAAUCGAUCUCACAAUUUACAGGUGAUCCAAAGCAUCAGUCGUUUCUUGACUAGAACGAGGGGGUUAGCUCAUAUUGGAUGAACUAAGCCCGCGGGAAAUUCCAGCAAAAGUCACGGCCGUUGUAUGCAUUUCAAGAGCCGCAAUUCGUCAAACACUUGGAAAGCGAAUGUAAGGCACGGGUAACAAUUGAAGCUUUCUAAUUGUUCCUAGCAUUCGUAAAGCAAAUUCACUCCAGAAGUACAGUGAGGAAAAGUCAAAGAAAGUGGGCUUCAAUUCCUUGCUCCUGACAUGCGUGGAGACAAGCCAAUGCAAGACUACAAUAAACUAACAAGGAAAAGUCAAGAAUUGGAGCUAAGCUCCCCUGCCAUGCGCAGGAAUCCGAAAAGUAAAAAGUAAAGCUUCAAAGAAAAGUCAACAAUUCUUCCUAAGCUACAGACGGAAGAUCCAGCACAAAAGCCAGCUCCCUUUUUUAUCCCUUUUUCCCCCUUCUUAUUGCGGCGGCUCACCAGGAGAGGAGAGCCCUCCGUCCGUCCUUUCUUCCGAAAAUUACCAAAAUGGGCAUGACAUCUUCUCUUCCAAAAGUGCCCCUGGGACAAGCUUUCUCAUCUGAAUUCUUUUUUUUUCCAAUUUGGCACCUGUUAUCAUAUUUAUAUUCUACUCCCUGAAAUAAACGUCAAAUACUAAAAGUGAGUAGAAUCCAGCAAAUAAAUCCACAUCAAGUCAGGUAAUAGGAGGAAUUAAUAAUAAAAUAAAUGAAUAAAUUGCACCCUAUCAGAAAAAUGCAAAAAUUUGUUAUUUAUCAUUAAGGAUCAUAUCGCAUAUAACAUCAAAAAAUAGUAUAUUAUUUAUAUCUUUCACUUAAUAUAAUAUCCAAAUUACUCUUUUCAGUUACAUACCCAUUGUUAGACAAAAUCAACAACAAAUAACCAAAAAAUUUGCAACCAAAAUAUUACCAAAAAAAUAAACUUUAACAUCAUAAAUAUUUUUAUCAACAUAUUAAAGUUAGUUAUUGAAAUUUUUAUGGUGUUAAACUUCACUCUUAGCAAUAUUUUGGUUACAGAUUUUUUUGAUUAUUUAUUGUUGAUCGUGUUUGACAAUGGAUUUGUAACUGAAAAGAAUAAUUUGAAUCUUACAUUAAGUGAAAUAUAUAAAAUAUUAUACUAUUUUUUAUGGCAUAUGUGAUUCUUUUUUUUUUUUUUAUCAGAACGGCAACAUUGUAUUAAUAGUAAACCAAUUACAGUAUAGGUGGGCAACCGCCCUCACAAUCUGCCUGGACUUGUUCCAGCAGCCAAACUGGGAAGUUUUCCUUCCAUUCAGUAUUUUGUUCCAAAGUAAUAGCUACUUUAGCUAGUUUAUGGCUAACAAAGUUGUUCACCCUAUUUGCAAAGGUAAAACAACAUUCAUCAAAUUUUAUUCAUGUACAAUUGUUGCUAUCACCACGUCCUCCUCCUCCUCCUCACUGCACACUACUUGACUACCACCCUUCGCCAACCUUGCUGUUGCAUGUGCAACUAUCAUGGCCUCUCUUAGCGCCUUUGCUUCUUCGACCUUUGGACUGGCACAGCUAAAAUUUGGAACAGCCCAGGCCCACCCGCAAUCUUCCCAACCAAUCCCUGGCCACCCUUUUCCCACCCAGCUUCUAUGGCAUGUGUGAUUCAAUCCUUCUUGAUAGGAUUGGUAAUAGAGGCAGAGGGGGGAGCCGGCUGCAUCCGGUCUACUUUUCAUAGAUAGUACAAUAUUGCGAAAUCGAUCGCAUUCACACAAGAAUAUUUCGAAGUCAUUGCAUCGCUAAGUUGCAAAAAAGUACAAACACUUGUUAUUAUAUAGCUUAAGAUUCAAAACUUUAGAGCACAACCCUCCACCUAACACAAUUGAAUAAUGAAUAUUCACGAUUGUCAAAUCUGUCAAAGCACAGUUUGAGGACAACCCAUUCCAACCUGCAAAAGAUUUUUGACUUUUUUAAAGUUGUUGAGAGCUGUAAAAAGACUUACCAUGCUUACAUCUUCCGAGCCUUGGGAGUUAAAAAUGAAGGCACUGAGUGCUAUAAAAAGGGGGCUAGAGGCUGCCUAGAAGCAUAUCAGCCUAAAACAAGAAUUUGUAGUUAUGAUGGGAAGCAAAGCAAAAGCAAUGGGGUCUGGGCUGACUCCUCUUCUUACCACUGUUUUAGUGGUAUUUGUUGCUCUUGGCUUGCCCUCAGAAACUGCAGCUGAUGAUCACUACAAGUAUUCAUCUCCUCCUCCUCCUUACCACUAUCCCUCACCACCACCUCCAGUGCAUUUACCUCCACCAGUGUACAAAUACAAGUCCCCACCACCACCUCAUCAUGUUUACAAGUACAAAUCUCCACCACCCCCACCACCACACCCAGUUUACAAGUAUAAGUCGCCACCACCACCUCCUCAUCCGGUAUACAAGUACAAGUCUCCUCCGCCACCUCCUCAUCCGGUACCACACCCAGUUUACAAGUAUAAGUCACCACCACCACCUCCUCAUCCGGUACCACACCCAGUUUACAAGUAUAAGUCUCCUCCGCCACCAGUUUACAAAUAUAAGUCUCCUCCACCACCACCUCCAGUGUACAAAUACAAGUCUCCACCACCACCAGUUUACCACUACAAGUCUCCACCACCUCCUCCCCCAGUUUACAAAUACAAGUCUCCACCACCACCACCACCAGUUUACCACUACAAGUCACCACCACCUCCUCCCCCAGUUUACAAAUACAAGUCUCCACCACCUCCUCACCACUACUAAGCAAUUGCUUCUGAGGUAAUAACACUUGUUCAAUAUACCCACUUCUGCAUGAUAAAGCAUAUCUCUAUCAACACAAACUGUCAUGUCUAUCAUGCUAAGUGCCUUCACUUCAUCCACCAAAAUGACUGCUAGAAAAUUUUUUUUAUGUUACCAAAGAAAGGCAUCAUUUUUUCCCUCUGUUAUCAAGAACUUGUACAGUAUAUAGAUUAAAGAGUAUUUUUUUAACUAGCUUAUCAACUGAGAAAUGCAUAUAGCUGAUAGCCAGCUGAAUAUUUGCAGGCAAAGGAGAAGGAAACCAGUGUUUGAGACCUUCUUGAAGAUGUAGAAGCAUAAGAAUUAAAGCCCAAUGUGAAGAUGAUGAUUUCAAGUUUUUCUACGUUACCAUUUCUUUAUCUAAAUUGGUUGUAGCGCCUUAGUUCCUUUGUUUAUGGGAUUUGUAUCGUUUUACGUACCAUGCAGUACAUGUCAUGUUUGUAAGGUUUUCUAUCCUGCCGGCAAACCGCAGGUUCCAUGUAAUAAAUCAAUACUAUUUAUAUUACGACACUUUUCUCUGUUUCUCUUAUAUUUUGUCGUCUUUAAUAUUCUUAAUCAUAUUUUUAACAAAAAUAUUCAAACACUUAGGCAAUCUGGUCUAAUGCUAAUUGUAUGUUUUACUUUUCUUUUUCACCUGCUCCCCUUUUCAACUCAAAAGGAUGCAAUAGUUUGUGAUCACUGUUGAAGACGGAAGCAUGAUACUAAUGAAUAUAUCAUUGAAACUCAAGGAAACUAACAUUAUGAAAAGUGUAAAUCUUGAUUUGAUGCAACUAUUUAUUCGUGGAAUCUAUAGUUACAAAACUCAAACUCUGACUGCGCCAUUGAUAAAUUAUUAAUGACGCUAUCAUCAUUAUUUAUCCCCAACUAGUUUCGACUACAACUGAACCCAAUAUUUUCCCCAUGAUAAAAGUUUUUUACUAUUUUACUGGCCUCUCUUCAAAUUUUAAAAAUUACACUAAUCUUCAUUGAGAUUAAUUAUCUUGUAGCAUUUAAGUCCAAUUAAUAAUUAAAAAAUAAUAUUAUGAGAGAGAAAAUAAUAUAAUUUUAUCAUUGCCCCCCAUCUUGCUAUAUUAUUUAAUUAAUUUAAUAGCAACCCACACAUUAAAGAAAAAUACUAAAAUUUGCUGCUUUUCAUUAAAGAUCAAAUUGCAUAUGCCAUAAAACAUAGUAUAUCAUUCUAUAUGUUUCACUUAAUGUAAGAUCCCAAUUGUUCUUUUCAAUUACAAACCCAUUGUCAAACAUGAUCAAUAACAAAUAACCAAAAAAUUUGCAACCAAAAUAUUACAAAAAAAAACUUUAACAUCAUAAAUAUUCUUACCACCUCUAGUGCAUUCACCCUCAUAAAAUAAUUCAAGACCCUACUGUCAUAAAAUGACUGAUCAACUCCUGUAAACCUAAUUUGACAACAUUUAAAUGGAGAACUUUAGCUAAAAGAAUUAUGGUCAAGCUAAAGAAAAAACCAGUUAUUUUCCAACAUAUGCAAUCAUUGAUCAGGGAAAAAAAAAAGAAGCAAAAAGACAUCUUCAAUCAUUUAAUAGCUUACAGGGCAAAUUAACCCCUAAGCGAAAACUGGUUGCUCUAGAAUCAAAAUUUUACUUUAGUUACCCAGGCAACUUUUUUUGUUGCCUUUUCUUUUUCUUUUUUGGGUAUAUAUAUAGCUCCAGUUUUGCCCCCUCUGUCAAGCUUAUAUAAUUAUUAAGAUAAUAAAAGUGCCUUUAAUAGUAUUAAUAUAUCCAUUGACUUGAGCUGUCAUCGAUCGGUUUGGGCUACUUCGAUUCCAUGAGAACAAAUGGUAAUAAAAGUACUCAGAAAAUGGGGAGUCAUGAAACCCUUUUGUUCUAUUCAUUGCUAAGAUGCUUUUCUCUAUAAAGACACUUCCUAACGAAAAUACUUUGUAGAUUUCUUUACUCCAAGUGGUGCAUGGAAAAUUAAUAUUUUCAAUUAUCAAAUAAAAUUCCCUUUUUUCGGUGUAGAUUUCAUCCAUUCAGCUGUUAACACUCCGAAUUGACUAAUCUUUUCGUUUCCAUUUUCCAACUUGCGAAUACGGCAUCUUACAUAUUGUCUGCUGAAUAUGAAUACAUAUCCCUUUUCUGAGCAGGUGCAGAGUCAUUAUCAUUUUUAUUCCCACCUAACAAAUUAGUUAAUAAUCUUUUAAAGAACAUGUUAAAUUAAUUUAUUGGUAUGAAUAGUAGUCAAAGAAGUAUGUUAAAGUUAGUAAUCUUUAAAAUAAUAUGUUAAAAUUAUUCGUACAAAUUAGCCAGAGAAGUAGCAUAAACACCGCGAUGCAAUUAAUACUUUCAAUCUCAAGGUCUCUAUUAUGGAAAUUUGCAUCGGUCAACAUACACAAAGCAUUAUUGUAUGCACGUCUCUCUAUUAUGGAAAUUUGCAUAGGUCAAUAUACACUUGGCAUAGUUGCAUGCACGUCCAAUUUUUUUUUAUUUUUAUUUUUGGUAUUUUACUUCCUGCCUUAAGUUGCCUGCAGAUGUUUGUAUUACAAAUAUAUGGUAUACUAAAUAUAUAGUAUGCACAUUAAUUUCUUUGGGUUGCUUAAGGGUAUAUUGUUAAUAAUAGGGGGUUUAACCAUAAAUUAUAACAAUGAUGAAGUAAUAUAUAUUAGAAAAUUAACACAAUUAUGAUUUUUUUUUUUGUAAAAUUCAAAUUUUAUUAAUAAGAAAUGAAAUAGGCAGUAAGCAUUUACAAACCGAAAACAAAAUCCUACAACAACUCUAGGACUCUACACCUUAUUAAAAAAAAACAUUUUGAUAGCGUUUUUCCAAAAGCAGAAGAUGGAAAAUUGCCCAUUUGUACUGGGGAGUUCGUGAUCUUUUCCUCAUUCUAGUCUACUUACAAUUCUUGGAAAAAGGAAUACUCACAUCUCAAACAACAGCCUGUUCAUCUGCAGUGUCCUGCCGAAUUCUAGAAAGUUUGGUGGCAAUGUUAAUUACAUUUCAAAAUUGACUGCUGCGAUAACUAAUUCGAUGGCUUACUACAUGGUCAACGUUUGGAUCUCUUCCUGUCCUUUUUGGAUGCACAUUUUUUUUCUCUAGGUAAUAUAUAAUCUCCCAACUCAUUUCUUUACAAAUGCACCUUUAAUCACCACCAAAAGGUGUGGACAUGAUCUUUACCCUAGAAAACUAUUCACCGACAGGCAAAUUGACGUCAGAAAUACUAAGAGGAAUUCUAGUUUCCUUCGGGUUAAUGCCAUUUUGUACCCUUCAACUGUAACUCAAUUUCUAAGCUGUAAUUUGUGACAUUAUAGUCCUUAAACUAUGAAACCCUUUCUUAUUUAAUUACAAUGGUUAAUACAAUGCCCGUGACUAGACAAGUAUGAAGCAACCAUAACAAAAAAAAAAUCCAAAAUUAGAGAAAAGAAAGAAGUUGCGACCAAAGUAUGUAUCAAGGCAUAGUAUAGAAAUAAAAGUGUCAAAAUUAAGAGUUUAGGGAUAAAAAAGAAUCAAAAUAUAGUUUAGGAAUUGAUUUGUCUCAAUUAGAGUUUAGAUGUCAACUAAGAAGAGAGAUAUAGUUGAAGGGUAGAAUAUAGAUAUAACAGUUCAAUGAUUGAUAUCAACGAGACAAUGACAACUUUGGAUUAUUACCAACCUCUUCUUGAUGGAAAAGGAAAUAGAGAAGAAAGUCGGGCCUGGUCUAAGCCUGUUUCGGAGGCAAAACAACAUUAUGAAAUCACCGGCAUUCACACAAAUAUGUCAAAGUCACCGGCAUGCUAAGUUGCAAAAUUUAUACAAACACUGAAUAUUAUAUUCUUCUCAAAAUUUUUGUUUAAGAUUUAACAAUUAGAGCACGGUACACGAAUUAGCAAUAUUAAAUAAUGAAUGUUCACGAUUGAUAAAGUUAUCAAAGUACAGUUUGAGGACAACCCAUUCCAACGUGUACAAGAUGUUUAGCCUUUGAAAAGUUAAUUAGAGAAGGUGACGAGAUUUUACUAGGCUUACAACUUCUAGGCCUUGGGAGUAAAAAGUGAAGACACUGAGUGCUAUAAAAAGGGGGCUAGAUGUUGCCUAGAAGCAUAUCAGCCUCGGACCACAUUUUGUAGCAAUGGGGAGCAAAGCAAAAGCAAUGGGGUCUAGGCUGACUCCUCUUUUUACCACCGUUUUAGUGGUAUUUGUUGCACUUGGCUUGCCUUCAGAAACUGCAGCUGAUUACGACAAGUAUUCACCUCCUCCUCCUCCUUACCAUUAUUACUCACCACCACCUCUUGUGCAUUCACCUCCACCACCGCCAGUUUAUAAGUCACCCCCACCACCUUAUCACUACUUCUCACCACCACCUCCAGUGUAUCCAUCUCCACCACCAUCUGUUUACAAGUCACCUCCACCACCUUCGCCAGUAUACAAGUCCCCACCACCACCUUAUCAAUAUUCCUCACCACCACCUCCAGUGCAUUCACCUCCACCACCACCGAUUUAUAAGUCACCUCCACCACCUCCUCCAGUUUACAAGUCCCCGCCACCACCUUACCAUUAUUCCGCACCAUCACCUCCAGUGCAUUCACCUCCACCACCACCGAUUUACAAGUCACCUCCACCACCUCCUCCAGUUUACAAGUCUCCAUCACCACCUUACCAUUAUUCCUCACCACCACCUCCAGUGCAUUCACCCCUACCACCACCGGUUUACAAGUCUCUGCCACCACCUUACCAUUAUUCCUCACCACCACCUCCUAUGCAUGCACCUCCACCACCAAUAUACAAGUCACCUCCACCACCUCCUCCAGUUUACAAGUCUCCACCACCACCUUACCAUUAUUCCUCACCACCACCUCCAGUGCAUUCACCCCUACCACCACCAGUUUACAAGUCUCCGCCACCACCUUACCAUUAUUCCUCACCACCACCUCCUGUGCAUGCACUGCCACCACCAAUUUACAAGUCACCUCCACCACCUCCUCCAGUUUACAAGUCCCCACCACCACCUUACCAUUAUUCCUCACCACUACCUCCAGUGCAUUCACCUCCACCACCACCGAUUUACAAGUCACCUUCACCACCUCCUCCAGUUUACAAGUCUUCACCACCACCUUACCAUUAUUCCUCACCACCACCACUCUUCAAUUUGGAUGUAAUUCAAUUUUCCUUGUAAUCGGUGGCCCUCCUUCGGAAUCCAAAUAGUCAUUGAGUGCAGCCUUCUUUCUUUAUUUUUUACUCAUUUUCACCUCAUAAAUUGCUUUCAUCCCCUAAAACUUGUUCGCUGGAAUUUUGAAUUUACCCAUACAACUAAACUCAGAAAAUUCUUACACAAAGGGAUUAGUAGCAUGAAUAGCAAACACAGAAUAAGAGAUAACAGUAUGUUUUAUUGUAUUAAAAAUAUUAAAGUGGAUUAUUUCUCCAUCGAAUUCCAUUGUGAGAGUAUCGUUACUAACAUCAAUCUUAGUUUGAGCAGUACUCAAGAAUGACCUUCCUAAUAUAAUGGGUGAUGGAUUUGGGACACUUUCAUCAUCCAUAUAAAACACAUAAAAAUCAACAGAAAAAAUUAAUCCAUCUACUUGAACUAAAAACAUCCUCAACUACCCCAUUUAGAUAAGCAAAUAUACGAUCAGCCAAUUGAAUUAUUAUCCCUAUUUCUUUUAAAUGUUCUAAAUUUAGGGAAUCAUAAAUUGAUUUAGACAUCACAUUAAUAGAAAUCUUUAAAUCUAUCAUGGCAUUUUUUAUAUUAGAAUGUCCAAUCUUACAUGAGAUAGUAAACAUACCUAGAUUCUCGCAUUUAGGUGGUAGUUUCCUUUGUAAAAUUGCUGAAACGUUCUCAUCUACCACAAUAUGCUUGUCCUCCUCAAUUUCUUCUUGUUGACACACAAGUUUUUCAAGCAUUUAACGUAUUUUGGAACUUAUUUGAUUUGCGUCCAACAAAGGGAUAUUGAUUGCCACCUUGCGAAAAUCUCUAAAAUCUCCUUUUCUUUAUCUUGUUUCUUUGAUUUCUCUAACCUGCUUGGAAAAGGUGGUGAGUUAGUUCCAACUCUAAUUAUAGAAUCAACAAUUACCUUUGGAUUCACAUUUCUCAUUCCUUCCUCCUCAAGCUCUUUGUCGAUUCGAUCUUCAUUUUUAUCCUUUGGAAUCACAACUUCGGAUCCCUGAAUUUUCUUCUCGCUCCUUAAGGUCAUUACACUUACAUUCUUCAGGUUCAGUUCAGGUUGAGACGACAAUUUUUCAUAGAUUUGGGAUUCCAGGCGGUUGAUUGCUAUUACCAUCUGACUCAUCUGACUCUGCAGUGCUUGCACCUGUCCCAAUUGAUUCCUCAUACUUUGCAAGUCAAAAUCCAUCUUUUGUUGAUUAGCAAUUAAUUGCUUCAUUAUCUCUUCUAUAGAUGGACUUGAGUUUGAAAGAGGUGGUGGCGGGCGAGACUGAUACUGUUAUUGAUACCCUUGCUAUCUAUUUGGUGCAAAAUCUGGCUACCUAUUUCCUCCAUAGCUGAGGUUGGGAUGAUCUCUCCAACCAAUAUUGUACGUAUUCGUGUACGAGUCGUAUGGUUUUCUUGGCACGGCGCGUGACCAGCCAUGUUCACUUGCUCCGUACUUUUCUCUUGAAUCAUUGAGCACAUCUCUGUAGAAUGACCCAUAGCAGUGCAGAUCCCACACAUCUUGACUCGUGAUGCAUUUCCUAUAGCUAAUUGCCUAACAAAGGAUGUUAAUUCGGUCAACUGCUGUUGGAUAGAAUAUGUUUCUACCUCAUUUACUUUGCGUGUUGGGGCAUCCUCCCUCGUACCAAACUGUUGCGAAUUUUCCGCCAUUCCUUCAACUAGCUCCCACGCUUCUCGAGAAGUCUUGUUCACCAAUGCCCUUCUACUUGCAGCAUCAAUUAUACUCCUGUCUCUAAAACGCAGCCCCUCGCAAAAAUAUUGGAUGAGCAAUUGCUCACUUAUUUGGUGUUGAGGGAACUUGAUGCAUAACUUCUUGAAUCGCUCCCAAUAAUCAUAAAGCGACUCUCCUGGAUGCUACUUGAUACCGUAUAUCUCCUUCCUUAGACUUGCAGCUCGAGAUGCAAGAAAAUAUUUGUCCAAGAACUUUUUCUUCAGCUGAUCCCACGUGGUGAUGCUACCUGGUGGUAGAUAGCACAGCCAGUCUUUUGCGGAGUCCUUCAAGGAGAAGGGAAAUGCCCUCAUUUUUAUCUAUUUUUCUGUAAUUCUCGGAGGUUUUAUGCUGUUGCAAACGACAUCAAACUCUUGCAAGUGCUUAUACGGUUCCUCACCUGGUAAACCAUAGAAAGAUGGCAAGAGAUGAAUUAGACCAGAUUUUAACUCAAAUGAAGUGUUAUCAUUUAAAAAUAGAAAAGUAACUGAGAUGCAGCACUGGAAUGUUCUUCUCGAAAUUGUCUGGUCUCUUUCUUUGUUCUACGCGUAGUCUUCUCUACCUUAGGAUCAAAAAUUAAUUUACCUGUACGAGAAGAACGAGGCAUACACUAGAAAAACACUAGAAAAUUAGAACAAAAAUGAACAUAAAAAGAAACAAAUAAACCAACGUCAGUCCCCAGCAACGGCGCUAAAAAUUGACAAGUUGUCGAUGCCUGUGCAAUAAUAAAAAUAAACCUAGUUACCAAUUAAAAUAAUCAGAGCCUAAUUCUGAGUACUAGAGCAGGGACUAUAGGUGUGCAAUGGGUUACUUGAUUCACCCUAUUCCUGAAGUUUGCUUAACCCGAUAUACCAGAAUGAGAUUGCUUAUUCAAAAGGAAUUAUUGAUUUGUAAACAGGGCAAGUAGGGUCGUAUCAUCAGGGAUUGAAAAAAUUUGUUUCUUUUCAAAUCCACAGUAACAAGGGGAUGUUUUUGUAUAAAUGAUAACAAUCUAAGGAGUGCAAAUAGAAAUAAAUAGAUAACUAGAAAUUAAAUGACAAUUCACUAAAAUUAGAGUAAUAAUAAUUAAAGGUCUAGCUAAGAAAUAACUUCAGCAAUGGUUCACCUAAUUGAUCAUCGACGCAAAGGCAAUUCCAAUUAUUUACUAAUAAAUAGGUUAUAACUGCAAAACAAGCAAUGACAGUCAACCCCUCCUUACUGUCGGUCGGUGAUUAAGGUACGCCCAAUCACUGCUCUAGUUGAGAAAUAAUUUUAGGGACGCUCGUAAGAUUUAAUUUUCCAAUUGCCUUACGUAUUAGAGGAGCCAUAAUCUAACCAAAUAACGCUACCAGGAUUAUUUUAAAUUAACCCGUGUAUUCCCUUGAUACAAAUUCAAUCAUGUCAGUUGUCACUAUUUCAAGGUAAUGAAACAAUUACGGAUUUAAUAUCCUAAUUGACAAUAGGUUACUAAAUCAAUUCACUAUUUCGAUCCAAGAUAAUCAAUCAAUUUAACAACUAAUAGCACUGCAAUCGGAGAAUAUGUAAAUACCAAUAAAUAAGAGGAAAAGAUAAAAUUAAAUCGAUCUCACAAUUUUUAAACAAAUCAAAGUAUCCGUUGUUUCUUGACUAGAAAAGAAAAUUUAGUUCAUUCCUAAUGUGAAAGACCCACGUGAGAAUUCAAAAAUAAUAUUCACGGAUAUUGUCUUGAUUCAAUAGAUUCAAUUGCGUUGGAAUAAGGAUAAAAAGCCAAACUAUAGAGAGUGAUUCAAUGUUUUGUUUCGUUUGCAUUUUUUCUACACAUAUGGAAGAAGAAAAACAACUAAAGGACGAAAAAAAAAAGUCAAAGAAAGGCACCCAAAGUAGUGCUUGGUCUCUACCAUCCUAUUUCCUAUCUAAUUACUACUUCCCUUCUGCGGCUGCCUAGAGGAAGAAAGAGAAAGCAGACUUCAGGUCUUGUUCCAUCUCCUCCCUUUUCGGCAAUUCCCCAAAAGUAGAAAAGUUCCUCCGUUUACCAAAAUGCCCCUGGAAUGAGGACUGCUACUUGAACUCAUUUUCUUGAUAACUGUCAAAUUAGCACUUGUUAUGGUAUUUGCGUCUACUUCCUGUAAUAAAUGUAAAUUGCCAAAAGUGAGUAAACUGAUAAUUAAUUUACAUCAGGUCAGGUAAUAGGAAAAAUUAAUUAUAAAAUAAAUGAUAAAAUUGCAACCUAUCACUUAGAAUAACCAGAAAUAAAACAAAACAAGAAAUGAAAGAAAUAAGAGGGUAGCAUAGACAUUUUGGAUUUUUCUGUUAAUUUGGAUGAUUUCCACCUACGGUCUAAUUUAAUCCAAAACACAAAUGGAUUAUGUGGAGAUUUUUAAACAAUGAGGGAGUAUCGUGACCGAAUCCCAAACCACAAAGGGGAUUUACUAUAUUUUACUCUUAAAUUUUGGUUUCAUCUCAUAGCAUACAAGAGUACUAUUUCACUGUCUGUCGACCAGGGAGGAGGGUUGGGUUGGGUGGUACGGGGGAGGGAGUCUAAGUAAGAGGUCUCAGGUUCGAAUCCUCCUGUUUAUACUAAAAAAAAAAAUUUACUAUCUGUCGACAAAGAUUUUCUAUGGUUGAUGUACCAUAGGAAAAAUCUGCCUAUACAAUUAUUUGGAAAAAUUAUCCAUCCAAACAUAGUCACGAUAGCAUUUUUUCAAAAACACUAGAUGCAAAAUUGUCCCCUUAAACGUGGAAAUUCAUGAUCUUUCCUCGACUAGUCUACUUGUCAAUUUUUGAAAAAAGAAUACUCACGCCAAAAACACGGCCUCUUCAUCUGCAGAAUUCUAAAAAGUUACGUAAACUCUAUAAACAAGUUGAUAGGUACAAUCGUACCCAAGAUCAAGUACAGAUAGUUGUACAUUCACUGCUGCAAUAACUAAUCUGAUGACUUACAAACACAUCAUGGUCAAUCGUUGAAUGGUAAUGAGUCUUUUGUUAUGCAUUAGUAUUAGUGUGUACACUCUAAUAGAUUGAUACUUAUACUCUUUAAAUUAUCAUAAUAAUACCCUUAAUUAACUUUAACCCUUAAAAAGAAUACGUGUUAAUACACGAGAGUGUGUAACCUGAAUUGUUACUUAUACAUUAGUGUGUAAUAGAACGGCAAGCAUUAUGGUGGUCAUUGAGCAACUUAUAGGAGAAAUAGUCCUAUAAGCUGUUCAAUGACCAAUCACAACUUGCUAAUUGGAUGACUAAUAUAGCUCUAGCUGUAAUGUUUUAAUUAAAUUCCACACUAACGUUGGGAUGACUUUUUAAUCAAAAAAAAAAAAGCCUUAGUUCAAGCUUUUCCCCUUAUUGUGCAUUUUUUAAAACAUUUGAUAGGCACUGCAAAUCUGUCAUUUUGGACAUUUUAUUAUUAACUAACAAUGAAAGCCGUGGACAUCAACCCAUAUCCAACAAAAUAUUAAAUUAAUAUUAGAAAAAUUAUUAAGUAAUUGGAAAAAAAAAAGAAGAGGCUAAUUUUCAUUGAAACCCACCGACAAACUAUCCGUGUCCAUAGCUUUUGAAUAGUGCAUUCAACGUUUAAUUGUAUGGUCCAGUUCAUUGCCGAUUACAUGGAGUAAAGAUUGUGCUCUUUCCUUUUUCACCCCUUUUGGAAUCGAUACUGUGGAGAAUUGGGUUUUUCCCUCCUUUUUUUCUUUUCUUUCCUUCUGUGCUUUGCAAAACAUACGUAAAAAUAUGAAAUCCGAAGCAUUCUUUAAUUGGGAUUAAGUAUUGUUGUUGAAAUUAAAAAGAAGAAAGAAAGAACAACAAAAAUCCCAAUCUGGGUUGAUUGUUGAGCUCUAGAUUGGCUGCAUCGUGCUUCCAUAGAAGUUCUCUUAGUGUGAUACGCUGCUUUCAAUCAGUUUUAAUAUUUAAGUAGAGUGCAAAAUAACUUUACUAUUUAAUGGGUUAUAAUGCACCAUUUGGUACCUCUCACCCACCUAUGAUUUGAUUUACUACUGGCAUGGUAAUGGACAGAGUUGGGGGAGCAGGAGGAGGGAGAUGGCGGUACCAGUCCGUCAACCACAGCACACCCUCCCUCGGACUUUGCGUGGUAGCGAAGUGGAGGCAGAUCGAGCACACAUGCACUAACGCCUUAAGUAUGUACAAUAUAUGUAUGCCAAAAGCAUAGCCAAGCCUACCAGCGCAUUUCAAUAAUAUAACCCGGAAAUUAAGGGCAUUGAAUUAAGUACGAUGAAUCAUAUUGGUGCACAAUUACAGUUUGAAGCUACCGAUUCGAGUAAAUUUAAGCGUAAGCACAAUCAAUCGCCAGUCAAAUGCUGAAAUAUGCAUAUGCAUGGAUGAAUGUAUGGGUUUCUUAGUUCCAGACCAAAGGCCAACAAUAAGGGAAGGAAGGACAGUUCUCAUUUUUAGCACGGACAAGGAGAUGAAGAAAAGUGUAUGUAGCUUGAGACAGAACAAUGGCAUGUGACCGCUCCUGAGACCACAUAACGUGGGGUGGGGAUGGGACGGCCAAGAAUGAAGAUGCCUGUCGGUCUCUCCGUGCUGCUACCAUAUGAAUCCCCCGUUAACCAAUUCAAGAUAAGCCUGAAGUUCUUUUCAUCCCCAAACCCUGUCCCAUCUGUGUAAAUCCAACAUCAUCAUUUACGACCUGCAACUCAGGUUAAGCAUGUUCUAUUGAGAUUCAGACACCACCCUUCAAAAGAUAUACUACUGUGAAACCAGCAGCUUAAUAUCAUUGUAUAAAAAAAAAAAAAAAAGAAAGAAGAAAAGACAUGAAAAGCAAAUUUUGUGGGGAUAAUUUCAAAAUCUCUCCUAAAGUUUUUUACUAUUUUACUGGCCUCCUUUCAAAUUUUAAAAAUUACACCAGUCUUCCUUGAGAUUAUUUAUCUUGUAACAUUGAGGUCCAAUCAAUAAUUAAAAAAUGAUAUUAUGAGAGAGAAAAAAAAUAAACUUUAACAUCAUAAAUAUUCUUAUCAACAUAUUAAAGUUAGUUACUGAAAUUUUUAUGGUGUUAAACUUCACUCUUUGUAAUAUUUUAGUUACAGAUUUUUUGAUUACUUGUUGUUGAUUUUUUUUUUUUUAGUGUAAACAGGAGGACUCGAACCUAAGACCUCUCACUUACACUCCCUCCCCCCGUACCACCCCAACCCAACCCAACCCUCCCCUCGUUGUUGAUCAUGUUUGACAAUGGAUUUGUAAUUGAAAAGAACAAUUUGGAUCUUACAUUGAGUGAAAUAUAUAGAAUGAUAUACUAUUUUUUAUGGCAUAUGUGAUUCAAUCCUUGAUGAUAAAAGCAAAUUCAAGUGUUUUCUUUAAUGUUUGUGCUGAUAUUAGAUUAAUUAAAUAAUUUAGUAGAUGAAGGAAAAUGGUGAAAUCAUAUUAUCUUCUCUUUCCUAAUAUCACUAUUUAAUUAUUGAUUGAACUUAGAUAUUACAAAUAAUAAAUCUCAAGGGAGAUUAGUAUAAUUUUCAAAUUUUGGAGAGAAGCUAAUGAAAUAGUCAAAAACCUUAAGGGAGGUUUACAAAAUUAUCCCAAAUUUGUGGGAAUUAGAAUAAUUGUACUGGACGGCACUGCCGCAACAGAGGGAAAGAGGAGGAGGUGCAGUUAACUUUUUGUUGUUUGAAAUCCUUGGUGAAAUAUUACAGAAAGACAGAUAAAACAGUUAGUACAUAGAUGUAUAUGACAGGGAAAAUGGUACGUCUGUUAAUCACAUUUGAAACACUUUCAUUGGUGAAUGACGAAAACUAUCAGGCUUGCCCAAUAGUUGAUCAUUGACCAAGACAAAUCUUGCCAUGCUAGAGGUACCAUCUUUUCGUACCUCUUUAGUGCACAGGACAUUCCUUUGUUUCAUCUAGCUAAUAAUCUACCAACUCAUUUCUUUGCAAAUGCACCUUUUAUGGUCACGUCUACGAAAGCUUUACAGGAUCUUUACCCAAAAAAUCAAUUCACCGACUCGCAUUUGAUGUCAAAAUUUCUUUACUUUACUCCAAGAUUGACUGUUAAUAAUAAUGCCACUUUGAAUUAUCACACCAUCCUUCUUGAUAGGAUUUGUGCUAGAGGUAGGGAGGGAGUCGCUGCAGCCGGUCUUCUCUUCAUAGACAGUACAAUAUUGCGAAAUCGAUCGCAUUCACGCAAUAUUAUAUUUCCAAGUCGUUGCAUGGGUAAGCUGCCAAAAAGUACGAACACAUGUUAUUAUAUAGCUUAAGAUUCAAAACUUUCGAGCAUAACCCUCCACCUAACACAAUUGAAUAAUGGAUAUUCACGAUUGUCAAAUCUGUCAAAGUACAGUUUGAGGACAACCCAUUCCAACCUGCAAAAGGUUUUUUUACUUUUCUAAAGUUGUUGAGAGCUGUUAAAAGAUUUACCAUGCUUACAUCUUCCGAGCCUUGGGAGUUAAAAAUGAAGGCACUGAGUGCUAUAAAAAGGGAAUAGAGGCUGCCUAGAAGCAUACCAGCCUAAAACAAGGAUUUGUAGUUAUGAUGGGAAGCAAAGCAAAAGCAAUGGGGUCUGGGCUGACUCCUCUUCUUGCCACUGUUUUAGUGGUGUUUGUUGCUCUUGGCUUGCCCUCAGAAACUGCAGCUGAUGAUCACUACAAGUAUUCAUCUCCUCCUCCUCCUUACACUAUCCCUCACCACCACCUCCAGUGCAUAUACCUCCACCUCAUCCUGUUUACAAGUACAAAUCUCCACCACCCCCACCACCACACCCAGUUUACAAGUAUAAGUCACCACCACCACCUCCUCAUCCGGUACCACACCCAGUUCCUCAUCCGGUGCCACACCCAGUUCCUCAUCCGGUGCCACACCCAGUUUACAAGUAUAAGUCACCACCACCACCUCCUCAUCCGGUACCACACCCAGUUCCUCAUCCGGUACCCACACCCAGUUUACAAGUAUAAGUCACACCACCACCUCCUCAUCCGGUACCACACCCAGUUUACAAGUAUAAGUCACCACCACCACCUCCUCAUCCGGUAUACAAGUAUAAGUCUCUCCGCCACCAACACCCAGUUUACAAGUAUAAGUCACCACCACCACCUCCUCAUCCGGUGCCACACCCAGUUUACCACUACAAGUCACCACCACCACCUCCUCAUCCGGUACCACACCAGUUUACCAUACAAGUCACCACCAAUCCUCACCCAGUUUACAAAUACGAGUCUCCACCACCUCCAGUUUAUAAGUACAAGUCACCACCACCUCCUCCACCAGUUUACAAGUAUAAAUCUCCUCCACCACCACCACCAGUUUACCACUACAAGUCUCCACCACCUCCUCCCCCAGUUUACAAAUACAAGUCUCCACCACCUCCUCACCACUACUAAGCAAUUGCUUCUGAGGUAAUAACACUUGUUCAAUAUACCCACUUCUGCAUGAUAAAGCAUAUCUCUAUCAACACAAACUGUCAUGUCUAUCAUGCUAAGUGCCUUCACUUCAUCCACCAAAAUGACUGCUAGAAAAUUUUUUUUAUGUUACCAAAGAAAGGCAUCAUUUUUUCCCUCUGUUAUCAAGAACUUGUACAGUAUAUAGAUUAAAGAGUUUUUAUUUUAACUAGCUUAUCAACUUAGAAAUGCAUAUAGCUGAUAACCAGCUGAAUAUUUGCAGGCAAAGGAGAAGGAAACCAUGUUUGAGACCUUCUUGAAGAUGUAGAAGCAUAAGAAUAAAAGCCCAAUGUGAAGAUGAUGAUUUCAAGUUUUUCUACGUUACCAUUUCUUUAUCUAAAUUGGUUGUAGCGCCCAAGUUCCUUUGUUUAUGGGAUUUGUAUCGUUUUACGUACCAUGCAGUACAUGUCAUGUUUGUAAGGUUUUCUAUCCUGCCGGCAAACCGCAGGUUCCAUGUGAUAAAUGAAUACUAUUUAUGUUACGACA